rnacentral:lncRNA from 1 species
AGAGUUUUGGAAGGAGAGAUCUAAUUAAGGAAGGCAUGUUGUAAUAAAUUGCUAAUGGAAUAUCAGUCAAAGUUGGGGAGGAUAGGUUGGUGAAGGAGAGUUGAGACUUGAUGCUGCAUCCUUCAAUCUGACUCAGGUGAUAAAGGAAUUAAGAAUGGAGUCUCUAAUUGAUGCGGAUACUAAGACUUGGAACUUAAACCCCAUCAAAGACAGCAUGCGGCAGGAGGAGCAGUGACUGGUGUUGAGAAAUCACAUAAGAUCGAGAAGUUCCGAUGACCAAAUGAUUUGGCCCUGGAACAGGAUUGGUUGUUCUUCAGUAUAGUCUCUACCACUUUACCAUGCAGAAAAGAAAGAAACAUCUACUAAAGCCUAGAUCCUCAAGCUCUCAUACUAUUGACGGUAUAAUUUGGAAGUUAGCACAGGGAGUGGACUCUCCUCAACAUAAGACACUUCCUCUAGCAACUUUGCUUGAAUGUUGUGCCUGAUGCUGCUACAUGUGCAAAAGAAAAAAAAUAUAGUUUCUCCUGGCAAUGGUGCCCUUAAGAGUUUGUGGCAACAAACUUUCAUCUGACUAAUUUAGUCGUUCUUGACCUUUCACAUAGCGAUGUUUCAGAGAAAUGGAUUGGCUGGAAUCAAAUCAUAAUAUAGUACGAAUCUCACUCCUUGCAUACAUGUUUCAUUCCUUGUUGUUAUUUUUUUCCUGCAAAUAAUUUCUUAGUAUAUAUUUUGUUUUGCAAGUGGCAAGUAAACUAGAAGUACUAGAUCUCAACAAUUGCAAAUACUUAAUGAGAACACCUGAUUUAUCUAUGUUGGUUUCCUUGGGGAGAUUGACUCUUGAAGGUUGUCACAACUUAAUUGAAAUUGACCCAUCCAUUGGUAAAUUAAAGCUCCUAACUACAUUGAACCUAAAGGGAUGUGACUCUUUUCAAGAGUUACCUGGAGAGAUAGGAUAUCUACAAGCUUUGGCAGAGAUUGUCAUGCCUAAUACCCUACAUGAACUUUCGAAGAGAUUUGGUAAUUUGCCGUCAUUGUUGACCUUUGAUGUAUCACAUAGGCAGAUUAGCAAACUGCCAUACUUGAUUGGAGAGCUAGUGAAACUUAGGUGGUUGGAUUUAUUAGGGUGUACAAAGAUAGAGGAACUUCCAGACUCAGGUUUGGAAAUUACAAUCCUUAGUUGAGUUGGAUUUGUCAUUGAUAAUAUUUGUGGAUCUUAAAAAGACUUAAAGAUUGACAAGUUUCCUCUGUUAUGUGCAGUGAACAAGAAGCACCACUGUCCAUUUUUGAGCGAUGAAGAAUGGCGUUUCGAUAAAAUAGCCAAAUACGGCGCUCUAUGCAGUGAACAAGAAGCACUAUCCCCAAUCACUGAGUGACGAAGUAUGGUGUUUGCAGAAAAUAGCCAAAGACAGCGCUCUGCACAAGUGCAUGACUUCGAGAGGAAUCAACAUUGUUCAAGAUUUCCUCCAGCUGUACGAAGUGGAUGUACCUUUCUAAGAAACAAAGUGACUCUUACUCUCGAUUUCCUCCAGCUGUACGAAGCGGAUGCACCUUUCUAAGAAACAAAGUGACUCUUACUCUUCAAGCACUGCUAACUUCCCUUUUUUCCAGUUCACAUUAUUCUAAGCAUUGUUCAAUAUCAAAUCGUGGUACUUCUUUUGUGUGCGAUGUUGUUUGAGGUACUUGGAAAUGGGAUCACCAAGGGGACAUGGGAUCACCAAGGGGACAUGUGAUCAACGAUGACAAGAUGUAUUUCUACCAAGCUUUGAACAAGGCCAGUAUAGUGUUCAUUCGGUUAUGAAUGUUGCUCAAGCAGCACUCGAUUGCCAAAUUUACCAGUGGGUAGACAUAUUGGCCUACUCUCGGAAGGUACAUAAAUCAUAACCCGAAACUUCUCUAUCUAGUAGCUGAGUGUGAAUCUAUCUGGACCUAUAGAAAGGGCCUGUAUUUAUCGGAUUAGUCUGCUUCCAUGGCAGAAUGUAUACCACAAGCACUUCUCUUAAAAAAGUACCCGUUUGAUUUUGGGCUUGAUUGAACCUGCUGCUUGGUUGACAGAUUUUGUUGCAGAACUUGAAAUGGCUAGCUUACAAUAACAAGAAUCAAUGGUGGCACUCGAUGCCCUGCCCAGCGUCUCUCUUCUGAGAGGCCCAAGCAAUGUGCCUACAGAGCCGUCAAUCGGCCUGAGCCUGCCUCUUCAUCAUCUAUUUUACACAGAGCUAAAACAAGGUAUUGUGGUAUUUCAUCACUUCCAUCUAUCUUUUCCUUUUUUGCCUUCUUAAUCUUUCACAGUUUAGUGUUCCCAUUUCUUUAUUGGCACAUCUACCUUUUUGCACAUCUAUGGUAGCUGAAACUGAAAUGCAUCAUUAUUCAGAUAGACCAGAAGUGACUCCUGAAUUUAGUUACUCAAUGGUUUCAGCAUCGUGCUGCUACAAUGUCACAAAGAUCAGACAAUUAGGUUGUCUGGGGCCACAGUCAUAUCACUGCAAAAAUCUUUGAUCCGACUGUAAUUCAACAGCUUGGCAAGGGAGGACUUUUUGUCCAGUUUGAGUGCUGGCGAAAGCAGUCAUCUUCCUGGUUACACACAAGAUCUGUUUGUGACAAACAUCCAUUUGUCUCCUGAGGAGCUUUUCCAAGUGCCAUCUCCAAUCCCUGGCAAUUUAAUGUGGACACCGGAGCAUACUUUCAUCAUUGAGUUGAGAAGCGGGGCAGAUUUUGGGAUCUGCCCAUCUCGCAUGGGUUAUGGAGUCCAUAAUUCUAGGAUUGCAAGGCCCAAGGUGGCAAGGUGCAAGAUCCGUGAUGUGGUGAAGUGGGGAUUGGUUCAGCACGUUGUGGCUGCAAAGAGACGAGCAAUGUUCAGUUGUGCAAGUUAUCCAGCUGUAUAAAUGGAGAGUCCCAUCCCCCAAAAGAAUUUUGGGUGCUUCAGGAGCACGAAGCUCUCGCCCACACAAGCCAGUCAUCACAUGCGAAGUACAAAAAAGAAGGAAAUUCAUGAUACUUGAUGUGAGGAGAUUGUCCUGGGGGUAUGAGAAUGUCUAGUUCUGGGGGUAAGCUGCCCAGGAUGCAUCAUCGACUUAGUAUAAUGCAUGAUCACUGAGAUUUUCUCUAUUGUUUUUUGUUGAUUGUCCUUUCAUAUUUGAAGGAAGUUGUGCACCAUCAAGAUGGGGCUGCCAAUUGGACGUGUCUUCUCUCUAUGGGUCACGCAAGCUGAUCUUAGGAAGUACCUCAAUACAGGGGUUCUUCCUCAAGAAUUGUAAGGCUUUUGCUCUCUUCUUCAAGAAUUGUUUGGCAUUCUGUUUGUCCCAAAUACAUCAUCCCUUGAUUUGUCAGUUUACUGCUCUGAUAUGCUUAGUAGACUUUUCUUUGCUUUACAAAAUUUGUGAGUAUAUUACUUAGUUUGCGAGAUCCAAAGUUUCUCCUGUCAGCUUUGCUCUUAUUGAUCUGAAAUAUUAUAUGGUAACCAUUAGUCACAAAGCCCACAAUCUUGACGGUAUAUAGUCAAGGUUCUUCUAUCGCCAAUGUGGGACCUUGUUUUCCACGUAACAUUCCACCGAGUUCCUGUAGGCUUGGAUCUAAGACCGCGUCGAGACUAUUCCAGAGAAUAUUUCUGGGAGAGAAAAGAGAUGAAUUUUUCUCUUUCUAAAUUGAGCAGUUUUGCUUUCAUCUGUGAAAAAUCGAAAUGGAGACAAUUCAUCUUUAUCAUUGAAAAUCAUGCAAGAUGUGCAAAGUUUCCCCUUUGAUCAAUGAAGAGUCCUUAUUUGAUUGUGAUAGUGAGUUCUAACCGAAGAAAUAGGGAGAACCAAAAAGGUAUUCUUGGGCAGAAAGUAAGAUCUGAUUACGAACUUGUAAAGAAAAUAGUGUACCAGCAAUCUAGGACGUUGCACACGCAUACCACGUACCUAAAAUUGUCGAUGGUGUUAAGCAUGUUUUAGUUCCUAAAUCUGUCAUAGGUAACAGCGCUGAAAAAUGGAAUUCUUCUCUUGUAGGGCAAGGUCUUGGCAAGAAAGAGUAUUGGAUUUAUUUCCGCUAUGGUGAAUAUGCGUGGGGACGAGGAGAUUGAGAACGGAAUGUUCCUUAUGAACUUUUCCUCUUCCAGAACAUUGCACACUAUUUUUUUGUGCUGCGAAAAUGGAAGCCUGAACUGCAAAGUUAGGAGGUCUCCGAUGUGAAAACUGUUGUCUAGGCUAAGCUACAGAACGUUCCUCUGUAUCUUCUGACAUUGGAGGGAGGUCUUGAGGGCUUCUUCAAGGGUAAGAAAGGACUAAGACAGGUUGAUCCUUUAUUGCAUAUUUUUCUUACGGUGAUGGAGGUUUUCCCAAAACUGUUCAGUAACGCUGCAAAUCAUGGCAAAUCAAAAUACCAUUCUCAGUGCUCUACCGUGAAACUUGCUGACGAUUUGAUUCCAAAGGGGAUAUGGAUUCUUAAAUGAAACUAUUGGCCUUGUUUCAGAGACCUAAUCACACGUCAGGUCAUGCUUUCAUCCAUCUUAAUUUUUUAUAUAGAAUAUCAAUAAAGUAAUUGUACAAAAUUAGUAUGACUAGUAACUCCUUUUAUUCCAAAAUGGUAUCUACCUAUCAGUAACUAGUGAUUUUUCCAUGCAAUAAAUUAUGAUGAAAUAAGAAAAUAUAAUUUUGUGCCUAUCUAUUGUUAGUAACUCUCAAUGUUCAUAGUAAUUUCUUUAGACUUUGCUAUUCACGUGAACUUACGUUUAUUAACUUAGUGGUGAGAACAUGUAAGAUUUUAUGUCAUGAACAUAUUACAUCUAUUGUGAGUGUUAGAUAGGCUAUGGUACUAUUGAAUUAGAUUGUGCCAUUUGACACACAAGUUUUCGCUUGAGGUCUUCUCAUUCAUUUAAGAAAAUAUGAGAUCAAGUUCGACAGAGUUUGACCCCCAAAACAAAAUUAUUGAUCUUGCAAUUCUCAACUGCAUUUCUUCGCAUUUAAAUAUUAGGGACAUUUAAAUUUUAGGCAUAAAGUAUUCGCGUCGAAUAAAGCAUGGAUCAGAAUUUCUUCGGGAUUGGCUCGAUGGAUAGUCUAAUGUGGAAAAAAUGAGUCCUGAACUCCCUUGAGGUUCCAAAAUUGAGCCUGCACGAGCCCGGUCCUAACCUAAUCAAACUCGGCCUAAUGAAUGGAAAGGCAGCGCAGUCAUUCAAGGACAACAAGGGAAAUUUAAAUCACCCAACACCCAUUUUCGAAGACCGCUCCAGUCCGAACGCAUAGAUGGAAGGUCUUGUUCAGCUGCACACGUCGAAAUUGGUAGAGAAGGCAAGGGACAAUCAAAGGAGGAAAGAGGCGUGCAGUUUCCAUCUUGACAAAGGAAGCAAAAGCAGGGGAUUCUUGGCCAAACGAAUACAAGAAAAUCCGGGCAUAGAAAAGCAGGGGUCGGCAAAAGAAGAGAAAGAGAAACAGAGGAGGCAGAUUCUCGUGGAGGAGGUAGAAAGAAAAAAGAGGAGAGAGAGAGAGAGAGAGAGAGAGAGAGAGAGAGCUGUUGGGGCACGAGUGAGGAAGCGACAGAGAGCGAAAGAUGCAAUUUCCCGUUUAAUUUCCUCGAAGUUCAGUUUUCCUUUGCACUUUAAUUUCCAAGAAUUUUACUCCUCAUAGUCAAAUUUCUGCAUCAUUUUAUUUUAAAGCCUAGCGCACCUUACACCUAGAAAAAGCCAAAACCAAAAUCAUGUUUAGCACUAUUUUGAAGUUGACCGACUUUUGUUCAGAAAAAUCUCUCUCCCCACUUGUCCGAGAACCCUCUGUUUUUUGAUGCCCAGGUUUUGUUGUUUCUUUUGGCCGUGAGUUCUGGUACCUGAAUACCGAGAUUGCUCCCUUUGUCAAGAUGAAAACUGCACGCCCCUUUCCUCCUUUGAUUCUCCUUUCCAAUUUCGAAAUGUGCAGCCGAACAAGACCUUCCAUCUUAUGAAGAUAUGAUAUUCUAGAAGAAAGGGAAAGCAAAUAUAAUCAUUGUCAAAGAGAGCUUCAAAAAGUAAAGAAUGGAGCUUUUCUUCACGGCCAAGAAAGAGAAAUAUAGAGAGAGGGAAAUGGUACAAGUAAGAGAGAAAACUUUAAUAGAAAGAAGAGAAAAAUAGGGAAGUUCUCAGGAAAAAAAAAAAAAAAGAGAGAGAGAAAGAAAAACUGGGGAGGCAGGUUAUCAUGGAGGGGGUGCAAAAAAAAAAAUGAAAACACGCGCGAGGAAGUCACAAAGAGCAAAUAAUACAAUUACCCAUUACACUCUUCCUUUGCGCAUUAAUUUCCAAAAAUUUUACUCUUCAGGAUCACGUUAAAUAAAUUUAAAGUUUAGAUACCGCAUUGUAAAUCCAAACUAUGAUUCUUUGCUAUUCCCAUCACGUUUCUGCCAUUUGAUCACGCCUGUUAAUCUCUCAUUGUUUUUGCUGUCAAUCUCUCUCGUUUUACCUUCGUAAUCCCAAUUCCCUGAUCCCAAGGAAGGUCGAGAAAAUCCUUGGGUCAGGCCCUUGGGCCUAAUGGGCCGGUCCAUGCCCAAUGGUCACUGAUUACUAGCAAGAUAAAACAUUCCUCACCUCCAUAAAUUGAUCCUAUUCCUCUCAUUUUUUGUCACCAUUUUUCAAUCUUCACUCGCAUAACACUUACAAACGCACUUGCUCUCUAAAAUUGAACACCAAUUUCAUUUAUUUCUUUUCCUCUUUUAAAUAUUUAAUCGCGUUCUUUCGAUAGCAAUGGAGAGCAACAGCUAUAACUGUGUUUGAUUAGGUCGACACAAUCCGGACUUCACCUUGCAAUUGCCAUGGAAAACCGUUCAGUGAGUACCGAGGAAAAAACGUCUAUAUGCCAUUGCAUCUUUUUUGAAUGGUCUAUUUAACGAUCAAAAUAAUGGAGAAUAUUGUUUUUUUUUUUUUUGAAAAGGUGUUUGGCAUUGGCAAAUGGAUCUCGCAAAAUUUAAAAAAAAAAAAUGUAUAGUUUAAUGUUGCAGAUUAGUUUGUGCAUCUACCCAAUUGGAAAAAGUAUUUUACGUUAUGAUUAUACUACGUGACAAUGCUGAUACGACUUAGAAGACCAAUCGCAUUAUCCAAGUGAUUAGCACCUUAUCCUACUUGAUGCGACAUGUGAUCUACAUAUCAUUUUUUAUUAGCUUGCACAUCAUAUGUCACCGUCACGUCACAUAAAUUACUGUUAGCCAGUCAUAAGAUGGUCGCUACUCCCUCCAUGAUACAAGUGGGAAACCUGUAACCUUCGACUUGCAAAUCAAGUUCUGGUUUAUGCGACCAACCGCAGAGUGGUGAAUGAGUGUUGGGGAACAUUCCUUUUUUAGCAAGAUUUCCAUGACGCCCUUACGCUUGGAAAAAAAGUAAACAAGGGUAGAAAUCUAAAUGAAGAUGUGAGAAGAUGAGAAUUCAGACGGCAGUGACUCAUGAACAAAAACAAUGGGAUGAACUAAGGACGUGACCUCUGUUCAAACUCCAAAAGCAAAACCAAAGCUCUCCCACAGGCGACAAACACCAGAAGGGGAAAACCUACAAAUGCCACAACAAAAGAAUGGUCCGGUGUAGAACGAACAAUCUGCACCUGAUUCUCUCGAAUGCACAGAGUCGACAGGGAACGAAACUCAAGAAGAACCGUGACCGUAUGUGUCAACGAAACUCAAGAAGUGCAGGCACAUAACUAUAGAGUAACUUGAUUUCGAUUACCUUUAUUAGACCAUGGCAAAUAUGUACAGAUAAUAAUUAUUUUGAAGCCUCGAGCAAAGGAUGCACAUCCAAGCAGGAGCAAGAGCAAGGGGAGAGAGAGCCAGGCAGAAAACAAGAUCCUAGUUAUGUAUAAAUAAUAUCUAAGAAAAAUAGGAAAAAAGAAAGAAAGUACUUUCCCCUGCCUGUUUCCUCGAGCACGCUCGGUUUCUGCAGCAACAGAAGGCAGCCAUUGCUCUCAAGGGAGCUUUAUUGUCAGAUGUCAAACUUUUACCCCCAGAUUCAGUAAAAACUUGCACGUUCUAGGACCCAUUCAGGACCAUGAACCCAGAUGAUGGUGUAAAUUAUAUUGUUGGCUCGAAUGGCCUUCAACUUUUGGCUUCGAAACUAGCAAGACACCUGUUCUGGUCUAAACAAACAAGUCGGUAAGAAACCCCCAUCCAAAAAGAACGAAGCAAAAGAGCAAUGGCAAUCACAGGUCACCUGAAUGUUCAGAUUCGCAACUCCAGAUAUAUUUAUUUCUGAAUCAUCGCCAAUAUUGAGCCCACCGAUGGAUAGUUUCCACCAUUUGAGGGAACAAUGCAUUAACACUAUCAGUGAUAAGACCCUGAAAGAAAUGUAUGCAGGCUUCAUCGUCCAGGUCCAAGCUGAACUUCUCCUGAAGCUGUAAGCAUAGACAGUCUCUGUCAUGACCAAAAGCAUGACUUCACCUCUGGACAGAAAAGAAAAGACGAUGCACAGAAAUGGGUUCUAACCUUAAGCAUUCCUUUUUCAGGAUCAGAAGCGAUGUCGGGGAUGUUAGAACCCGCCAUCAGAUGGAAAAGGUUCAAGAUUAGGUUACUUGAUUUCCGGAGAAUAUUGUAUGCUUCGCAACAAUAUGUCUUGAAUCUUGUGUAGUACUGGCUGAGGAAGGAAAAUGUCACCCAUUAACACAUACAUAACAAUAACAAUUGCCGCUUUUCAUAAAUGACAAAAAUGCAUAUCUAUACAUCAACACCAUUCUUAAAUCUUAAAGAGCAUUAAAAUAGUGACCUACCUUUCAGUUCCACCCAUAGCUUCUACCAUUUCUUUGCAAAGUUUCAUUGGGGGUGGAAAUGGCUUAGGAUCACGGCCAAGAAUAAAACCAAAGUCAACAUGGAAAAGACGUCCAUCAUCCCUGAGAAGAAGGUUGUCCAGGUGUCUAAAGGACCAGAAUCAGCAUUAGAAUAUUAUCUCUUUGAUAAUAAAAACAACUAAAUCAACUAAGAAAGCAUAAAGCGGACGACAUGGCACUUGACAAACUACUUAUGUAAUGUAGAGAGGAUGUGUAUUCUGAAGAGGACAUGUAAUAAUCUUCAAUCAUCACACCUAAUCAAAUGAAACUAACGUAGACAUAUAUUUUCUAAGAUUGUCAAAAAGAAAGUCCUGUAUAUUUCACCAAAAAAAUAAAAACCUGAACUACCACUCGAACGAAGCCUAUCAGGACUAUUUAGCAUUGCACUCGACACCAAAGAAUAUCGACAGAGUGGAAGACUAAGAUAGAAGUUCAUUCUUUAACCACGUAGUCAAAUUCAAAAGUGAGGUUAUGUCUUUUGACAAGCACAUAGUUAAGAGAUUUUUACCAAACAAAACAAACAGUGCAAAAUAGCAUUAUCUGAAAUAAUAGCUCCAGCUCCAACACUAUUUAAAUCAAGAAAUAAACAUAUAACAAGAGAGAGAAAAAAUGAAUCUUAAUGCUUGAAACGUAAUAAUUGCAUUCAGUUAUCACCUGUCUCCAAUACCAAGUAUAUAUGUAAUAACAGAGUACCCAGCACAGCUCUUUAUGAACGUAUCAAGGCAUGUAGCUGUAAUUCCGAACGGUCCAUGCUCAUCUGGAUGAAACUUCUGUAGAUAACUGAUAAUGCUUCAAUGCUCUGAGAGAAUCUACAUGUAGGUAGAGAUGUCUAGUAAAUUCAAAGAUCACUAUUUAUCAUAACAUUCAACAGCAGUUUGGCAUUAAUUAUUCAAAUUGCAUAAAAAGAAAGCUUCAUUAACCUAGUAUCUGCACCUUACUAAAUUGCAUUUUGCUCUAAGUCAGGCAACUGAAAGACAUCGUUUGAAAAAUCAAGUGAAUGAGAGAUAAUGAUAUCCUGUGAAAACUCUCGGAACCAAAUUUGCAUCUAUCCCUUGAUUUUUUAUGAUGCAGCACACUCUAUUUCCCAGUAAUCCAUAUCUUAUACCUAUUAUGAAACAGAUUAACUUAAACUACCCAUCAUCGAAAGUCAUCUACUCAACUUCAAUAAAAAGGACCUUAAAUAAUUAAUAAAUAGUCUUUGGGGAAUAAGUUACCUGUGCCAAAGUCCGAGAAGGUAUAAAUUCCAACAUGCCUUCAUCUUGUCCCAUGGCUAGUACCUUAUACGGAGUCAAGCACAAAUCCAGGUUCUCCAACUUAAGUAAUCGAUCCAUAAGAGAGACCAUCUGGAUAACCUACAGCAAACAGAACAUUUUGGUGUUCCCAAAACAUUUUUCAUCGAUGUCCAACUACUUCUCUUUCUCAAAAGAGCAAAAACAGACUGAGAACAACGGCAUAAGAAACAAGAAAAAAAUUCCACGAGCCAGAAAGUUAAAGCUAUGGAACAUAUUUUUAAUGCAAUAAUAGAGGCUUAAUUACCAAUUGAUCUUGUCGAAUAUCAUCUCCUUUCUUAAAUAUUAUCUUGCAACUUCCACCACUUGCUGUUCUGAAGGUAAGACGAAGAGGAUGAAGUGCACUUUUAAAUAUUGAGGACUCUGAAGGAUCAAUACCAGUGAUGAGGACACCGGGAGUGAGUGGGGAUCGUAUUGGCUGAGAAGUAGAAACAAGUUGUCUGAAUCAAGCUAAAGUCAGAGAGUGGAAAAGACAGUUCAACAGAAAUUAGAGAUACCUCCUCAAAAUAUGUGAGCUCACUUAGAAGACCAGAAAGAAGCUGUCUAAGUUUCUCGAUCUUUUUCUGGGUAUUGCCACGUACAUUUCUAACAUCCCUCAUUAUGGAACACAACUGGGCAGUCAACUCUGUCUGAUGCACCAAACUUUGCCAGAGUUUAAAUCCAUCCUCAUUUCCAUUGACAACAGAUGCCAACUGUACGAAUUACAAUCUAAUAACUGCUGUGCAGAACUAUUUAAUAACAUCUCUAGCUUAGUCUUUCAGGAAAUAGACACAGCAUGUAGCCACUAUACUGAAAGAUGGUGAUUCCACUAAACAGAGCCAACCCAAGAAUAAGGAACUCAAGAAAUUACAAUGAAAUUUCGAUGAUUUCUUAAUCAAAAAUCCAAAAAAAACCAUCACACAAAUCGGAUGGCAUUUCUCAUUCUUUUCUACAGUUGGCUGAUCAUCCACAUGUAGACACAUUUGAGAAGCAUACAUGCUCAAUCACGGAUAGCACCUCCAGUACCAUACAACAGAGAAGCCCACUUGUCUUUUCUUAGAUAAAUAGAUGAACAGAAGAAGAAGAAGAAGAAGAAGAAAAACAAUAGCCCAAUUCAGUCGGAGUGAAACCCCCACAAUUGCUCCUAAAUUUAAAUGCCCCAUACUUUGCUCUUAAAGAACUUAACUGAAGGAUCUCAACCAAACAUCAAGACAACGUUUUAACAUUUUGGUACAGAACCACCAUAAGAGGAAAGAUAUAACAACAAAGCCAGAACCUUGAAGAACUCAAACCUUCAUCAUAUGCUCUUCCAAGAUCUCGUAAGUACAGUAGUAUCGUUUAGCAAAAGCACAAUCAUGAAGUUCCACAGCAACAUACCACCGGAGAAAGCUUGCCAGCUCAAUAUUACGCAAUGCUGUCAGAAAAAUUUUCUUUCGUUAGCAAGAAAAAGAUAAGACACUACUGAUUCCCAAAGAAGAUGAGGCAUACAGCGUUGCACAAGAAACUGAGAAAGGCAAGAUUUAUCAGAUCGUUCAAAGCGAAGAGCCUGAACCAACUGAAGCAAGUAGCACUGCAGCUCUUCAACAUCAGCUCUCUCAAGCACACUGACAGCAUAUGCACGAACCUGCAGUGAAGGCACCCAGAAGCAUAACAGCAUGAGACCCUUUCAUUUCCAACGACAUUGUAAACUCUGAACGUCUCUCUCAGAUGCAUGCAUUUGAUGCACUGAAAUCCAUGAUGCUAAUGAACUACAAUCAACAACCAACCCAUCUAUCUGGCUGGAGGGGGUACAAGCAUGGAAUGCUCAUAAUUUGCCAAACUAUCUGAAGUCUUCAAACUUAUAACUCCUUUUCAAUUUUUUUUCCUUUUAGUACUUUGUAACUGAAAGUAUUUAAUGGAAAUCACUGAAUAAUCUAAAGCAGAGUACUCAAAGAGAGAUUCCAAUCAUCAGGUUGUAUCCCUGUAUCCUCUGUGAUAAAGCAACAACACAAAAAUUUUCUGCCAGCAUGUAUGAAGAAUAAGGAUUAUCCUAGGAACACAAGAAACAAACCUCUUACAAAACUCUUACCUCCUCGCUUUUGAAAACAGGAGAUAAUAGUUCUAGGGCAUCACAUACAUCAAUUGUUUCCCACCAUCCCAUUAAUUCUAAUGCCUGCUUAGCUUCCUGCAAGAAAGGGGAAAAAAAAAUUAAGAACAAGGAUUAUGAUUCGGUGGUACAUAUCAAAGAUCAUUUGGAUACUCUAUUAAAGGUUUUACCUGCAUAGUUCCUUCAAAGAGGUGCUUAACUAGGACCCAGAAAAACUUUGCAAAUUACCAUGCUGCAAUUAAAUACUUUGCAAUCCUAAAGCCUGUCAUAUGCUCUGUUAUGUCCGUGCAUGAUUUGACCGCGUAAUGCACAUUUACAUGGCAUAUGCAAGAGAACUUAAUAUUCUUUUAUACAGACAAGUAGGAGCCAAACAGAGGCGAUGCUCAGAGCAUGAGGACAGGAAAUGAUGUGCCAGUCAACAGGCAUUAGUGAGAAUACCCACAAUAUAUAAGAGACACAUCAAAAUAGUGCUGACCUGAACAUCACUCCAUUCAACACAGCGAAGGAACUUUGUGAGAGCUCUCUUCUCAGACAUCAAAGAAAAGCGAAAUUUCCAAAGGAGCUGCCUCUCGUCUCCACUUAAAGUCCUUGUAGGAGGAUAUUUAAGUAGUUUUUGUAUUGACCUUACAAUCAAAAGAUUGAGCAGGUUUUACUAGCAUGAAAGGUGAAAGUUGGAAGAGAAGUACAAUAUUAGCAGUGGGACAACGGAGUUAUCAGGAAACAUAUGAUGACUAACAUAAACAAAUAAAAAAAUGAUUUUGCAAGAUUUAUAGCAUUAUUUAACCGCAAAAACUUAGACAAGGAUACUCAGCUCAAUUUAAUUCUGUUUAUGAAGUGUUCAAUAGUUGACUCGAUUUAAGGCAAGGUGAAGUAGGCAAUCAGAGGUGCAACAUCAUUCAAUCUAACUGUUUGCCAAAGAGAGCUGGAUCUGGACAUGUAAGUAUCCCAUAAACCUCAAUUUAACUGUAAUUUAACAAGGCCAACACAAUCGCAAACGCCUCAAUAUUCUUUCUCUUGGUUCAUGCAUAUUCCGCAGCAGGUUAAUAUUUUAAGGAUAGAAGUUUCUUCAAGCAUGUUAAGGAUAUCAUGAAAAAUGGCUUUCUAAAAUAACUAAACAUGAGAGACCUCACCAUCAAGUGACUAAAGCACGUGAUUGCUUCAUUAGAUGAAUAAUUACUUAGAACUCAUGAAUAGCGCAAACUGAAGUAGGUUACUAUGAUGUUUCAGUUGGUGACAGUCUGCUCUGGCAGGCAGCAGGGAACAAACUUACACAAAGCAAAUGGUGGGACAAGAAUAUAUAGCAAAAUCUAUGUUAACAUAAAAGUGUUUCACUCCUUUACACCUACUUCGGCUUCACCCAACUUCUUUAAUGGAAGAAAAAGAGUGGAAUAAAGAAAUAAUGAUCUUGACAUAAAUCAGAGUCCCAUUCAAAGUGCACAACGGUACAUGAUAAUUGAAUUUAAGAGGUUUUUUCUUGUGGGUCAAACUGAAGAGGAAUUAAAGAAAACCAAAACAUGGCCAAUUAAUUUAGAGAUAACUGAUGCCAACAUCAAUGCAGGAUUAUCCCAUUGAGAAAUCAACUUGCGUUCUGGCCAAUUUAAGAAUCAAUGCCACUCUAUACAUAUAUACACAUGCAUAGCCACACAUACGCCUAGAAGCAUGCGGUCAAACACAGAAUAGCUGAAAACAUAUAGAGCCUUUAUCUACAGGAGGUUUAUACAUAAUAGCUCUAUCAAUUCAUGCAACUUUUAUUGCAAUGUAUCUUUCUUCUGGAUGUAAUGAUGACGACAGCUGCUUGAAGAAGAAAAGAGCAGAGUAAUUUGCCCUUAUACUACAAAUACCGUAAAUUGUAUCACAGUUUCUAUCACAUAAGAAAAAGUCAGACUUACUUCCUUUGAGUAGAGUUUGGUUUAAGAUCCUUGUCAAUGAUACCACGGGUUAAACUCCUUGCUAGCUUUAGUUGCUUGUGCUCAGAUGGAUUUAUCCUUCCCACUUCAGGGUCCCAUACUAUAACAAGUUCAUUUGUUAAAACUAUUGGUGGAGGUAAGAAAUUCGCCCCAGAUUCCUACAAAUCGACCAUAAUACACUUUUUUCACAAAAGGAGAAUUAAAUGUUUCAUGGAAGGUCAACUUGCUAACCGAUGCACAGAAACAUAGUGUCUUGCCAAAGAAAAUAGCCACAUGAGCCACCAAGCCCGGAAACUGAUAAAGACAAACUAGCAACUAUCAAGCACCACUUUUAUAGAAUUCUAAAAGGGCAUCAACUCUGCAACAUUCAACAGAAUAGAUAAAACAACCAAAGUAAAUGGAUUGAGCAUUAAAGACUUUCCAAUAUGCAUUAAGUUGGCAACAGCCAUCAUACGUCAAUCUAUGUAGGAGAAUGUUGAUCAAACCAUAGAUGACUUCUAACGUCUCAUCUCAACAGUAAAUUUUGCCACGGUGUAAGCUAAUAGUGCAAGAGGCUAAAAUUAAUGCUACAGCGCAGAAGUUUUGUAGUAAGUAGGACUAGGGUUACGGAAGUACAUUGAAUAUCUAAUCACAUGUAGUAGAAGGGAAACUCUUCUUAGGAAUAAAAAUAUAGUCCUUAAAAUCGACAUCAAAGAGAUUUUCUCCAGAACAAAGAAAUCCCUACUCUAAGAAAAUACUGAGAUUGAGUACACAGAGAGUUACAGCACUAAACUCCAGUCACUCUGCAUGCACAUUCACAAUAAAACAGAUCUAUCAGUGUAGGUGAAUACAACCUCUUUUCUUACAUCAUGUUUCACAAUUAGAGUUAGGAAGGUAUGAGAUUAACAGAGAAGUAGAGAAAGGAAAUUAAAGGAAAACAAUAAAAAAUAUCUUAGUUUCCUUCACUAAAGCAUAUUUAAGGGAAAAUACAAAAACGAUAAUGAAACUAGAUAAUGGACCUAAAUGACCUUUGUAUUGUCCACAAUUCAAACAAAAGUUAGGUAGUAAUGGAAAGGUGCCUGGGUGCAUUUCCUUCAUAUAAUGUUGUCCUAGAAGGAAUUGCUUCCUCUAACUUCCGCACAUUUUCUCCUUUCAAUUAACCAAAUAGGGCAAAUACUCUUGGCGAGUAUAUCUCCUCUCCCUUUCCUCUGUCCACACUCUUACGAAACCAAUGCUUCAUAUUGACAUCAGCUUUACUAAUGAUAUUACCAAUACAAGCAAGAUAGUUGUCAUACUAAGCAUAUGGCAUGUCUCUUGGAUUUCCUACUGUUGGCCAGGAGAAGGAGCUUUAGACAAGAUGAGGAAAACCAGCACUAACUGACAUUACAGGUAAGCAUGAAGUUUUCUGUGACGAACAAGAUAACAAACUGUGGAAAAUGAAAUGGAAUUCCGCUUCAAAUUCUCUUUUGUCAACAAAGCAUGUGUUAACCCAGGAAUAGAAGAAAUGCACCAGCAACAUACUUAAUUUUCAUUUGCUUAUAUCAUGGUGAAGAUACUACAUCCAACAAUAAUGUCUGAUAACCCAAUAUCUAGCAUCUAAAUGUUUUUCACAACAAGCACCAUCACACAGAAUGAGAGGCCUAUAACUUUAUGCAAAGUAAAGACGCCUGAUGAAGAGGAAUGAAGAAAAUAGAUGGACAAGAGAAAGUCGUGACGGUGAUACAUUGUGCUUUCAAUAGGCUCGCUGUCUGGUCUAAUGGACAAGUUUUCGAGGCAAUGUGCACAACUUGAACAAAAAACAAACAAACCUUUUAGGAGAUAACAACAUUGUUAUAGCGUUCUUCCUGAAUGUUUACCUGGAAAACAACUUGAUGUUCAAAGCUACAAAAGUCAACAACCAGGUAUAGAUGGGAAUUUCCAAUUUUAUUGCUCUCCCGUUCCUUGACUUUGUCCAUAGCUUUAAAUGCAAGGUGGUCUAGCCAAUCAAUUCGUUGAAUCUGUCCUUUUUCAUAUUUAUUCAUAAGCUUUUCCAAGCGCUCCAGCUCACCCCGCUCAUGCUUGGGGACCUAAAAACAUAUUGCAAGUACCCAAAAUCAUCAUUGCUUUCAUGCCCAAUCUGAAAGUUGUAAUCACCAGCAUAACAUGUAACAAGCAGAACCUUUCCAGGAGUAUUUGUUGGAAAUGAGCCAUCAGCUUCCUUUCCUUGCCAAAGUCUAAGCUUCUGCUUCCCAGUUUUGAGCUGCUUUUUGCUGCUAAAUAGAAGAAUCGUAGCCCCACCAAUCAACCCCUCCUCUUUUCCACAAGAAACAUCCCAGACCUAAAAUUUUUAUGUCAAAACAAGAAUUUUUUGCUCUCAAUUAGAUGUAAAAUUCAAUUAGAUACCAUAGAUUAACACCAAGGGUGCAAGCAUCAAAUUCUCCCUGAACCACAUUUGAGGGAUAAAAGUUUAUGAACCAUUUGCAUCUGCAGAUGAAACCAUUGCCUCAUCACUUGGGAGACAAAUGUGGUGAUAUUACCUUAAUAACGAUAUCAAGAACCAGCUAAAGUUCACUGACCAUGCCUCUCAACAGAAGCUAAGUAUUAAUGAAAAGACAUGCUUAGGUAAUUUCAACAUAAUGUGGGAUGAUAAAGAAUACAGUAAAGAACAUAUGGUCCAAGUAUUAGCUCUGAGCAAACAGCCUUUCACUAUGGAUCAACUUUGUCAAAGGAUAAUCAGGAUUACAUGUAGCAAUGCCAUGUUAAGAUCGGAGUACGCCCAACAAGUAAUAAAGAAGAGAUACAAAUGUAUGUAAUGAGAGGUGUACUUUAAGAAAGCGGAGCACUUCGGUAUAGAUACAAAGUCAGCUAAGAUAUAUCUACAAUACACAAGUGAAGAAACAUUCCAGACUCACUGUUAAAGCAAGUUGUGAGUGAGCAGUUAAGUCUCGAUAUUUAGUACUCAGAGUGAUGAGUUCAUUCCAAAAAUAUGGUGGCCCUGCAGAUUCCAACCUGGCAUUGAAAUGAAUAGCUAAGAUUUGGAUUGACGUUGAACAGAAUCUAAAUCUCCAACUACCCAUGUCAUAUACUCUUAUUGACAGAAUAAAAAGAGUUAUAUUCAAUCGAUCACUGUUAGGGGGACCACCAUGCUGGAUCCCCAACAUCUACCUGUAACAGCAGGCAAUUGUUCAUCCAUAAUAUAAGUAAAAACUAAAUUGAACGUCCACCACAGUUUAUUUUGUCAGCAUGUUUAUUGCCCAACCAUGAACAGAGUUCAGUAUAUAAAUAACAGAUAACGAAAGCAGAACCAAUUGCGUGACUUUGUCUUCUGAAAUAUGAAGACAAAAGAACAAAAUCUUCUCAUAGCAGCUAGCUGUCAAUAAAGACCUUGAGAUUUUUUUGUUUCGAUAUUUCGUCCAUUGAUGGCCAUUGACAUAGGACCGUGUUAUUUGGUUCAUCUUCCAUCUCCUAGGAUAAAAUCUAAGAAAUUGAUAAGCAUCAUCUAAAAGAUAUACCCAAAACGAACUAUUUUUGAAAUUCCUACAGUCUCUGGCCUUUGAUUUAAGCAACCUCGAAAGCAACAGACUCCUAUACUUUCUAAGAAACAUGAGCCAGAAAGUGCCGAAUUAAGCUCCAGAUAAAUGUAUCAUUCAGUUAAUAGGAAUACGAAAUAAUUAUUCCAAUGGACUAAUUUGAACACAGAGCUUCCAACAGAAAAAAAAUAAAAAUAAAAAUAAAAUAGACAGAGAAACUGCUAAUGGAUUUAGACACCACCAGCUGUAGGGUUUACAAUUAUGACUAUUGAGGCCAGGCAUAUGAAUCAAAAUUAUUUCCAGGGUUACAUUUAAACUUUUCAUUGCCACUCACGCAUGAAAGAUCGGAGUCUGUCUCUUUACAAGGCUACCUUAUGCAACAGACAGAUUGUGCCAGAAAAACAUGCAACGUCAACUAAUGCCCUAAAACGAUCGAUAUGAUGAAGUACAUCCCACAUUCCCAACCAUCAACAUAGGCCAUGCUGAUGGUACCAGAUUCACUCACGCUCAUCUCUCUCACUCCUCUAAACAGCCACUUCGGCAUGAAACCACAAAAGAGAUCCAUUGUGUUACAAAUCAGCAACGUCCUUACCCAGAACUAUGUCACAUAAUAUAAGUUCUCUUGUGAAGUGAAUAGAUAUUUUUAAGUUUACCCAGAUAUCUCAUCGUCGUCCAUCAUGUUUCCUUAAAGCAAAAAACCUUUUUCAAUUGUCUCUACAAAUAGUGAACCAAGAUAUAAUAGAAGAAAAUGUCACUGGGAAGUAAUACUUGGCACGGCAGAUAACAAAAUGAUCAUGCAUGGGAAAAAAGAUCGGCACAUGAGGACCGGAUUAAAUUAGGUGGGCACCUCGUUCUAGUGGGAAGACCAAAUGGGGCACCGUCAAUGUACAGAGAGCACUCGACGUAGAGCUCCGCCUUUCUCUCCUCCGCGGCAUGAUCGAUCUCUGCAGAAGGAAUACAGUGGAAACGGUAUAUAACAGCUGAAAGCACAAAAGCCACGGCAGAAUCUAAAGACUCUCGGUCCGCUUAACCAUUAACCAACAGCAAGAAGCACACGUCUCCAGCCUUUCCCUGAAAACACACGACCACAGAAGUCUCCUUGCACCAUCAAGCAGUUCACCCACCUACAAUUCACUCCAUUUCUCGAAUUUUUUCCUUCUCUCGUUCUUCUACUAGCCAAAACUCGAAAAGGGUUACCUGGGUUUGGAGAGCGCUUAGGAGGCAGAGCGUCUUCCAAGUUCUUGACCCGGAAGGUAACGGGGAGCUUGAUGUCGCGCGACAGGAAGAACCGGAACUCGUUGCCGCCGCUCAUCGUCGUCGACUUCGCCGGGGCUGGACACAGAGAGCACGCGAAUCCUCCUAGCCGCAGAGGGCCGCCGUCGGACAAGCGGGUGGGUUUCGCCGAUCCCGAGCACGGACGCUGAGUUCGGUUCGGUUGAGGAAGGGGAAGCGCCGGCGUGGGCAACGACGGCGCCGGAGAGACACCGGGCGGGGACCAACCGCUAGAUCAGACGGUUAAUUUCGUUGGAUCGUUCCUGCGACAUGAGUUUUAUUUUAUUACGGAAAAUUACACUGGCUAUCGAAUUCUAAAUGUUUUGAAAAUAUAUAAUUUGAACAUUUUAAAGUUUAGUGUGAUCGAGUCAAUAGAUAAUAGAACCAAUCUGCUGACUUGGCACGCUGAGAUCCUAUCUCGCGGGUUGCCAUGAAUCGAAUCGGAUAGAAUUUUUUUUGGUCAAAAAUAAGGAUGAGACGCAUUACUUAAUCGAGUUCUUUGCAAAUACAUCAAAAGCAUAAGUACAUAACAAAUCUAAAAAUGCAUAGGGGGGUUAGUAACCCAACUACUAAGAAGACACUUCAUGCAUUGGGCUUUUGCAAGCCAAUUUGCUGUUUUAUUCGUCUCUCGGCUGCAAUGGGCUAUUGUAAGGCCCGGAGUUGCUUGCAACUUUGUCUUGCCCGGUCCACCAAUGGUUGUGCAUCCCAACUGAACUCCACUAAAGUGAAAAUGCUAUGCAUGAGCCUUCAGAUUGUACUUGCAGCUUCAGUUUAGUUAUGUUCGGGGGAAACUUGGUGGAGAUAAAAUCUAGGGUUUCGACAAGCACCGUAGCCUCUGCUUGUUCCGCUGAGCUGAUUGCAACCGAUUUGGCGAACCCAUUUACUAAUUUGCCAAGGGAGUUGCGGCAAAUUAGUAGAUACAAUAAAUAUCAUAACUGAUUAUUUCAAAUGAAAAUUUUAAGUUGAUUCAAUAAAUAUCAAAAUGUGGCAUUUAGAUGCAUAAGUCAAAUUUUCUCUUUGUAUUAUUUUAUAGUAGAUUUCUCCGGUAGAGAUUCAACAUCAUAUUAAUAUGAAUUUUAUGUGACAUUACAAAUGUAAUUACUUUUAUAUUUUCGUUGAAUAUAUUUAAUGUGUAAUUUUUACUUUCAAUAUGAUAUAUUGAUUAGAAUAUAUCAUCUUUGGUCGGUUUGGUUUAGGUUCUAUAUUUUAUUUUCCUUUUCCAUGUUUCAUAUAUAAUUUACUGUCAAGAACUAAAUUGACUCUUGAUGAUCACAUAAUAGUAUAAUUUAAAAUAACCCAUACUAACUAAAACAAAAAGCAAAUAGGUCUUAAUAUGUGUUUUAAAUAAAAAUAUAUUUGCACAAAAAUCUAUUUGCUGAAGAGGGUGUCUCCUAUCUUGUCGCCAAUUGCGUCAAAGGCCGCAAGGGGCGCGAAUAAUCCGCUAUUCGGGCGGCAUGGAGAGAGAUAUUAUCAUGGAUGGGCGGCCAAUUUUAGGGUUGAAAAAGGCCCAUGUGUAAAAUUAAAAAAGCUAGUAAGUGCAUGUUAGCAAAAUAAAUUUGAUAACAAAACCAAUUUGAAAAAAAAAAAGUUAUCACUAAUGAUAUUAUUUGUAAAUUAAUCUAUACACGUUUCAUAAAUUUAUGAUUACUAACUGGAUAACUAAAAUCAAAUUUAUUUUAAAAAGAAUAACGCAACUAAUUAAAUGUAACUUAAUUUAAAGAUUUAAUACCAUUCGUAAACCAAAGGCGAUCGGGUUUACCUAUGGCAAUGAAAUUGAUUUUUUUGGCACAAUUUUUUUUUGCCUAUGGGUUUUUUCUUUAGCCUUCUGUUUUUUAUUUUAAUAAAAUCAAAGCCGGCAAGCAAAAACUAACUGGGUUUAAUGGCCAUAGUUUAUUUUUCUUUUUCAUUUUUUGACAUCUUUAAUUAAAAGUCAUUUUCUUAGAAUCAUUUGAGCAAAGCCAACAAAACCACACUUUUGUUGUCUUGGGUCAAACCUAAGACGACUUAGUUUUAUUUUGUUGCUGUAGGUGGGAGGAAUUUUUAUCCUCAACUGCGAUAAAGUAUGAAUUUUGUGGCUUAAGCCUGAUCUAUGACGACAUAAUCGUGAUUUCGUUGCUUUAGUUCCAAUCUAAGAUCAUGAACAUAUUUCUUGCCAUAGGUUUAAAAUUGUCCCACCUUUAAUUGAGUCAAUGGCGAAGAAAAUAUAAAAAAAAUUUCACUUAAAUUUAAUGUAAGGCGACAAAACUCGGUAUGGCAAGCUGUUUAGUUGCCUUAGGGCAUGACCAGCCGUUUUUCCUGUAGUUUGCAGUAAUGGAAAAAAGAUGUACCGUAAUAGCCAUUUCACCGUAAUAUAACACAAUUGUAAUAAUUAUUAUGGUAUUUGGUUUAAGUAAUGUAAUACUUAUUACACAGGUUUGUAUUCAUUGGCAACAUCUAUAAGAAGAAGCCGAUAGCAUCAGAAUUUAAAUAUUAUCCCUAAAUUCAGAAUUGGAGGGAUUAUAAUAAUCAUCAUUUCAAUUAGUUAAAUCGUGAUUCAUGAGUUUAAUGCACCACACAUAUAUUAUCAGGUAUUGUAAUUUAAUCAAAUAUCUACUAUCAUAAUUAAAAGAUAAGCACAUAGCAUCUCAUGAUUUGGGUCGUUGUGACCCUCCCUGGACGGUUGCUGCGAGCUUCGUGCGGAAGUCACCGGGGCCGCUCGAUUCGGGUUGCAGCGACCCUGAUCACGAUUAAAUCUCGCGAUUCGGGUCGCAGCGACCCUCGCCGUGCUGUGUCCUCCCCUUGUCGGACCGCCUGCCCCUUGCCGGUGGUAACCGGCCAAGCCUUUGGCCGGCCAACUCUCAUUUUUUUCCCUUUUUUUUUUAAUAGCAAAAAAAUUUUGCAAAGUUAAUUUGUCCAAACACUAUUUUACUCAAAGAUACUUCAUAAUGGACUUUCACAAAUACGAUUUACCAAACACAAUUUGCAUUUUGAAAAGCUCAUUUAGCUCAAGGGUAUUUACAUUUUCUCAAUGACUUUCUCCAAAAACCUUCCCAAACGCACCCUUAGGCAAUCAUGAGUGUAAUACCCAUACACGUUAUGAAGAUAUCAUACAUUAUAGUCAUUAGAACUAAAAUUAUUGUUACGUAAGUAGAAGUAAGCUUGAAUUAACAAAUAUAUAACUAUUUAUAAACUAGUAAUUAAGAUAUUAUUCACUAUGAGUAAUAUAAGAUUGCCUUAUGCAACAUUUAGAUAAUCAUACUUAAUAGUAUGGAACUGAUAUAUCCUUACUAUUACUUUUGAAUACUUCUUAGAGUGCGUUUAUCUCAUGAAAAACUCAAGAUCUGAAAAAUAUUUUUUGCAAAAUUAAUUGGUUAUAUCGCUUAGAAAAAUUAGUUAAUAAAAACUUUUUUUCGUUAUCAACAACAGUUUAUGACUAACUAUUUUUGUGGGUGAUGAAAAUACUUUUAUUCAUUAAAUUUUUUAAGCGAUACAAGUGAUCAUUUUUCGGAAAAUGUUUUCCAAAUCUUGAGUACUUUGUGAAACAAACACGCUCUUAACAUAAUAAUGAUUGUAUACAACACAAUUAUCUUUACGUCAAUAUCUUUUAGUACAGUAUAUGCCAUAAUAUAUAAUUAUGCCAAAAUAUUGUAAUUGGUGUUAGAAUUACAUAAAAAUAUAACAAAUUAAUCAUAAUUAGUAUGAACUUUAGCUAUAAUUAAUAUAAUCUAUCACCGCUAGUGUCGGCGGGUGAAAUGAGAGUGGGAACGGCACCCCUUGCACACACCAUUUGCCAAGCCUCUUAAAGCUCUUGCUUUGAAACAAGGAAGCAAACCUAUAGAAAUAUCUAAAUGAAAGCGUAGAUGUCCCUAAACAAAACUCCGACGACAUGUAAACGGGGUCAGCAAGCAAAGGAGACUCCGUAAGAGAAAACUAUAUAAAACUAUAUAUGUAUAUAAUCUCUAACAUGAGUCUUGACCCGACCCAAUCCCGUUGCUCGACCGCCUCCCGAUCUGCACACAGUCGAUUGGCAGGGAGAUCGGCGUGGUCAGCUGCCCGAAGGUCUGCCAGCAGAAGGGGCCGUCGUCGUGGGAGGGGGGCUUCUGCGAUGAUGGCCUCAAGUCUAUCGCCGACAGGGUGAUUUCCUCGCAAGGCACGCUGUCGCUGCAAGCCAAGUCCACUGGCCUCUCUGUGUACGUCCCUGAGACGUGCUCGUAAGCGACGUCUCGCACCGCCACGGCCGAUGACUGGUUCGUGCACGUCGCGUGAUCGCAAUAGUACUGGUUGAUGAUGAUGGGCCAUCGGACCUCGGAGACUCGAAUGUUUGAGAACUUCACUCCAUAAACGGAUCCUGACUAGGGGUGAGCACGGUUCCCGGGUAGAACCGGGAACCGGAGAACCGAACCGGAGGGUCCGGUUCGGUUCCCGGUUCUUAAGAGACUGGUUCCGGUUCCCAGUUCCAUUUUCCUAGGAACUGGCGUUCCCGGUUCCGGUUCCGGUUCCCGUAUGAAUCGGAACCGGAACCGGAACCUGUCAAAAUUAAAAAAAAAAAAAAAAAACCUUAGUCGCUUCCCCCACGUGAUUUCCUCUACGUUUCUUCCCGCCUUUCCCUUCCUUUUUCUCUCUCUUUCUUUUCUCCCCUUUUUCCUCCUCACACGUCACUUCCUGCCCCCCCAACCUUUUUCUUUUCUUCUCUCUCUUCUUUCCCCUUCUCUCGGCCGAAACCCCACCCCUUCUUCUCUUCUUCUUCUUCUUCUUCUUCGCAACCCCUCCCCUCGCCGCUUCACCCACCACCACACCGCCACCCCACGGCCUACUCACCACCAUCUCUUGGCCACUGAACCAGCACCACCCACCGUUCGUCCGACGAGCCGUCUCACCGUUGAGCCCGAGGAGCGGCUCUCGAGCCCCUCGCCUCUGGCGGCGGCGGAGGACGGAGCGCUCAGGGUUAAGGCGGCGGGGGGGCUCGGGUUUAGGAGCCACGCCUUUGGCGAUCCGGAGGAGAGCGGGGGCGACGAGGGGAGCGGCGGUGGCGGCGGCGGCUCGGAGAAGAACGAGCAGUUCGUGCGCUGGUUUCACGAGGCGUGGCCAUAUUUCAGAGCUCACAGGGGCGGCACUUUUGUCGUCGUCGUCUCCGGCGAAAUCGUCGCUAGUCGGCACUUGGAUCCGGUUCUCAAGGCACGCAUCGGUUUUUCCUCGCUUCUUCUGUUUCGUUUCUGAUUUGUGGUUUGGCUGCAUGUUAAUGCUGUGAGGAUUCAGGAAGAACAAAAGCGCGGACCCGUUCUGUUGUGGAAUGCUCCAAGUGAUUAAAUUCGCGUUCUUCAUGCCUUGUAGCUGACUUACUUUUAUUUAUCCAAACAAUGGGCAAAGAAAGUAUAUGUUCUGCUAAUGUUUGCAUGAGGUGCAACUGAGCAUUUGUUUUUAUGUCUAUUGCAUGGAUUGGAUCUCAAUUUUAGAAGUGGCUAGGUCUUGUUUGUGUGGCCUGCUUUUGUUUCUAUAAAAUCAAUUUUUAACAAUAGACCUUUAAUUGCUGAUACUAAGCAUGUCUUCGUAGGACAUGAGCCUAACUAUGUUGGAAGAUACAGAAUAACAGACACUAAAGCUCUGGAAGCAGCUAUGGAAGCAGCUGAAGGUACUUGUUUAAUGAUAGAGGCUAAACUAUCUCCUGGACCCCCAAUAUCCAGUAUGCGCUGUCAUGGGCAUAGUAGCCGUUUGCAUGAAGUUGGUUUAAGUGUCGCAAGUGGUAACUUUCUUGCAGCCAAGGUAACGGUUUACAUGCUUACUCUCUUGGUCAAUAUCUCGAAUUAGUUUAACGAACAGUUCACAUUUCUCCUGUCAUCGUUCUGCUUUGGCAGCUAUAGUAAUGUUGAUUAUUUUAUUUGUAGCGAAGAGGAGUUAUUGAAGGUGUUGAUUUUGGGGCAACAGGUGAAGUAAAGAAAGUGGAUGUUUCUCGUAUUCAUGAGAGGCUUGAUGAUGGAUGUAUAGUUGUAUUAAGCAACCUGGGCUAUUCCAGCUUUGGAGAAGUUCUGAAUUGCAAGUAUGGAUUAUUGAUUUUGAUGCCUUGAAAAAAAAAAAAAAAAAACCUGUCGGAACCUGGAACCGACUCCGGAACCUGUGACAGGGUAGGUUCCAGGUUCAAAAAAUUGAGGAACCUGUACCCGAGGUUAGGUUCCAGGUUCCAGACGGAACCGAACCGGAACCGGGAACCGCUCACCCCUAAUCCUGACCCACCCUGCGUCAGACACAAUUCAUUCGUAAAAAGACAUAAAAAAAGGCUAGGGUAUUAUAAAUUGUCAAUUUCCAAGGCUGUUUAUGUUUUAAUGUUGUUCAGGACGCAAAUUUAUUUUUUUCCUUUUACCUGCCACGAUUUUAUCCUAACGCCGUUCGUUGUCCCUUGCAGAUCGACGUCUUCAACGGUGAUGUUGUGCACACAUGCUUUAGAGUGGUCUUUUCCUAGGCUUCCGAUGCUGAUCCCGUGCCCCGGACCGCAGUGCACAUCGUGUAUGCGAAUGUCGGAACAUCCGCUGACGAUCGAAAUGCAGUCGUCCCCUGUAUGAAACAUGGUAACAGAAUCUAAAUCGAACAUUCUACUAAAUUGAAGAAACGUAACAUUCAAUAUCUAUGCAUUUCCAAUGAAACUUUCGCAGAAAUUGUGGUUACCGCAGGCGAGAGUAGCAUCGUGGAUGGUCACGUCUUGGGAGUUCCCGAGGUGGAUCCCAUCGGUGUUGGGACUGUCGCCCGGGGACGAAAUACUCAUGUCACGCACGAGAACGCUGACGCAGUGGUCGAACGUGAGGUGGAAGUUGGGGCUGUUCUGGAUCUUGAUGCCGCUGAACGUGACGUUGAGACAGUGAUCGAAUCUCAUUGCCUGAUCAAUCAAAGCCAUGAAAAAGAAGAGGAGAUCCAUAUCAAUCUUCCCAAUGAUCACACAGUUUGGAAAAAACUCAGGCAAUUAUAGCUAGGAAUGAUCGGUUCGUGGCUCUUACGGUUGGUUUGUUCCGGGGCAUUGAACUCAACUCCUCUUUCGCCUGCCACAAGUUCGACAAAAGAGUAGACAUGGAAACACGAUUAGUCGAAAUCUCAAGCAAUGAUUUUGCAAUAAAAGGCAUAUGGUACCUGCCCAAGCCCAACAACACCGAUAUAGUAUAGUGAUUACUUCCCAAUUGUAAUACUAAUAAGUUCAAGGAAAUCAAAAUCAUGUGCAAAUUCAAGUAAAAAUUUUUGCAAUUAAAUCAUACGGUAAAGUACGCACAAAAAAUAAAAACUCGAAAAAUAACGCUAAAAUAUACUUUUGAUAAGUUAAAUGCAAGAAUAAACGGAAUUAGAGACGAUAAUCACACAAAAAUAAGAAGUCAUGGACUAUAAGCAUCUCAAGAUUUUUGCAUAUGAAGAAUUUGCGCUUGUUCGUUCCCCGGAACAAAAAAAGAACAGAAACCUGUUUGGUAACGCCAAGUUGUUUUUCUAUUCCCGGGAAUAGAAAGUUAGCCCGGGAAUAGAUUUGGAGCAGAAAUGAGAAGCAAAAAAAAUUUGCUUCUUGUCCCGGGAACAAUUUCUAGAAAUAAGCUGAUUUUCUUUUUUAAUUUUCUUUUAUUUCCUUUUCUUGCCGCGACCACCGUCAACCGCUUGAAGCCACCACCCGCCGCUGCCGCUGGUCGCCGCCCGCCGCCGUCGCCCGCCGCCGGUCGCCGGUCGCCGCCGCCACAGGUCGCCGGUCCCGCCGGUCGCCGGCCGCUGCCGCCGCCGGUCGCCGCCGCCGGCGCCGCCAGCGCCGCCCGCGAUUGCUGUCACCGCCCGCGGUCGCCAGUCGUCGCCGGAGGCGGCCGGGCGACCACGGGAGGGGGCGGCCGAUGGGCUUCCGGCGGCGGCCGGCAGUGACGGUCGGCGGCCGGCGGUCGUGCGGUGGCGGCGGCUAACGGGCCGGCAGCCACGACCGGCGGGCGGGCGGCGGCGAUCCGUCGGCAAGAAUAAAAAAUGAAAAAAACAAACAAGAAAUUGUUGCGUUACCAAACGCAUUUCUAUUCUUUUUCUAUUCCAAGAGUAGAAAUUUUGUGUCGUUACCAAACGGGUUCUUUUACUCAUAAAUUGUCUCCGGAGCAGAAAUAGAAAAGAACCAUUUCUAAAAAAAACAUGUAGCAGGAUAAGGAAUUUGAAUUCGAAAUUUUAAUUGCUAAAUCGUUUCGAUAUGCAACCAGCAUGGAAUUCGUUAUGGUGCCUGAAUAGCCUCGAUUAAAAUAUUUAAGCUAAAAAAAAAAGAACAGAUAUAGCAAAAUUAAGAUUUAUAUGAAAUUAGAGAUUGAUCUAGUCGGAUCUCCUUUAUAGUUGUAUUUAUUAUUAUUAUUAUUAUUAGCGCCACUAGUGAUUCAUAUAGCACAUUAUGAUUAAUAGGAUAGAGGAGGGUUAUUGGACAAUUAUUUUUAUCUCUUGGUAAAAUUAAAACAUCAUAAUUUAAGGAGACUCGCAAUAAUAUAUAUAGAGAAAUAAAGAUUUUAUAAUAUCAUAUUUGAUAGAUAGGGGAAACACAAAUAGAUUAAGUUAAGUCUAAAUAGUGUUUUGAUGUAGAUAAUAUUGACCCUAAUAGGGGUAUGGAGAGUAACCGUAUAAUAAAUUUGAUAACUAAAUUCUAGAGCAGCUUACAUUUUCACUUUUAGGUUAUUUAUCUGUCUUGGCAACUUCAUCAUUUUUUUCGGAAGUUUUCGAAUGUGCUAAGUUAUCAAUUGAAAUUUCAGUAUGCUAAAAUUUAAAUGAAUUUUCAUCUAUGUUUAUCAUGUUCAUUCUAUUGUAGUAUGAUAAUAUCCUAUUGCACAAAAACACGUACAAUUUAGUAAAACUAAUUUGCCAUCCUUUUCAUUGGGUACAUCUAUAAAAAAAUCUGGAUCGGAAAAAGUAGGAAGACAAUGUGUCUUAUGUUUACUUUGUUACGCUAAUAAGGGAAAAAGAACGCUUUAAGUGCCAUAACUUUGCACAAAGGGAUACUUAAGUGUCAUAACUUACAAAAUGUACACUUAAGUGCCACAUUCGAAGAAAACGAAUCACUUGAGUGCCACUUCGGCCAAAGUCCAGCCAAAACGCCGACGUUGCAUUUUUCCGGCGAAGCGUGCCCAAAACGAUGCCAUUUUGCACACUGACAUGGCCAAAUAAUGCAAAAACGGCGUCGUUUUGGGCUGACGUGGUAAAAAAUUAAUUAAAUUAAAUUAAAUUAAAUUUAAAUUUUAUGUUUAAUUGAAUGUACUUCAAAAGCAUGAAUAAAAAUACACAAAUUAAAAAAAUCUACUUUUGUUAUGUUAUCUCGUUAUUCAAAUUUAUAUUAUUUUAGAAAAAGUGGAUUUGCUUAUUUUGUGUGUCUUCUUUACAUAGUUUUGUUUCAAUCUUUUUCUAAUGUCCUGAGUUAAUAUUCAAGAUCGUUUCUCUUUAUCUAUUAUUUUGAAUUUUAUUUUAAUUGUCAAAUGAAAGAAAAUGGGGGUGAUACAACAAACUAAUAAGCUAAAAACUCAAGAACCUUAUCCUUAUUGACUCCUUCAAAUAUUUUAAUUUCAAAUUAAGUGUAUCUUGAUAUAAAUCUAGGUUUUGUUUUUACUCUCAAUCUCAAUCAAGUGGAGUUGGUUGAAUUGUAUACAAUAUUUUUGAAACAAUCUGAUUUCAAAAGCCGGAAAUAGGUUGAAUUAAUUGCACAUAUUCUAUGGAUAAGUAGAUUGUGUAAUAUAUAUAUAUAUAUUUUUUUUGGUGACCUGGGAAGCGUCGUAUAGCCGGCAGCCGACGGCGUAAACCCGGGGCGACCCGCAGGGACCCACCUCCUACAAGCCACAGGUAAGUCGCGUAAAUGACGAGGUGGGGAGUUGAACCCUGGCUUUGCGGGUGGCCAGCGUACAACUCCACCAUCUCUGCCACCAAUGGGGUGGGUGUGUAAUAUUUUUAUUCUUAAGAUUCUACAAAAAAAAAAAAAGAAAAAAAAAAAGAGAGUGAAAAGUAUUUAGAACGCAUGAAAUAAAUAAAAAUAAUAAUAAAAUAACUCAAGUUAUAAAUAAAUAACCAGUUGUUUAUUUAUUUAUUUAGUAUUGACGUAUAUUAAAGUGGCAAGAAUUAUGAAGACCAAAAGAAGUAAUAUGAAUUAUAUAUCUAAAUAUUACUAUUAUAAGCUACAUAGAAACGUCUAUAUCUUCUCAAUUUACUCAAUUUAAAAUAUCAAAUAUUGGAAUAUAUUACAAACUUUAAACUUUAUAAAAAAUAAGAUUACUUUUCUAUCUUAUAAUUAAGUGAAUGUACUAAGCGAAUAAUUUAAAACUUAUAUGUAAUAUCAGGGCCUUAGGGUACGUCAUGUCGUAUCUUUGUUAUGCUUGUAAUCACACAUGCAAAAUGAGUGCCACUGGAGCGCAUGAUAUGUUACAAUGGGUGGAAGAAUUCAUCCCAAAAAAUUAACUUAUCAAGAGAGGAAACUCAAUCCAUUAUAAGUCCAGAAUAUCUCUUUAGUUGCCUGAUGUGAAACUCAUUCUCCCCUUCUUCAAGGAAUUUGUGAGCUCGCAGAAAGGCCUCCAGGCCGACGUGUUAGGUUAUUGACAAGGGACCACAACCUCGAGGAUAAAAUUCGAGAAGGUGGUGCCUAAGGAGUAGCUUUAAUAACAUGUUAAUGCAUUACAAUGAGUGGAAGAACUCAUCCCAAAAAAUUAGCUUAUUAGGAGAAGGAACCAAACUUAUUGUAAGCCUCGGGAUAUUUCCUUAGUUGGCUGAUAGGGACUUUGCCCCCAUUAGAUAGGCAUGAAUACUCUCUCAAAUUUCUUUAUGAGUACUAAAAUUAACUAGACUUCAUAAUAAUAAGGGAAACAAAAGGAAGGAAUAAAACAUUAUAAGACAAGUUAGAGUUUGUACUUAAUCUUUAAAGUGAUCUAAUGAUUUUCUUAACUUUUAUAUCCCAUGCAAGUAUGUUUAUUCAAAUUAAAUGCAAAUAAGUGUUAGGUGACAACCUUCCCAAGAGGUCACCCAUCUUAAGAGUGCUCUCACCUAAGUAUGCUUAGCUUUGGGGUUGCAAUGCAAAACUUACCGUCAUAUCAAAAGGCAUAUUUGUAAGUUAAUUCCAGUUUUCAUACACACACAACGAAAUUGUCUCGCUUUAUUUUAUGCACAAUUUGGUUCAUUCUUCCUCAUUUGUCUUCCUAGUAACUUGCUAGGAGUCUCUUCUUGUCUAGGCUAUCUGCCCUAUGCUAUCACUCAUUGCCCUUGUCAAGCUAGGUCGUAACAUAAUUAGACAAAUUUCUUUUGUUGUGACUCUUGCACUUGUUAAAUUAAUUGAGGUCAAAUUUGUUAUUUAAAAGAUCUAGUGGUAUCAAUGUUGAUGCAAUGAGUAGAAAGUCAUGAGUGUUCGAAAAAUUCAUAGAUAUUCCUAAAAUCAUUUCAAAGUUAUUGAGAAGUGAUGUUACGUGGAAAUUGGAAAACAAUUUUCGCUCUUUUUAUUGGACCUUAGCCCAUUUUGUGGGGCCCUCCUGAGGUCAAACUCAAGAGGCUCUCUUUGCUUGUGGUGAGCAAUCCUACUUAAUCCACAAACUGUGGCAUCAGAAUUUAGAUAAAGUUAAGAUUUGCCGGGUAUUUUAUGACUCUUAAUUUCCACGCCGGUGUCUCUAAUUUAUAAGAAAUAAAACUUCACAUAUAUAAUACUUGCUAUUCACUAUUUCUUCUUUUUAUAGUGGUCUUAAAAAGAGGAAUAAUUAUUUAAAAGUUGUAAAUGGUCGAUUCAAUUAUAAACUUUUUAUUUUUGGCCAAUUUAAUUGUAAGCCUUUUGAGAAUUUGUCAACAUAGUUCUUCUAGCCAAUUUUAAACAAAAAAUAGAUGUCAGCCAUCCUCCAUAAUACAAAUGGCAUUGUGGACGAUUUUUGUAAUUUACUUUACAAGUUUUUGAUAUUCUUCUCUUUUAUUUGUGUUUUUCCUGUUUUCCUUUGCUAGUUGUUGAGUUUAGAACAAUGGUGGGGAUGCCCCAUGUGUGGUUGAUGACCUUUGCUGGGCAUCGUUGAGGCUCGCGACCUGUGGAGGGAAAUAGUGGAAAAUAAGAAAAUAAAAAAGAAAAUAAAAAAGAAAAGAAAAAAGAAAAAAAUCAGAAAAUCAAAAAGAAAUUGCAAAAUCAUUAAAAUUAGUACCAACCAUACCAUAUAGGACGGCUGAUGCUAAUUGGAUUGUUACGUUAAUGAUUUACGGUCAAAAUUGGAUGGAAGAAUACAUAUGCAAUACACUAAAAUGUUUGAAAAUAAAUUAAUAAAACUAAAAAAUUUAGGAUUGAAUUGGCCACCAUACAAUGGAUUUGGGAUUUUUUGAUAAUUACUUACCCCUUAAAAAGAUAUAUGUUCAUGGAUUGAAUGCGAUAAACAUCAACUUUUGCGACAUGAUCUUUGAAGACAAUAUUUGUCGACUUCAUUGAUCCUUGAGUUUCUAUACAUAAAUUCUUUUGUCGUCAUAAAAUUAGAAACCAUUUCAUUGAUUUACCCCUCUUCAAGACAUUUAAAAUUAAGGGAUAUGUGGACGAAAAGCCCUAAAACUUAUUGUAAAAGUGUAAUAUGAAUUCUAAAACAUUUAAAAAGUACAAUUGGGUCCAAAACUUGUCCUUUGUACAAUUAAGUACCUCCAUUGUUUCCUCAAUUUAUUUGAUAAAAAAUAAUGACAUGUCUUUCUAAAAACUUCCCAAGGUCACGUGGCAUUGAGAUGGCAAGAAAUGGGAGCCACGUCAGGAAAAAAAAUGCUAAACAAAAACAAAUAACGAAAAGCCAAAAAUUCAAAAAGAACGAUAACAUAGAACGCGGCGGGAGAGAUGCAUGUGGGCUGGGGUGUUUGGUGAAGGGGUGGUCCGCCGUCGAGGGUCGUUGAUCCUUGCAUUGCACGGUGGUGGCAUGACUAUUCACCGCCGCCACCCUAUGAGGAUUGUGCGGUAAAUAGAGUUCGUUGGCCCCUGAACUCAAGCAUGGUGACUUCACCAACGAAGGAGACGAGCUCACCAUCUGUGUUUCCCCUUCAUCAAUUUCUAAUCUUUCCUUGAUUUUCCUUGGAAAAUCCUUACUCUUAACAAUUUUCAGUGGUCUCUGUUUGAUUUUUCCUUUAGUAAUUUCUUGGUAGAUCCUUACUCUGAUAAGAUUCAUGAUCUCUAUUUCUUGCCAUUCAAAAAUGUUCCAUCAACUUCAUUCAUUUUUAUAAUUUUUCGCGCGUACAACCGUGACAACUACCUUGAUUUGAAGAAAUUGGAGCUCAAGACGGAACUUCAUGAGGAACAUGACCACUGCGUAAGGAGUUGUGGCACCACCCCCUGCGAGGGCAAAAACCACAAAAACAUCUGGCGAGCCCUCGCUCAAGCCGACCAUCGCGUAGCUCUCAUCCAUCAUUGUGCUAGGGCCUAGGAGCCCUACCCCAGGUCUAGCCAAGUGAGAGUCAGUGGUCCUUGUUGAGUCCCUAAUGAGGGCCGAUGGCCAUUGCUGGCAAAAGCAUGGCGGCAGUGUAGGCGCAUGACAAAAUUUAUGUUUCUCGAUUUUUCUGUUUCUCUGUUCCUCGGAACAGGUUUGGAACAGAAAUCCGUUUGGUAACGCAAUUUGAUUUCUCUAUUUCUGAAACAGAUUUCUAUUCCAGAAAUAGAGAAAUUGAAGAAAUCAGAAGCUGAAAUUUUUAACUUUUCAGUUUCUGAAAUAGAAAUCAGAAACUGAAAUCAAACUAUAUAAAAGAACCUUGCGCUUUCUUGCUAACUUAAUUCACUCAUAACCACAACUUCACAAAUUAUUGCUAAUUUUCUUUUUCUUAUUUUGCUUGUUUUUUUUUGCAUUAUUUUUUUCAAUUUUUUUUAAUAACUUCCUCUUUAGGAUGAAAUGCAAUUGAAUGGGUCCCCAAUUUUAAAAAACGACCAAAGUUCUUAAAUGCUUACUUAAAAACAAUGGGGCUCUUUCCUCCUAGAAAAGGCACCCGCAUGGCUAAUUGAAGAAAAAGUUCUUGCGUAAUAGAUGAAUAAAAAACGUGUCUAAAAAUUUAACCUUAUUUUUUUCGGAUUCGAAAUUCUUGCAAAAUCAAAAUAAUUAGAUUGUUACACAAUCUUGAAUUUUAAUUCGAAGGCAAUAGAUUCAAGAGAAUUUCUCUCUUUGUUAUGCAAGGGCCAUUAAAGGUUCAUUGAGCAACAAUAAAGAAAUUAGGGAUGAGCAACUUGACUAAUUCAAUUCGAGAAUCAAAAUAAACCGACCUUCCCCCAAUUGGUUCCUAACCAUAAACGUUACUUUAAGAUAUAAUUCUUAUAUAUUCCUUUACACCAUUAAUUUUAUUCUGCUGAUAAUCUUGUAUAAUACUAGUUUUUGAUAAAAUGACAAGGCUGUAUAGGCGCCAUUGAUGGCACCCAUAUUCAUGCUUCCGUAGUACUUGUUUGAACCUAUGCAGGAUGAGCUUGCAAACGAUACAUUAACUGAGGAUGGAAACCAAAUAAAUACGCUUAGGAAAAUAAUUACUAAUAAAAUGACAAGGGAUAAUAAUAUGCCGGAAAUUCCAUUAAAUUGUAUUUUCAACUUUUGUAAUGUAUUAGUGUUAUUUCGACUAUUAUUUUGUAUUUGAGGAUUUCCUAUGUUGUUUUAGUAUUAUUUUGACUAUUAUUUUGUAUUUGAUGAUUUCCUAUGUUGUUAUCUAAUUAAUUUCUAUUUCUAGAAAUAGAAAUUUUGUUCUGUUAUCAAACGGAUUUCUGUUGCAGAAAUAGAAAUUUUGAGUCGUUAUCAAACGGGUUUCUUUACUCAGAAACUUGUCCGGGGAAUAGAAAUUAAGAAAUUGAUUUCUAGCUAGAAAUCAAUUUCUGUUUCAGAAAUUUUGUCAUGCGCAGCUGUAGUGUCUCCUUAAAACCUUCUACCUGUGGUCUCAACAUGGUGCCAAAAAAUAUCUAAAAUUAAUACGUUGACAUUUUUUGUCUGAUAAGUUGGAUAAAAGUACUUGAUUGUGCAAAUUGGACAAAUUUUAGGAUUUGAUUGUAUUUUUUAAAAGCUAUAAAACUUACUUGGACUUUUAUGGGAAGUUUUUAUUAUCACAAUGUGGCAGGGUAAUUGAACAAAAUUAGUGGUCUUGAGGGAGGGUGGAUUUCCUCCUGUCACUAGGGUGUGCAAAGAAACCACAAGAGCUUGAACAAAAGGCUAAAAAAGAUAAAUAGAAAGUGAUUUUUGAGGGUGUAAAUGACCUCAAAUGCUUUUUUUUUUUUUAAGGAAUGUAAGUGGGGUUUGGGGUGAUAAAACGGGUUUUGGGUCUACUUAGGCUUGUUAGGUAACAUUUUGUUCCUAAAUUUUUCUAUUCUUUUGUUCUCUAGAACAAAAAAAAAAUUUCAUUUGGUCACAUAAGUCAAUUUUUUUAUUUCCAAAAUAGAUUAGCGACAAGAGAAUGGAUGAACAGAAAAAAAAAAAAAACAAGGGCCUUUUAGGCUGCGCAUGACAAAAUUUCUGAAAUAGAAAUUGAUUUCUUGCUAGAAAUCAAUUUCUUAAUUUCUAUUCCCCGGACAAAUUUCUGAGCAAAGAAACCCGUUUGAUAACGACUCAAAAUUUCUAUUUCUGAAACAGAAAUCCGUUUGAUAACAGAACAAAAUUUCUAUUUCUAGAAAUAGAAAUUAAUUAGAUAACAACAUAGGAAAUCCUCAAAUACAAAAUAAUAGUCGAAAUAAUAUUAAAACAACAUAGGAAAUCCUCAAAUACAAAAUAAUAGUCGAAAUAAUACUAAUACAUUACAAAAGUUGAAAAUACAAUUUUAUGGAAUUUCGGUAUAUUAUUAUCCCUUACCAUUUUAUUAGCAAUUAUUUUCCUAAGCGUAUUUAUUUGGUUUCCCUCAUCGGUCAAUGUAUCGUUUGCAAGCUCUUCCUGCAUAGGUUCAGACAAGUACUGCGGAAGCAUGAAUAUGGGUGCCAUCAAUGGUGCCUAUACAGCCUUGUCAUUUUAUCAAAAACUAGUAUUAUACAAGAUUAUCAACAAAAUAAAAUUAAUGGUGUAAAGGAAUAUAUAAGAAUUCUACCUUAAAGUAAUGUUUAUGGUUAGGAACCAAUUGGGGGAAGGUCGGUUUAUUUUGAUUCUCGAAUUGAAUCAGUCCAGUUGCUCAUCCCUAAUUUUUUUAUUGUUGCUCAAUGAACCUUUAAUGGCCAUUGCAUAGCAAAGAGAAAUUCUCUUGAAUCUAUUGCCUUCGAAUUAAAAUUCAAGAUUGUGUAACAAUCUAAUUAUUUUGAUUUUGCAAGAAUUUUGAAUCCGUAAAAAAAUAAGGUUAAAUUUCUAGGCACGUUUUUUAUUUAUCUAUUACGUAAGAACUUUUUCUUCAACUGGCCAUGUGCGUGCCUGUUCUAGGAGGAAAGAGCCUCAUUGUUUUUAAGUAAGCAUUUAAGAACUUUGGUCGUUUUUGAAAAUUGGGGACCCAUUCGAUUGCCUUUCAUCCUAAAGAAGAAGUUAUAAAAAAAAUGCAAAAAAAAAAAAAAAAACACAAGAAAAAUAAGAAAAAGAAAAUUAGCAAUAAUUUGUGAAGUUGUGGUUAUGAAUGAAUUAUGUUAGCAAGAAAGCGCAAGGUUAUUUUAUAUAGUUUGAUUUCAGUUUUUGAUUUUUAUUUCAGAAACUGAGAAGUUAAAAUUUUCAGCUUCUGAUUUCUUCAAUUUCUCUAUUUCUGGAAUAGAAAUCCGUUUCAGAAAUAGAGAAAUCAAAUUACGUUACCAAACGGAUUUCUGUUCCAAACCUGUUCCGGGGAACAGAGAAACAGAGAAAUCGAGAAACAUAAAUUUUGUCACACGCGCCCUUAAAAUCGGGCCUCGUUCUGUUUCCGAUAAAAGUUAAAAAAGUUCGGGUAUCAUUACAGUUCAACCCGAACCGAAUCGAAAUGCAAUAGACCAGCCCAGAGAAAUCUCUAAAAUUCCACCUAUGUCCUCCCGUCUCCACAAUAACCCCCGUCCUGUCCUUUCUCCAUCCUAGUCGACGCUUCUUCAACUCUGUAGGAGCACCGAGCACCCUCUCUCAUCGCUACGGCCACCGCCCACUCCUCCUCCACUGAACCAGUCCUCUCGCCGUCCGGCGUUCUCCGAUUCUCGAUUCUGAAUGACGCCGUUGCUAUCGCAAUCGUCGGCCGAAGACGGCGAAUGAUGGGUUUUCUUUUUUUCUUCAUGGGUUGACAUUGGGGUUUGGAAAGAGGGAGAUGGGAAGCGGCGCGCAAGAGUGAGAUCCGUAGAAUUGGAGGACGGAAGUUGGAAGCGGUGCGCAAGAGUGAGCCCUGGCAUACCUUCUUCUUCUUCUUCUUCUUCUUCUUCUUCUUCUUCUUCUUCUUCUUCUUCUUCUUCUUCGGCCAUGAUAAAUCUAUUCGGAAGAAAAUCGUUUUCCAUUUGUUGGGUCUCGACUCUCAACUGGAUGUUGAUCUUGCUUGGUUCAGUUUGGCUUCGAGAAAAACAUUGAAUAAAGCAAAGCAGAGAAGAGCAGAGGAGCAGCCUGCAGGAGUGAAGGAAGGAAGAAGAAGAAGAAGAAGAUAAAAGAGACCAAAUCCAGACCCGAACCGCGAUUCCGAUUUGGGCCGUAUACGGGUCGGGUCUCCUGUUGGGCCGUACCAAGCACACUCAUGAAUGCUUCAUGCUUCAGCUUGGGUCAGGUAUGUUUUUUUUUUUUUUUUUUUUUGGGGUCAAAAGGGUCGGGUGCGUCGACACCCUAAGUAAAAAACCGAAUAAGGUUUCAGAAGGAUCUGCGAUUAUAUAGUUGGAAAUAUUCGAUUCCCGAACUUGAUAUAUUUUAAUUACAAAAUGUCUUUAUUUCAUUUAUAAUCAUAAGGUUAUUUAUUAAACAUGCAAAAUUAUCGGAACCUUACAAGGAUAUGGACGGAUCUGAAAUUUAUUUUAUCGGAUAAUUAGCUCAAAACUUGAACUCAAUAAAUCAUUUGCCAAAUUGCCUUUCACCUAUUAAAAAAACUUAGGGUUACUUAUAUAAUUUUUGAAGUCCAAGACAAAAAUUGGUUAUAAUCCAAGCACACACUAUUUCAAGCAUGAUUUCUUAUUCUAGGAUUGUUAUAUUUCAAUGUUUCUAUCAUAUCAAUCUUAAAUAUUUUUCAAUCUAAUAUUGAGAUUCAAUAAAUUUUCUAGCUGAAGGUAUGCCAUGCACAAAUUUUGGAAAAAUGAUUGUGCUUGCAAAUUUGAAGUGGCUUAUUAUAUACCCAUACAAGAAAUUUAUUUAUGAAAAUAGUGCAAUGGCAUAUUUGGGUACUCAAUGGGGAUGAGGUUAUUGAGAUGAAUUUUUGACAAGUUUGAGACAAGGAUAGUCAUCCCUAACUAGCCCCACCUUUAUCCCUACCGUUUAUAUAUGUUCCGAGAGAGUUAAUCAAGAGAUUUUUAAGUUCAAUUGGCACUAGCCCCUCAAAUUCAAUACAAAUAAAAAGUGAUUACCCACCACCAAAUCUAAAUGUAGUUUCAUCUUUUAAAAUGAAGGGAAUCCAUUCACUUAAACCUGUAGCAUGUAGCCUGUGCUAGGAAAUGUAGAAAAGGUGUUGAAAGAAAGCAUGUGGAAAGAAUUGGAAGAGUUUUUCCAUUUGGGAGAAGUGAGGAAAAUUGAAGGUGAGAUUGGCAAGAGUGAAAAAAAAGAGGGUAUAAGCUAUCAAAAUGACUAAAUUAAACUUAUUGAGGUAUAUUUAUUCUAAACCUUUUUUUUUGUGAUAUAAAAAAUCUCCAACUUGUACUUGUGUGACAUAUUCACUCUUUGUCCACAAGUACUGUUAAAAAUUUACCUACAUGAAGAAAAGUAAAUGAUGUUGACAUGGCAUGACACUCAUGUGACUUAAGUGAGAUAAAAUCAACGUUGCUUUAGCUGAAAGUAAAUAAGUUUGUCUAGGCUUGAAAACCUUUAUCUCAAAUAGAUCAAGAUGGAUAUGAGCUUUAUUAUGUAUAUUUAAGAAGGGGUUGGGCUUCGAGGCCUCGUAUUGUGUAGUUUGAAAUGAAUUGACUUGUCUGAUCAUUUUUUUUCGUAUUUUAUUUAUUAUCCUUAUAGUAUUCAUUAAUAUUUGUAAUCCAAGCUUAAAAAAAAAGAAAUUCUACAAGUUAACAAAUUAAUUUAUUGUACUAUUAAAAGAGUGGAAAUUAUUUGCAAAUUUGAAAAGGAGAAGACACUUAAAAGGCAGCAAAAUAUUUGCAAUUUUUAAAAAUGUUCACCACCUUUUGGGCCGAGCCCGACCCGAACCCUAAAGCCGGAAAUAAUAAUAGACGGGCUAGGUAGUCCAUUCCUGGUUCAGGCUUUUUCUUCGGGCUUGGAAAUUCCAGGCCUAAAAGCUUGGCCCAGACCAAAUAUUGGCUAGAAGCCCAGCCAGCCACCCAUGUGUUGGUCGCUGCUUCAAGCGAGCUUUGAUGGCCGCCCUUAUAAGUCGCCGCACCGUUGCUCUCCCGACCGACGAACGUCUGUGCUCGCCUCUCUCUCUCUCUCUCUCUCUCUUUCUUCAGCAUCAAUGACAGCCCAUCGUGGGAUCGAGCUCGACUCGAGCUCCAUCACAGCGUUUAGCUUGGUGCAUGCAGAAUAGCUCAAGCUCGACCAUCGUCUACCCUAACCCUUUUCGCUUCCACGAAUCUGAUUCGCCGCCACCAUCGUCGCCUCGUCGCCGCUUGCCGCUUGCCGCCGCCCAUCGUCGCCUUGUCGCCGCCCGUCGGCCGAGGUUGUCCGACAACUCAAUCGGUGUCGCUCGUCCUGGUGGCGCUCGUCUUGCACUUUUUGCAAAUAAAUCUCUCCGGUCAGCGGUCAACACCAGCGGUAGGGUUCGGGUCGGCGAGGAUGCAGGAGGGUCGGUCGUGCUAGUCUGCACCAGAUUGAGACGAUCGCCAACCCAAGGGGGUCUGCGACGCCGACUGCAGGGUCGCUCGUGCUGGUCUGGCCCGGGCUCCAAAAGGGGCAGGUGAGGAUCGAGCAUUACGCAUCGAAGAGGACGAAAUUCAUCACGGUGCACGAUUAACGGAUUGCAUGCUUUGCGCUCUCUUAAGACGGCAAGUUCCUGGCUACAGCGAGCACGAAAGGGACUCUCAUUAGGGUCUUUAAUGCGGUUGAUGGUACUCUGUUGCAGGAGGUAAGUUGUCUUGAAUGAGGAAUUAGUCUAUUUGGAACUGGAACUUAGUUUGUGCAUUUUAUUUUAGCUAAAUUGAGGUGUUCAAGACCCUUUGUUGAGCUCAGAAACGAGUGAAUUGGAAGAACAUUUUAAUUGUCAGAUGACGUACUCCUUUUAGGAGAAAAUAUUACAGCAAAACAUGGGUUUGAAAUCUAGAAAGUGACUUUGGUGAAUAUAAUUAUUAGGCAGUGUCAUGACCAAAUUUUAAUGUGGGUUAUGCAUUGAGUAGUGUUUUAUUUCUUAGGAGCUGGUUACUUGUAGAUAACAGCUGUAAACCUUUAUUUAUAGUUGUCUUUGUUUAAUUUGGUUGGACUACACUGUGUAACUCAUGGUUCCAUUGGUCUCAUAGUGUUGCUAAUGCCCAUUUAUAGUUUGUUAUUGUCAAUCCUGUUCCAUGUGGAUGAUUUGUCCUGGACCUUUUUAUUUGAGAGUUAGGUUGGAACAUUUUGGUUUUCUGAUGGUGACUUGUAAGUUACAUUGGUUGUGAGUCCACCAUGUUAAGACACCUCGUGUAUUGAGGCAAAUCAGUUGUUGCUGGUAAGAUGUAGCGUUACCUAUGUGCUGCUCCUACCAUUGACAGCCAUUUACUGCAGUUGAUCUUCAUUUUUUAUUUCCCUUACUGCAAAUCAGUUCACUCUACCGCUGGUGGUGACCGCUUUGUGAGUUACUUGCCCAAAGACAAGACUGUGGCGAGCGGGCUCGGCACCAGGGAGGGAGAGCCGGAUCCAGUGGAGUCGCAGCGGGUGGUAUCUUCCGAAUAGUGAGUUGUUGCGGUUCCUCAAGCUUAAGCCCAGAAAGUUCUAAAAGAAGGUAAGGAUGAAUUUGAUGACUGCUGCGAUUUUUCAAUGUUCUAGUGAACAGCAGUUGCUCUUUCGACAUCGUAUUCCUCCACUUUGUUAUUAUAGCUUCUUUUCGGCAGCCCUGUCUACUCCUGGAGUCAUAGACGGAAUGCUGUAUUUUCUUCACGGGUGAAAUGCUGUAACGAUCCCCUACAUUGUUUAUGAGUUUGCUUAUUCGAAACAAACAGAAUGUGAGCUACAUUAUCUUGACUAUCAAAGAAAUAGGCACUGGAUCAAACAUUUAGCUCCAUUCAGAUGAUUCACCAAAAAGAGAAAAGAGCGAAGAAAUGAACUGAAGGGAAAGAAAGGCCAACAACAACCCAAUCUAUCCAACAAUAAUGACAACGAAUAUUACAAGAUAACCACAAAGACCAAAGUUGCUAAAUGACUGCAAUUCUAGCUUCAAUAACUGGAACCCUUGAUCUGAUGGGACCAAAUCCAAGAUAUCCAGCAAGACUUACAAAAUAAUGUAAAUGAAAUAAGGUCAAACUUAUUUUGUUUCUCGUCACGGUCUAGUCCCCACUCCCAACCAUGACCAAAUUGAUCAGCUAAAACCCAUACUUUGAUUAGUGCUUCUCCCAUAAAGAAUCUAAAGAGAAAAAAGAAUAAAUACUUUUUUUUUAAAAGUAUAAAAAAGUGAAAAAUUAUUGAUUAGAUUUGUAUUGUUUGGAAGUAUUUUAGUAAUAUAAUCUUUUAAAAAAAACAUAAGAAUAAGUUUUCCUAAAUUUGAUUAAAUAUGAAAAUAUUUUAUUAAUAUGGAUCGGGUUGGGUAUAAGUUGAAAAAUUUACAUUAGACUUAAAUGGGUCAUAAAUGAGUUAAUGGGUCAAUUUGGGCGAACCAUUAAUGAUCCGACCCAAACCCGACCUAUUCCACCUGUUUAACAGCUCUAAGGCUAACUUGUAGAGGUUGUGAUGGGGUCAAUUGGGGGAGUGGUGGUGUGAUCCUUGUAGAGGUUGUGAUGGGGCCAAUUGGGGGAGUGGUGGUGUGAUUCAGGGACGGAGAUGGUGACAUUGAUCGGCUAUAUGGUGGGAGAGAGAGAAAUAUUAUUGUAAAGAAUAGAAAAAUUUUAAGUAAUAAUUGCAUCACGCGAUAGUAAAAUAUAUAUAAUAAAUCAAUCAAUAUUGGGUAUUCUCAAUAUUUAAGUGCCAAUUAAAAUGACAUGCAUAUUGUAGUUGGCAAUGUAAAUUGACUGAUUACUUCACAUAAAAUACAUUUACAUAGUAAAAGGGAUAGUUUGAUCUUUUAGUUGAGGAUUUUUCUCUAAAGAUGAACAUCCUACAAUUAUCAAAAGCAGAGAAGCAUAUAUGAUAUAGAUGAAAGUAUUUUUGGAAUUUUCUCUAAUAUGAUUAAAGUAAAGAAAAACUCAAAAACUCAAAAACCAUCUUUCUGCUCUGUCUUUUGGUUUCACUUUAUAUCUCUAUUUUUUUUAAUGUUUUUUUUUUGGACGAAGUAUUGCUUUUAUUCAUUCAUAAAAGGAGCUCUACAAGAGCUAAGACAAGUGAGUUUCUGAAGCCAUGAAUCUAUCAAUUUGUGCUGUCACUUUUGUUUGUUGCUAGGUUUCAGAUUUUAAAUUUGUUUUUCAACGAAUGGGACCCAGAAACUUCAGCCCAUUGAUUGAUUCAUGAAUGAUUCAUGGAAACUUUUAGGAAACUUCUCGGAAACUUCUUGCAUGACUCAAGGCAUUGACUAUAUUUACUCAAGGGAUAUUCGGAGAUUUUUCCCCCUCCAUGACGCCAGAGAUUGAGAGCUCAUCAUAUUGACAGCCCUCGCUCGGAUCCAAGCACACCCAAAGCAAACUUUCCUGAGAUAUCUGGUGUUUAGAGAUCAUACAAUGGAGAGAGGGAUGAGUUCACAGGCAUCAUCUGGAUCUUCGUACGAGGUUUUUCUAAAUUUUCGAGGAGUAGACACCCGUCAUGGAUUUACUGAUUUUCUUUACCAUGGGAUGGUUGGUGCUGGAAUCCUUGUCUUUAGGGAUAGUGAAUCCCUCCAUGUCGGUGAAGAAAUUGGUGUUGAACUUCUACAAGCAAUCGAGAACUCCAAGAUUUACAUUCCCAUAUUCUCCGCAAAUUAUGUUUCAAGUUGCUGGUGCCUCCGAGAGCUUGCAUACAUGGUCAAGUGCACCUUGAAAUCGAAUGGGAACAAGGAGAUUCUGCCUAUUUUCUUGGAUGUGGAACCUGUUGAUGUGAAGCUGAAAACAAACUUUUCAAAUCUCCAACAGAUGUUGUGCAGUGAAGCAGAGUCAUGGCAAAAGGCUCUCAUUGCAGUGGGCAAGAUAAAAGGAUGGAACUUGAAGAAAGAUGAAAGGUAAAUGUCUUAAACUUUUCAUUUGUUAUGUAGAUUUCCUUUUCCUCCUUAUUAAGUUUGAUUGCGGUAUUGUUGGUGAAAAAUAUAGUUUAUUCAUCUCAUCGAGAAUGGAAUUCUCAUGGGUAGUAGCCAAUAGAGGUUGGCACCGAUGCAGUGGUGGCACACCCUACUCAUUCUUAUUCUCUUUCUCUUCUCACUUUUGAUCUCUGACACAGUAGCCACGAACAGUAACAUCUUGAGCAGCUUCACCAAGUCGCCGGCCAGCCACCGCUGCAACUCAUCCAUCAAUCAUCACCAUUUCUUUGUCACCAGCCUGACACCAGGUAGCCAGAACCUGCCUUGACCAUCCAAACUCCCACCCUUUCUAUCCUUCACUCACUGGCAAGUUAGAUCCAGGUUGGGUCUGACGUCACCUUGCCUAUAUCCGGCAUUGCCAGCCUUGGGGACCCCAAAUUUGGUGUCUCCUAAAGCUGGCGACGCCGUCUUGGCGAUCGUGAGGCCAUGACCCAUGUGACGUGGAGGAUUGUGAUAAGGCUUAAGAUGGCGGGUUGAUUGGGUGCGACGGUCAAGGACUCUGGAAUGCAAUGGUGACGGUGCAGGGAGGCAAGUGAUGUCAAUAGUGGCAUGAUGGUGGCAAAGGCUGACGGUGAUGGCGACUGAAGUUGGGGAGUGGAGAGAGAUUGAAAAAUCCAGAAAUUUUUAGCAUCUAGAUUUUUUUUCUCUCUCUAAUUUCCUCAACAUGUGAGGGCAAUUGAGUCACUUGAAGAGUAGCUUUUCACAACAUAAAAGUUGUCCUUAACACGGUUGUUACAUCAUGGCAGCCAAGUAGAUUUGAUCCAAUCGGUAAUUGAAGCUGUUUUGGUUAAGCUGAAUGUCAGAUAUAAAAAUGUGACUGAGCACCUAGUUGGAGUUGAUAAUCGUGUAGAAGCUAUAAUUAAGAUGUUGGAUGUGGAAUUUGAUGGUGUGAAAUUUCUCAUGAUCCAUGGAAUGGGAGGUGUUGGCAAAACAACACUAACCAAAGUUGUCUUCAACCGAUUGUCUUCUCGGUUCCAAGGCUGCAAUUUCCUUUCGGAUGUUCGAGAGUCAUCAGAACGACAUGGCUUGGUACAUUUGCAAAAACAAUUGUUAUCCAAGUUCCUUGAUCGUUGUUAUGUUGACCAAAUUAGUGAAGUGGAUCAUGGGAUCGACAUGAUUAAGAGGGUACUUAAUAAUAAAAAAGUUCUCAUUGUUCUUGACGACGUGGAUGAAAACAAGCAGCUGAAAAAUUUGGCAGAAAAAGGAAAUUGGUUCGGUUCUGGUAGUCGGAUUAUCAUUACUACUAGAUACAAAAGUGUCCUAAUGAUUGACGGAGAAGCAACAAGUGAAGGUCCUAUAAAGUGUGCAAAUGUUUUGACUUAUGAAGUACAUGAAAUGAAUUUCGCCAUGCUCUUGAGCUUUUCAGUAGGCAUGCCUUCAGGAGAGACUCUCCACCCGAUGAUUAUGUCUACCUUUCAGAAAAAGUUGUCUCCACUUUGGGAAAGCUUCCUUUAGCUCUUGAAGUCACUGGUUCAUCCAUUUCUGGUAGAUCCAAAGAAUUUUGGGUAGACACUUUGAAGAAGCUAGAAAAAGCUCCUUCCAUAGAAGUCCAAAAAACAUUGAUGAUAACUUAUGAAAGGUUAGAUGAUGCACAAAGGCAAGUAUUUCUGGAUAUAAGUUGUUUUUUUGUUAAUGAGGAUAAAACCUACCCUUGCUACAUGUGGGAGGACUGUGAAUACCACCUAUACAAUGCCAUUGAAAUCCUCUGUCUCAUGUCCUUGAUAAAAAUCAAAGAUGACAAUACAUUUUGGAUGCAUGAUCAAUUGCGGGACCUCGGAAGGGCAAUCGUUCGUGAAGAGAAUUUCAAAGAACCUCACAAGCGUAGUCGAGUGUGGAAUCAUCAGGAAGCCUUGAGCAUUUUGGAGCAGAAAAAGGUAUCGAAAGGGAAUUACAACUUAUUUUCCUGUGAAUUGUUGUAGCCUAUUCUUGAAAAAGGAAAAAUCCAUCCCUAUUAGCGCUUGAAAUUGUUUGCUUUUAACCUUCACACGUGACUUCUUGGUGUUUCCAUCGAUAGGGAAGCAAGAAGAUAGAAGCAUUGUCACUAGGAUCUCGUGGAGUCAUCAUAAUGCCUAGUGAAGUUGCUAAUUUACGACACUUGAGGUUCUUGGAUGGGAAUGAGAUGUUCCUUGUUGGAGACUUCAAUAAUCUUCUCUCCAAUUUAAGAUGGCUUUCUUGGCGAUGGUGCCCUUUCGAGUUUGCGGCAACAAACUUUCAUCUAGUCAAUUUAAUCGUUCUUGACCUUUCACACAGCUAUGUAUCAGAGAAAUGGAUUGGCUGGAACCAAAUCAAAGUAUGAUACGAGUCUCACUCCUUGUAUAUAAGUAUCUUUUCUUGUCUUUCUUGUUCUUUUUCCUAUAAAUCAUUUCUUAAUAUAUAUAUAUUUUUGCAGGUGGCAAGUAAACUAAAAGUACUAGAUCUCAGCAAUUGCAAUGAUUUAAUGAGAACGCCUGAUUUAUCUAUGUUGGUGUCCUUGGAGAGAUUGAUUCUUGAAGGUUGUCGCAAUUUAAUUGAAAUUGACCCUUCAAUUGGAAAAUUAAAGCUCCUCACUGCUUUAAACUUGAAUGGAUGUCACGCUCUUGAAGGGUUGCCUUACGAAAUAGGAUGUCUAGAUGCUUUGACGGAGAUUCUCAUGCCUCGUUCAUCGUAUGCAUUCAAACUUCCAGAGACAAUUGGUAAUUUGAAGUCAUUGUUGACCCUUGAUGUAUCACAUAGCUGGAUCCGCUUGCUGCCAAACUCAAUUGGAGGGCUGGUGAAACUUAGGCGGUUGAAUUUAUUUAAGUGUUUAAAGAUAAAGAAGCUUCCUGACUCGGUUGGAGAAUUACGAUCAUUAGUCGAGUUGGAUUUGUCAUCAACAAGUUUGGGACACCUACCUGAUUCAAUCGGCAAUCUAAAGCAAUUGACAGUACUUAGGAUGAGCCACAUAAUUGGGAUAACAAAAUUACCAAGAGCGAUUGGGCUGAUGGAGAAGCUUGAAGAAUUAGAAGCUAGUGGAUGUCAUCGCUUGACCGGCGAAAUCCCUGAAGAAAUUGGGAGGUUGUCUUGUUUAAGGAUCUUAGACUUGUCGUUCACACGUAUUUCCAGAUUACCCAUCACUGUGGGUUGCCUCUCUAAUCUCCAAACACUUAAUCUAGAAUCAUGUUCUAAGCUUAAUUUGUUGCCGCAGCUUCCCCCAAGUUUGAGUUGUCUAAGGUGGGCCUUUGAUACUCUCAAGUUCUGCGGAAACAGGACAUAUAUGCCGGAGCGGGACUCUGCUUGUCACUCUAGCAUCGUACCCUUAUAUGAGGUGGAAGAACGAGCAUCCGGCAAAACCAAGCGAUUCUUGCCCUGGCUCCUGUCUUCUAGUUUAAGAGAGUUCGAAGUUGGAAAUCUGUCAAUUACACCACGGAUGAAUUAUACCCAUUUGAGCAACUUGUCAACUUUGCGAUUACAAAGUUGUUCAAUAUCAGAUUACUUUGAUGUUUUACCUGUUGAGCGCCCCAUUUUGUCGGAGCAAGUAAAGAUAAUGCAAUUAGAAAAAGAGCAAAGGGAAUCGGUUGUGUCGGAAAUGGAAAGAUGGAGCGGUUUAAAUAUCGGAUCAUUUCUGUUGCAAAUAAAAAGAUUGAGACAUUUAGAGAUGCGUACGUGCAAGUUCUUCUCAAGAGAACUUCGUCUAUCGCACAUGAAGAUUCUGGAAGAGGUAAAUCUGUUCGGAUGCUCCUUGUUUGUCGAGAUCUGCGGCCUUGAAGAACUGGGAUCCCUUUGCUUCCUAUCGAUUGUGGAUUGCAGUUCCAUGGAAAGGAUGUCAAACCUAUCGAAAUUGAGAAAGCUAAGGAAGCUAAGAGUAGGAGAAUGUCCAAAGUUAAAAAGCGUGGAAGGUCUAAAUCACUUGGAAUCUUUACAGAAGUUGUGGAUUCACGAUUGCUGCUUGUUGGAGAGUUUGGCUGACACCUCAAAUUUGCGUUUAGAAUGUUCCACAAUUGAACAUUGUGAGCGGUUGCCCAACCAUAACAGUUACUGUAGAUGUCAUGACAAUAGAGAUUCAGAUACUGAACCUGACCACGCGAAGUAUUUUUGAGCCGGUUACACUGAGCCCAACCUGAUGAAAGUCCGGUGAGUAUGAUGUGAACACCCGUAUAUUGUGUCUGUAAGGAAGUCAGACCAAGUCUUUAUUGUUGGGCUUAUUGUGUUCAUUUUGUUUUUGUUUUUUUUUUCUUCUCUGAAUUAGAAUUCGGUUGGUCUCAAGAAGGUUUUCCAAUGACAAUAUUGGUAACAAGUACGACCCAUUAAGAUUGAAAGCCAAUUUGAAGAUGAAAUGUAGACAAAAGUACGUUGAGAAGAUUGGCCCAAUGACCGCGACCAAGAAUGACCAGAAUUCAGUGACUUUCACCCCCAUUCUCUUUUUGUUAUCGUAAGUAGAUAUGCAUUUUACGUGUUGUAACCAUAUUCUCGUCAUUGGGUGGAUACGAUUUUGUUAUAACCAUGGAGUUUCCGUCCAGCAUGCUCGCGUAGCAUCUGCAUUUCCUCAAACUUUCCAUUUCCUGGUAAUCAGUCUCGGCUCUGUUUUCUUCUUAAUUUGGAUAUGAAGCAGAGGCCCAGGGCUCUAGCUCCAACCUGUGUGAAAAUCGGCUGCCAUUGAGGCUCUAUUAAUUAUCUGAACUUGCUGCGCUGCCUUUGUGGUGGUAAUCAGGAUGUGAAUCGUUGCUUUACUUUUGCAUCUAACCUCCUCUGCUGAAUAUCUCACUUCUUUGAUGAAAAUGCCUGAACAGAGAAUUUCCUUCACUACUAAACUGUUGAUCGAAUUUUGUCAUAUAGGCCUAUUUUGAAGACAGUGAGCUAGAUCCAUGUGUUCAAUUAUGUAAUGCUGGCCAAGAACCUCAUGUAUAAAAUUGAAUCGAUCCCAAUGUGUUUCUCGCUGAAUUCAUAUGAAACCAAAGUGAUUCCUAUACUGGUAUGCUUAUUUCUGAACUUAUCCAGUUGAGUUGUGCUUGAAUUGACUCCCAUGUUCUGUAAAAUUUGCCGAAGCCCCAUACUGAUCAUGUCCAUUCUAUUGCGAAACUUGGAGUUUCUUAAUUUGCUUGAUUUCAUUUUGGCGUCUUUUGAUUCCUGUCAAUGUGUUUAUAGGGAAGUGUCAUAGUUCUCUGUGUAAAUGGCAUAUAUGUGACUGAACCGAAUUGUUUAAUGCAUUGCAUCAGCAUUACUGAUACGCUCAUUUUAUGCACACGUACCGAUAUGUUGAUGCUAGGCUGAGAGUUCCCUAUGAUAGUUUGGAUUUGCUUUUGAUUGGUUCAUGUUAUUUCGCUUGCCUGAGAGCAUUCUCCUACUCAAUUGUGUGUCUCGAACUUAGUUGUAUGAUUUUGAUUCAUGUUUCAAUACCUCUAGUUUUGCCGUGAAUGCAUUUGGACUUAUUUGAGUGUGCCUGAUCUUGCUUUCCUUAUGCCCGAGCGGGGAACUUCUCAAUUUGACAUCAAUUUGUUCUUCCCUCAUUUACUUUAUAAUUUUAAUUUGUCACGUUGAUACAUGAUGACUAUCACUAUUUGUGUUAAAUCAAUUUAUAUCUCGUGAUACCUUAGUAUUCAUUGCUCAGCCAUGGUAUGAUUGGGAAGUAGAUAGUCUCACCUACAUAACUUUCGAGCCAAAACUGGGUAUAUACAUGUACAUUGUCUAGUAUAUUAUAUGUUCAAAAUUACUUAUAAUUGAACAUUUUCAGCAAUGAACACUAUUUCAAGCAUGAUUUCUUAUUUUAGGAUUAGUAGAUUUUAGAUUUUUAUCUUGAUUGAUCUUAGAUAUUUUUUGAUCUAGUGUUGCGAUUCUUAAAGAUUGUCUAGUUGAAGAUCCGCAAUGCACAAAUUUUGAAUAAAUGGUUGUGUUGGCAAAUUUGAAAUGGCUUAUUAUAUAUCCAGUGUGAGAAUUUUAUUUACAUAUAAAUAUUAUGGCAAGCUGGACGUACCCAAUGGGUACAGGGUUAUUUUAGUCACUUGGGUCUGGGAAAUCUAUAAUAUGUUUGGGACGAGUUUGGGAUGAUUUCCUUGUCGCAAACCUAUCCCAAACUCGUCCUAGUUCCAUCUCUGCCAUCAGUACUUGCUUAUAUAUGUUAGGAGAUGAGAGUUAAUCAAGAAAUUUUUAAGUUAACGUGUCACUAGCCCCUUGAAUUUAAAAUGAUAUAAAGUGCUUAAACACUAUCAAAAUGUAAAUUCGGUUCAAUUUACUGAAAAUGAAGGAAUCCAUUCGCUUCAACCCGUGCCCUGUGCUUGGGGACGUGGAUAAGAUGAGGAAAGAAGGGUAUGCGGAAAGAAUUGGCAAAGUUUCACCAGUUCGAGAGAAGCAGGGAAAAUGAAGGUCCAUUUUUGAUAGGGACGAAAAUAAAAUUACGAAAGUCUUAAAGCCCGAAUUGGCACCAAAAUUUUUAACCCGAUUAGACCAGAACGGAUUGUCGACCCCUUUAUUAUGUAUAUUUCAGGCAGGCCAGGUUUUCCAGCUUCGUGCUAUGCAGCCCAAAAUGGCCUUGCACGCACGAUUUUUCUAUUUUCAUGUUUUAUUGAUUUAUAGUUGUAGCAUUUCACUAAUUUCUUUAAUCAUAAAUGAGAAAAAUGAAUUUUUACAGGUGAAAAAAUUAAUUUAUUGCACUAUUGAAAAUAGUGAAAAUUAUUAACAAAUUUCAAAAAUAAAAGAUACUAUACAGGUGAGCAAAUUUCUAGCAAUUUUUUUUUUUUUUAAGUUGGCUACCUUUCGACCCUAGCUCAGCCCUAACCCCAAAAGACCGAAAUAAUAAUGGACGGGCUAGAAAAUCCAUUUCAGGUUCUUUUUUUUUUUUUUUUUCUUUUCAGAGCUUGGAAAUUCCAGCCUCGAAAGUUUGGACUAGGCCGAAAAAUACACUCCUACUGCCACAUUUUCUUUUUUGGUCAGAGGGGAAUUGUCGAUAACUUGGUCAUAUUUGCCAGACAAUCUUUUUUUCUUUUUUUUCAAUGUGGUAUUUCCAUUUUUUCAUUUUUUUCUUUUAAUGAACGUCUUUUUUUCACAUCUACAGUUUUUUCACCUUCACUUUCCCACUCCUUUCAAUAAAAAAGUAGUCGAUCUCUUAAUUUCUUCACCUUUGUUUUUCGAACCUUUCCAAAUGACUAUUUUUUCCACCUUAGUUUCCUUCGCCUAUAUUUUCAACCUCUUCAUUUAUUUCACCUCCCAAAAAAUAUAUCCAAACAUGGUGAUAGUUCAUUUGAUCUAGGUUUGGUUUUCCCAAACGGAAUUACCUUGACUUUGGGGAUGACGUAAGCGAAGAUAGAGUGGUCCCGUCUACACUCGAUGGUGACCAUGUACCGUUUUCUAGCCAAAUGAAUCGUUAGUUUUGUGUACGUGCUUAUCAGACACCCAUAAAAAUAUCUCUCUCCCUCUCCACUUGAACUUGAACUUGCACAAUGAACUCCGCCCAAUCACCCACUAGAUAUGGUCAAGCAUAGUUGCGGCUUCGAGCUUGACACCUCUAUUGUCAUGGGCGUCGGUGGUGUUGGUUGAGGCAAUGGCAGCGCCCAUCGAGGACAUGGAUGGUGAUGUUGAUUGGCAAGUAUGGUUGAGAGAUUGAGAAAGAAAGAAAAAUGAUUUCGUAGAGGAGUGUGAUAGUUGUAUCAUAUGAUAAUGACACAUGAUGUAACAAGCCAAUGAAAAUUGAGUAUUGGCAACAUUUAAGUAGCAAAUAUUGCACGAGCAACAUGGAUUGACCACUUAUACUACAUCAAUCUCAAUAAGUAGCACAUAGAAUAUAUUUCCGUAAUAGAGGGGUAGUUUGAUCUUUUAAUUAUGGAUUAUAGUCUGAAGAUGAUCAUGCGGCAAAUGUCAAAAACUGAGAAGCAUAUGUGAUAUAAAUAAAAAGUCAGAGAGGAUUUUUGAAAUUUUCUCUACUACGAUUAAAAAAAGAAAAGCUCUUGUAUCCCAUUAUAACUUUAUAUUCUCUAUUUUUAAAGCUAUGGAUCUUUGAUUUUGUGCUGUGAAUUUUGUAGCUUUGUUAUUAGGCUUCAGAUUUUAAAUUUGUUAUUAAAUGAACGGGACGAGAAAACAUCUACAACCAAACCUGUGACUUGAUUAUUUGACUUGUUUUAUUGAAAAGAAUGACGCUUCAAAACUAACAUGAGUAGGUAUGUAAUAUAAUUGCAAUUGUUUUGCAUUUGCCUAAAUCGUCAACCUUAGCAUGUCGUUUGCUUGAGAGUGAGGAAGGGGAUGGACUGAUAUAAAGCGUACCCUGCAUUUUUCUCCCCAGAAAUCGUUUGAUUAUAUAUUUUCAAGAACUUGUUGAUAAAGAGCACAAAUGAAAGGAUAGCCACCUCAAUUAAAUCGCGGAUCUCAAUCUUAGGGCUCGAGAAUCUCAUAUGAUUACAAAAAUGACAAAAGGGUAAUCAAUUUUACACUAUGUAGAAUUGAAAUUUGCUCGAUUAAUUGAUUCAAUUUAGUUAAUCAAGAACCGCGAGACACCAUUAUAUAAGAUAGGUAACAUGUCAUAUCUCAAGGAGGUAAAUUGAAUCAAUUUAUGUUUCAUAAGUAUUGUGACAACCCUCCUGACAUGAUAAGCGAAAUAAGUUUAGAGGUAAUGUCAAAUUAAGUACAAAUGGUACUUAAUAGAUGCAGGUUCUCCCAAAUCCUUAACUUGUGCGAUGUUGGGAAAUUCAUUGAUUAAUCCUAUGAAAAUUUUAUACAACAAGAAGUUUGCCACUAACUUAUUGGGAUCAACUAAGAACCAAGUAAGAUACGAGAGUAUAUUUUACUUCCUAGCAAUCAAAGAUCUAGAUUCAAGAACUUGAUUAUACUAGUUAUUCAACUAAUGACCUUUUGAUACUUAAACUUUAUUAUUUAUCAACUAAAGUGUCCACAUAAUCAAUUUACCAAAUUAUGACUGCUAAGGUUCUCACCCACUAAGUGUCAAUGCAAUGUUCUUUUACUAUUUAUCAUUAUCCUAAAAUGUAACCUAAACAUUUAACUAAAACAAUCAAAUCAUGACAUAGAAGUGAUACAAAGAAAUCACAACUAAUUUCGUCUUAAAAAGUAGUAAAAGACUAAGCGAAAGGGCUACUCAAUACAAGUCCGGCAAAAAAGAUAUUACAUGGCCUUAUUAAUUAGGCUCGGGACAACAACCCCAUAAGCUAAAAUCAAAUCGGGUCCAAUCUUUUAAAAGAGACUAAUCUACUAAAAUUAAUCCAAACUAGAAGAACAUGAAAUUCCCUAAACCAUAUGAAUAUCAACUAAAUGACACUAAGCCAAAUCUGUACUAAGAUUUAACAAUCUAAUCAAGACAUAUUUUCUAACAUUAUUCUAAUUUUUCCUUAUUUUGGGAUUUUUUUUUGUUAUUUAUUUAUUUAUUCGGUCCCCUUCUUGGUCCAUCACCUUUAGGACACGCGUAAAUGUCACAACUUCUGCAAAAUUCUUUCAACGUUUCCAUUUUGUCACCCUUUUCUUUUCUAUAGAACUCCCCCGAGUACUAGUGUCUUUCUCUGCAAAAUUUCCUUUACUCAUUUCCACUGGCAAAAGUACAACCCGAGUGCCAAAAUUUAGCACGAAGGGACACUUAAGUGCCAAAAGUUAGGAAAAUGAUAUUUAAGUGUUACUUUCUCUUUUUUUUUAAAGUAGGACACUUAAGUCCCAUCUUCGAUGAAUCCCACCGAAAAUCCUACAUGACAAUUUUUUAUUAUUUUUUUCAUCUAUGUAGCCUGUUGGAAUGUUGACUCAAUAAAAAAGAGGCAAAAACGAUGUUUUUGAGCGAAUUCAAAUGUUAAUAUAAAAAUAAUUUUAAUUAAAUUAUAAAAUAAAUAAUAAUUGUUUUAAUUUAUUUUUUAAAAAAAAAGGUGGGGGAGAGGAGGUAGCGGGUAAGGGCUGAGCCCUCGCCAUCGCUGCCUCCCUGUCGCCACCGGGAAGGCCAGUGGCUGGCGACCCUAGCUGACACUCCCCCCACCAUCGUCGGCCCUUCCCAGUGAUGGCAGGGAGGGCCCAUGAACCCUCGCCAAAUUUGGGGGAGGGUUGCGAUCCUCGCCCAGAUCUGGGCGAGGGCCGUCGCUCGCAAGCCCUUGCCUCCGGUCGGUCGAGGGCUGGCGACCCCGGCCGACCCUCUCCCUCCGUCGCCGCCCCUUCUCGGUGAGGGCGGGGAGGCGGCGAGGGUUUACGAACCCUCGCCAGAUCUAGGUAAGGGUCGUGACCCUCACCCCAAAUUUGGGUGAGGGCUUACGAGCCCUUGCCGUCGGUCAGCCAAGGCCGGUGACCCCAACCGACCCUCCCCCCUCCUUCGCCGCCCCUUCCCGAUGGUGGCGGGGAGGUGGCGGCAACGAGGGCUUAGCCUUUAGCCGCCUCCCUCCCUAUUUUGUUUUUUAUAAAUAUUUGUAUUGUAUUUUUAAAUGUUUUAAAUAAAUUUAGUUUUAAAUUUAAUUUUAUUAAAUUCUAUAUUAAAUUUUAUAUUAAUUUUUUUAUCAUGUCAUAGACAAAAAUGAUGUCGUUUUUACAUUUUCUAGCCACAUUAGCAUGCAAAAUGACGUUGUUUUGCGCUUACCUUGACGUCAAUAUUUUGGCCGAAUUGGUACUUAAGUGAUCCAUUUUGCUCUGAUUUUGGCACUUAAGUGUCACUUUCCUAAUUUUUGGCACAUAAGUGUUCUUCCGUGCUAAGUUUUGGCACUCUAGGUGUCCAUACCUCCAUUUCCACUCAUCUCCUUCGUUCGUUCAUUCAUAAAAACACACUCAUCACAUUAGCACACUAUCUUUCUGUUUAGUUUUGAUGUUCACGUCUUUCCCCUUCUCUUUCUACAAGUCGAACAACAUAGAUUGACCAACUGACGUCCAAACAAAAUCAAGAGAUCUCCCAUGCAACCAUUCAAAAUUCAUUCGGUCAAAUGCAAAACUCAUACGUUCACAGAAGUUACUCAACCAGCAAGAAAUAGAGCAUUAACCAAAAGGACAUGCUAUGAGCGACAAUUGAUGAUCCGGUACGCUACUGAGUCAGAAUUUUCGCCAAGCACGUUCUAGGCACUGAAUUCUCCCUCGGCUUAUAUGGUUACUUGACUGAAAUAGCAAAGUACCAAGGAUGAAUCGACAUAAAGUUAGGCUAGGGAGCUUAUGGUCAGCAUGUAAAGAUUCCAGUUCCAUCCAACUUGAGAUUAAUUUAAGCAAGAUCAAAGUUCAAUAAUGGUAAGGUUCCAAAAGAAUCAUUGAUCAAAUAAAGUCUACACAACGAAAAUAGUGAAUCGUUCAAGCAAAAGAUAGCUCUCCAUCAAAAUUUGAACCAAAACACACUGCAUUUUAAUUCAGAAAUUUUCACGAACAUUUGGUUGGUAGGCAUCUGGGCUAUGCAUUUUAGAACCAAGUCGCUGCUGAUUGGAGUCGUUCGAACCGCCUGGACUGCUAGAGGAAGAGGGCAUAAUGAAGAACGAAUAUAAAGAAAUGUGACCUCAGAGACUCCAUUCGAGAUAUGGCAUCUCAAGAGAGAGAGAAUGGAGUCGGUCGUCAUCCGGUAAUGGACGAUCGACGGUGAUACUGCGGCAGUCAGAGGCGGUGGAGAAGGAACCAAUUUUUGGACCAAGGCUUCCAAGGAUCUUGGCAGGCUUCUUGGACUGAUGGGCUCUCCACAGUCAGGGAAAUGGACUGGAAUCGAUGAGUUCGGUGGAUUUGGGCCAAGACUGGGCUCAGUAAUGCUUCCGUGGGCUGUACAAGAUGGGCCGAAACUGAAUUAUUUCAAUAUAAUGUCACUAAUUACUUUAGUGAGACACAUCUUCCUCGGAUUGUCAUGUGAAGCAUCUCGUAAGUGUUGCCUCGAUCCGAUUAAUCUAUUUCUUUUUUGUCCUUCUAGGUAAUUCUUUGUGUUUCUUAACACUACAUUCUCCAUCCAUGAAUGGCUCCCACAUGCAAGUCGGUCAUGUUGGCUGCUUCUCUACGUCUAGUUUGUCUCUUCUUGAUGCACACUUAAUUUCUCAGAUUUGCUCUCCCGACACAAUUUGUUCGUUUAUGCAACACUAUGAUAGAACUACCUUCAACAUGUCUUCUUGUUUAUCAUUGUUAUUUUUCUACUCUUGAUUAACCUCAAUCCUAUCAAGAAACUCGUUCCAACACUCAUUAUCAGAAGCUAAUGUUUGAAGAACAUCUCAAGUUGCAUAUAGUUGUUGUAAUGUUAAAUUUGCAAUAUCAUGUAUCUUUCCAUGUUUGUUUGGGAACUAGAUCAAUAGAAAGAUCAUCAAUGUUCCUACUAUGCAAUUAGUGAUAUAGAAAAAGCAUUCAGCUUAUUUGUCUCUUGUUAACACAACUACAUAUGACAAUCUAAAAUUAUAAUGAGUAGUCCAGCAAUCAAAGUUUAUCACAACAUCCAGCUCGAUGCCUGCUAAAAUUGCUCAAGCUCGACACUAGAUUUGGUCAAGCAUCGUUGCAGCUUCGGGCUCGACACCUCUAUUUUUGAGUUGGGGGAUGGCAAAGAUGAGAGAGAGAGAGAGAGAGAGAGAGAGAGAGAGAGAGAGAGAGAGAGAGAGAGAGGUGGGUGGGGGCUCACUUGUGGAGGGCAUCGGUGUGGCCAGUUGGGGGAGUGGUGAUGUUCAUCGGGGAUAAGGAUGGCGAUGUUGAUCGACAAUAUGGUGGGGAGAAAAAGAAAGAGAGAAACGAUAUGAUAAAAGAAAAGGGAUUUCAUACGACAAUUAACUAUAUGGUAGACGUUACCAAAAAUAGAAAAAAACUAUAUGGUAGUGACAUAUACUGUGACAACCCAAUAAAAGCAAGCACCAAUUAGGAUGACGUAUAGUGCACUGAGCAUAUGAAUUGAUUGAUCAUACCACAUCAAUUGUGUAACUGACACAUUACAUAUAUUUUCUUAAUAGAAUAGUUUAACCUUUUAGUAAUGGUUUUUGUCUAAAGAUGACAUAUACUGUGACAAGCCAAUACAAGCAAUUAUUUCCAAUAUCUAAGCACUAAUUAGGAUGACAUGUAGUGUACCGGCCAUAUGGAUUGAUUGAUCAUACCACAUCAAUUGUGUAACUGACACAUUACAUAUAUUUCCUCAAUAGAAUAGUUUAACUUUUUAGUAAUGGUUUUUUUUCUAAAGAUGAAUACUCCUGCAAUCAAGAACUGAGAAAUGUAUUUGAUGCAGAUGUAAAGUUGGAGUGGAUUUUAUAAAUUUUCUCUUAUGUGAUUAAGAUAAGGAAAAACUAUCCCAAUUUCACUUUAAAUCCUUUAAUUUUUUAAGCUAGGAAUAUUUUAUUUUGUGCCGUCCCUUUCGUAGCUUUGCUAAUAGGCUUCAGAUUUCAAAUUUGUUAUUAGAUGAGUGGGAUGAGGAAACUUCUAGGAUGACUACCCAUUGAUUGAUUAAUAAAAUUGAGAAGAUUGCAAUCGUCAAAGUGAUCAAUUCAUUUUUAGUGGAAUCUCACUUUUCAACUGCUCGCACUUUUGAUGGAGUUAUUUAUAUAGCUCAUAAGAAGAUGAAGAAGAAUCAUGUGAUUGUUUGUGGGGUUAGCAUCUACUUGUCAUUUUCUGAAUUAGAAAAGCAAGUUAAUAUGAUGUUCAAAGAUUCAUAAACUGCGUUCUAUCUUUCGGUAUAUCGUAUAAAUGUGACUAAUGGACAAGAAUUUAUUGAACAAUUUCGUAAAUCGCGUGUAAUUAUGUGACUUCGGAUUUUACUGGGUUUUUUUGUAAAAUAAUUGCUUCCAUAACGCCUAGUAAUAUGCACUACAAAUGAUUCUCACGUGCACCUCAGUCAUGGGAAGUAUCUCGGAAUUCUCGCUUUGUCUUAGCACAUGAUCAUGCUUUUGUUAAAAAGCAACGAAGCCAAAAUAAAUAAAAGAUAGAUGAGAGGCCUGCCCAUCACCCAACCUUGGUAAUCAGAAGCACGCGUGCCAAUUCCCCUUAAUUUGAGCAUCUCAUUGUCCUAAAUUGCGUUCUGUUUUUUAAGACUGCACAAGAAGUUCCCGACAAUAUCGUAAAUCGUGCGCCAUUUUUUUUUAUUCAAAUAUUCUUUGUUUAUUUAGUGAUACUGCAAAAAACGAAGACCAUGUUUUCUCAUUUUCGUGUUCAACAACCAAAGUUAUUCACAAUCAAUUCUUCUGGCUACAAACCAAGUUAAAACGCUAUCUUUGAAUUUCCCUCUCCUAAUUUUAAAAAUUCUAGAUGUUUGAUAUUAAAUCAAAACCUCAUUUCAAACCCUGGAAAGUUAAAAAAGAGAAAAGUGUGGGCCGAGAUCUGUUCAAUCUAUUGCCUGUUCUGUCCCUCUAGGUAAUGCUUUAUGGUUCUUCAAUCUGCAUUCUGCCUCCAUGUGACUUCGAAUUUUACCUUCUAUUUUCCGAGUAAAAUGCUUUGCUUCCACUACACCUAGUGUCCGUAUGCACUACAAAUGGCUUUCACAUGCAAGUCGGUCAAGUCGGUUGCGUCUCUACCUCUGGUUUGUCUCUUCUUGAUGCCCACCAACUCCUCAUAUCAGCUCUCUCUACAGAAUCUGGUUGUAUAUGGAUCUUACUACUACCUAAAUUUGAACCUUAUAUGCAACCCUUUGAUAGGACUACCUUCAAUGCGUCUUCUUCAUUAUAAUCGUUAUUUUGCUACUCUUCAUGAACCUCCAUCCUAUCGAGAGGCCUAUUCCAACACUUAAUGGCAGAAGCUAAUGUUUGAGGGAGUGCAAGCUUUAGGAAAGAGUCGUGUAGGAUUUGGUUGAUUUUCUAGUCGAAAGAAGUUACCGGAGGUUAGCAAAUGGGUGAUAUUAAGCGAAGACUCUCUUUUGAUCCUAGUGAUCAGUAUUGUGUGACGAGGUUUGACUUAGAAGCAGGCAUUCGGAUCGGACGGCUGGGGAUGAUUCCAUCUGGAGCAGAGGGAUUAGAGAGGGCCAUCGGGCGAUUAAGGCCCGGAUUGAGUCAUGCUUAGAUGCUAACACGUGUAACAAUGAGGCGGGCCCACUUCUGAAACAAUUGUUUUCGUUCUGGUGGUGUGCGAUGCAAUCUCAACCCCCCAUCACUCUUCACUUUUUGCAAUUUCUUACUACCAUCCAUACGACAGAAACAAAAGCCACUAAUCGUAAGAGUAUUCCUAAACGAGACUCGUCUGUACUGCUCUCUCUCUCUCUGCACAGAGCUCUCUUUCUUGAAUUCUCACGCGUUCACGUACUCCCUUAGCCUUUCCUCCCUUAGCCUUUCCAACUCUCUCGCUCUUCGCUCUUCGCUCUGCUGAAAACAUGGUGGUUUCCGACGAACACCAACCUGAAGUGCCAGCAAAAUGGACGAAUUCUCGGGGAUCAGUUGGACCUUCCUACGAGGUUUUUCUAAGUUUUCAUGGACGAGACACUCGUCAUGGAUUCACCGAUUUUCUUUACCGUGGCAUGGUGGAGACCGGGAUCCUCGUCUUUAGGGAUAAUGAAUCCCUCCAUGUCGGUCAAAGAAUUGGUGAUGAACUUCUACAAGCAAUCCAAAACUCCAAGAUCUAUGUUCCCAUAUUCUCCAAGAAUUAUGCAUCGAGUCACUGGUGCCUCUGAGAGCUUGCAUAUAUGGUUGAGUGCACCUCCAAAUCGAAUGGGAAUAAAGAGAUUUUGCCCAUUUUCUUGGAUGUGGAGCCUGACAAUGUCAAGCUCAAAACAGACUUAUACAGCAAAGCUCUUUCAGCGCACCAGAAAAAGUUCGGUACUGAAGUUGAAUCAUGGAAAAAAGCUCUCAUUGAAGUGGACGAGAUAAAGGGAUGGAACUGGAGGAAAGAUGAAGGGUAAAUAUCUUAAACUUUUCAAUUAUCAUUUGUAGAUCUCAUUUUCCUCUCUAUUUAGUUUAAUUGCAGUGUUGCGGAUGAAAAAUUAUUAUGUCAUUCUUUUCAUUUUUCUCCUAUUUUCUAAUUUUAUUUCGUUUUUCACCGUGUUUAAGUAUGAAAGAGAGUUUUCUUAAAAAUUGAGAUAAAAAUAUAUCAAUCACAUAAAAAUCAUGUGCACUACACUGCUAACGACAAAGCUAAUAGAGAGAUAACGGUUUUAACAGAGUAAAAGUGCAGGAAAUAUUGCAUAACAGUUGAAUUUUUGAGAAUAAAUGUGUACUACCCGUAAUUUAAGGGGAUUUUGUGUAGUGUCCUCUUGUAUCUUUCAUCCUCACUUCUAUGGCAGUGCGAUUUUUCACUUUCGAUUUCAUAAGCAUUGAAUAAAAAUAUAGAAGUAUAAGGGCCAGUGGAUGUUUAAGGAAUAUUAAAAUGAAACGAUUACUUAAAAAGGUGAAAAGCUCUCGGCACUAUUGUGGCGAUCGCUCCUAGCAGCUCCACCAAGCCGCCGGCCAACCAUCAGCUCUCCGUCCGUUCCUGCCACUUCUUUGUCACCAGCCCGACACCAAGCCACCAGAAGCCGCCGCCGAGCCAUCUGGCCCCCACCCUUUCUUUCUCUCACUCAAUGGCAAGUUGGAUUUGGGUUCGGGAUGUCGGAUCUAAGAUCACCAAGCCCAUAUCCGGCGUCGUCGAGCUUGGGCUACCCCAAAUCUAGUGUUAGCGAAGGCCAGCAAAGCCAUCCCCAGUGGUCGCAAGGCUGCAACCCACUUGACUUGAAGGAGAGGCAAGGCCGACAUGGGCAGGUGGAUGGGGUGCAUCAGGCGGCGGCGCUCGAAUGUGACAGUGAUGGCUCACGGAGGUGAGCGACGUUAUCGGCGGCUUGGUAAUGGCAGGGGCCGACGGUGAUGAUGACUAAAUUGGGGUAACGGAGAUAGACCGGGGAAAUUCGGAUUGUUUUAGCAUCUAGAUUUCUUUGCGUAAUUUCUGCAAAUUGUAAGGACAAUUGAGUCACUUAGGGAGUAGUUUUGCAAUAUAAGAUAUAUUCUUAAAAUGGUUGUUACGUUGUUGCAGGCAAGCAGAUCUGAUACAAUCCAUAAUUAAAAUUGUGCUGGAUAAGCUGAAUAUCGGAAAUAAAAAGAUUGUGUCCGAAGAUCUAGUUGGAGUUGAUGAUCGUGCGGAAGCUAUAAUCAAAAUGUUGGAUUUGAGAUUCAGUAGCAUACAAUUUCUCAGAAUCUAUGGAAUGAGCGGAAUUGGCAAAACAACACUUGCCAAUGUCAUUUUCAACCGCCUGUCUUCUCACUUUAAAGACUGAUAUUUCCUUCCAGAUGUCCGAGAGUUGUCACAACGCCACGGACCGGUGUAUUUGCAAAAACAGUUGCUAUCCAAGUUUGUUAAUGCUCAUUCUAACCUUGACCAGAUUCAUCGCGUUGAUGAGGGGAUCAACAUGAUUAAGAGAGUUUUUGGCAAUAGAAAAGUUCUCAUUGUUUUGGAUGACGUGGAUGAGAAAGAGCAACUCAAAAGUCUAGCAAAAGAAGGUGAUUGGUUCGGUUCUGGUAGUAGGAUUAUCAUAACUAGGACCAAAGAGUCUUUAGGAUUGUGGGAGAAGCAAUAGGUGAAGGCCAUGUAGAAAAGUCUACAAAAGUUUCGACUUACGAAGUACGUGAAUUGGAAUUUCAAGAUGCUCUUAAGCUUUUCAGUAAGCAUGGCUUUAGAAGGGACUCUCCACCGGAUCAUUUUGCCUCCCUUUCAAAUGAGAUUGUCUCCACUUUGGGAAUGCUUCCUUUAGCCCUUGAGGUUACAGGUUCAUCCCUUAACAAUGAACCCAAAGAAUUCUGGCAAGCCACAUUGAAGAAGCUAAAAGAUGCUCCUCCUGAUGAAGUCCAAAGUAAAUUGAUGAUAUCUUAUGAUAAGUUAGAUAUUAAAAAAAAGCAAGUAUUUUUGGAUAUAGCUUGUUUUUUUGUUAAUGAGGAUAAAACAUACCCUCUCUAUAUGUGGGAUGCCUAUAGAUACCAUCCAGACGUUGCCAUUAAGGUCCUCUUUCUCAUGUCCUUGAUCAAAAUUAAAGAUGACGAUACUUUUUGGAUGCAUGAUCAAGUGUGAGACCUCGGAAGGGAAAUUGUACGUCAAGAGAACAAAGAACCCUGCGAGCGUAGUAGAGUGUGGAAUCAUGAGGAUGCCUUGAAUAUUCUGGAGCAAAAAGAGGUAUAGAAAGGGUAUAGCAAUUUAAUUUCAUGUGAAUUGUUGUAGAUUAUUCUUGCAAAAGGAAAAUUUGAUUGCUAUUAGCGCUUGCAAUUGUUUGAUUUUGACCAUCAGACGUGGACUUCUUGCUGUUUCCAUUCUCAGGGAAGUAAGAAAAUAGAAGCUCUUUCACUUGGAUCUCGAAGAUUCUCUUAUAAAGACAUAAUUCUAAAGACUGAUGAAUAUGCUGAUUUACAAAACCUGCGGUUUGUUGGAGAAAUCCUUGUGAAGUGUUUUGAAGUUGACAAAACGUUUUCAUCAGUCUAGUCUGAAGGUCUGCAGACUCUGUUAGUUAAAGUCUGAAGACUUCCGGACAGCCAGACUCAAGACUCAAAGUCUAUUCUCAUUGACAGUCUCUAAUCCGUUGAAGAAAGGUUAUCCAGAACUGGAUGGUUUGUUCAGGAUUUAACCUUAUCAUCUGGAGAAGAUCUUGUGGUUGGAGAAGACGUAUCAGAAUCCUUUGAUUGAUCAAGUUUGAUUCAAUGACUGAAGAUUCGAUGAUUGUCUAAAUAUUAUUGGAAGGUUCUACUUAUGGAAACCGAGAUCCUGAUUGUAUGGGCGAACAGGAUUGAUGGGCUAUCAACACGUUCCUUUAAUAGCUCGAACAAUCUUCCUAAUUGAUUCCUUCCAACGGGUAGAUUGGAGGAAUUCCUUUGGUAAGUGCCAACGGGUAUGAUGGCCUAAAGGAGUAUAUAAGGAAGACGUUCUUAGUUGUUCGAGGUGUGCGCGAUAGAAGAAUUCAAAAGUCUGAAGCUCCUAUUUGUUUAGAUAAAUCCUUUGAGCGAAUACUUGUAUACAAAAGAGAGUCUAUAUUUGUGAGAGACCUUGAGGAGGUGUGGUAGUACAUCUACACUGUGGAAUCAAGGCAAAGCUGUGCUGUAACUACUCUUUUGAUCAUAGUGAAAUCCAGCCGGUGGGCUGUCAGUGCGGAAGAGUGGACGUAGGCUUGGAAAAGCUGAACCACUAUAAAUCCUGUGUUCCAAUUUCUCUCUUUCUACCUUGAUCGUAUUUCAAUUUGUUAAGAAUUGCUUCCGUAUUUGGGACAAAUUGUUUGUGCGCCUAUUCACCCCCCUCUAGGUAUUUAUACUAGCAAUAUCAAUUGGUAUCAGAGCCUGUGUACUUACUUUAUUUGAAGUGUUUUACUUCAUAGUAAAAGAUCCAUGGCUAGUAUGCUAGCACCAGGGCUGAUGGAAGGGCAAAGCAAUACUAGACCACCCUACUUUGAUGGAAAUGAUUACAACAUUUGGAAGAACAAGAUGAAAGCUUUCCUACGAUCAAAGGAUCCUCUGGAAUGGGACGUUGUAGAAAAAGGAAUUACUCCUACCACUGCAUCAGUCUCUGAAAGAGGAAAAGAAACUGAAGAAACCAGCGGAAUGUCUCAGGAAGAAAUAAUCAAGAGACAAACACUCGAUGCAAAAGCAAUUUACUCCUUAUGUUGUGCUUUAUCACCAACUGAAUAUAAUAGAAUAUCUUCUUGUGGUACAGCAAAAGAAGUUUGGGACAGAUUGCAUAUCACCUAUGAAGGAACAGAUCGAGUGAAGGAAACAAGAAUCAACAUUCUUCUCGGUCAAUACGAAGCCUUCAGAAUGAAACCAGGAGAAUCAAUAUCUGACAUGUUUAGUCGUUUUACAGAUAUUGUGAAUGGUCUUGAAAAUCAAGGUCAACCAACUUCUGAUCCCAUGAAGGUAAACAAGCUACUGCGUGGACUCUCCAGGGAUUGGAAUCACAUAAAGACUUCGAUAAGAGAGACGCAGAGAAUUAUGCCACUAUCUGUUGACGAGCUGAUUGGAACUCUUCAGUCCUAUGAAGUGGAAAGGAUCAAUGAAGAUGAAGAUCCAAAAGGUAAGAAAUCCAUUGCAUUAAAAUCAAAUGAUGAUUCUGAUGAUACAGAUUCUGAAGAUGAUAUGGACGAUGAGGAGCUUGCUCUCAUGAUAAGAAGAUUCAGAAAACUAAAUAGAAAAGGAAGAAGGUUCAACUCAAAGAAACAAAGCUUUCAAAGACAGCAGACCAAGUCUGUUGAUGAUGAGGAACCAAAUAAAGAUGUAGUCUGCUUUGAAUGCAAGAAAAAGGGACACAUCAGACCCAACUGUCCUCUUCUGAAGAAGAAGAGAGGAAAAGCUGAAAAAUUUCGAAAAGCUCUCAAAGCUGAAACCUGGAGUGAUACUGAGUGUGAAGAAAGUGAUAAUGAAUAUGCCAAUCUAUGUCUGAUGGCACAAUCAGACUCAGACUCUGGAUCAGACUCAAGAUCAGACUCAGACAGUGAAUUUGAGGCAAGUAAUUUUAAAAUUCCUGUCAAAGUUUCUAAAUAUAUUGAUGAACUAUGCUUUAGUCUUAAGACUUCUCUCAAAAGAAUUUCCAAACUGAAAAAAGAAAACUCAGCUCUAAAACAAAAAGAAAAUGUUUUAGAAGAAAGAGUUAAAAGUCUAGACGUGUCUAUUUCCAAUCUUAAAGAAAAUGAAGAAAAUAUUUUAAAAGAAAAUGUUUUUUUAAAAACAGACUUAUCAAAUAUAUCAAAGAAAUUUUCUAUAGGGUCUGAAAAACUUGAGAAAAUUCUUUCAGCGCAAAGACCUUACUUCAAUAAGUCUGGUCUAGGUAUGACAGAAGAAACAAUUCCCUUGAUUGAUUUUCCUAAAGUAAAAGAAAGAAUUAAGAAAAGACUUUCGAGUGAGGUUUACAAAAAUCACUUCAAGAAAGUUUUUGUAAAACCUGUAGGUAGAAGUGCUCUCAGAUGUUCUAAGUGCAACAGUCCGGAUCACUUUGAAAAAGAGUGUCCUAUGGUAUGGAAACCUAUUAAGAAAGCAUGGGCUAAUACUGUUUAUCUUACUAACACCAAAGGACCCAAGAAAAUUUGGGUACCAAAGAAAGCUUGAGACUUUAUUUUAAAUGCAGGUCUCCGUCAAGAAACAGGUAAAGUGGUAUCUUGAUAGCGGAUGCUCAAGACACAUGACAGGAGACUCAAAUUGCUUUAUAAAGCUUGCUCAAAUAAAUGGUGGAAAAGUUUCAUUUGGAGGAAACAGCAAAGGAAGUAUUGUGGGAUUUGGAACCGUGAAAAUUGGAACUCUCACAAUAAGUAAUGUUUCCUUAGUGGAAGGACUCAAUUACAAUCUUCUCAGCAUUAGUCAAUUGUGUGAUACUGGUUUCAAGAUCUUCUUUCAAGAAGGAACAUGUUCUGGAAUCAGUAAAGACUCUACUCAGUCUUUCAUGGGUCGAAGACAUGGAAAUAUCUAUCUUCUGGAUGUGAAACCAAAUGAAUCACAAUGCUUCAUCUCAAUUCAAGACGAAGCAAGCUUAUGGCACAAAAAGCUUGGUCAUGUCAACAUGAAGCAAUUAGCCAAAAUCUCAUCAAAACAGCUUGUUCGAGGUCUACCCAAAUUGCCAUACCAAAAGACUGAUUCAUGCACUCCAUGUAUUCUGGGAAAGCAGGUAAGAAAUUCUUUUAAGCCAAUAAAUCAUGUCUCUACUAAUCAUGUACUACAGUUGCUGCAUAUGGAUCUCUUCGGACCAACCAGAACUCAGAGUAUUGGGGGUAAGAAGUAUUGCCUAGUAAUUGUUGAUGAUUACUCCCGUUUUACUUGGGUAUAUUUCCUUGCAAGUAAGUCCGAAACCUUUUCGUAUUUUGAAAAAUUUGCUAAAAAGGUUCAAAAUGAAAAAGGAUGUGUUAUCUCUAGUAUAAGAACAGAUCAUGGAGGUGAAUUUGAAAAUCAAGAUUUUACAAAAUUCUGUGAUGAAUCUGGCUUUAAGCAUGUGUUCUCCUCUCCAUAUACUCCUCAGCAAAAUGGAGUUGUGGAAAGAAAGAACAGAUCUCUUCAAGAAAUGGCUAGAACUCUUUUAAUAGAAAGUAAAAUUUCUUCUCGAUUUUGGGCUGAAGCUGUUUCAACAGCAUGCUAUAUCAUCAAUAGAGUCUUCUUAAGAUCUAUUCUUCAGAAAACCCCUUAUGAGUUAUUCAAAGAAAAGAAGCCUAUUGUUUCAUACUUUCAUGUAUUUGGUUGUAAAUGUUUUAUAUUGAAAAAUGCAAAAGAUCGAAUUGGUAAGUUUGAAGAAAGAUCAGAUGAAGGUAUCUUCCUUGGAUAUUCUACAUCAAGCAAAGCUUACAGAGUCUAUAACAAGAAGAGUCAGUCUGUAGAGGAGUCAAUGAAUGUCAAAUUUCAAGACUCAUCGCAAGAUGAAUCAAGUCAGACUCAUCAAGAAGAGUCUGAACCUGCUCCAGACCCUCCAAAGUCUACAACUCAAGAAGCAUCUCAGACUCUGGAAAACCAGCAUCGGGUUGUUAGUGAAGAUCCAAAUAAAGGAAGAGAUCAUCAACCAGACAAAUCAAUAAGUAACUGGAAGCAUAAGUCCAGUCAUCCCAAAGAUCUUAUAAUUGGCGAAAUUAAUGAAGGAAUUCGCACAAGAUCCAAAAGGCGAGAAGAGUCUAGUGCUGUGGCACUCGUUUCUGAAAUUUAACCAAAGAGCAUAGAAGAAGCUUUAUCUGAUGAAAGCUGGAUUGAAGCUAUGCAAGAAGAGCUCAGACAGUUCAGCAUAAAUGAUGUCUGGGAAUUGACAUCCAAACCAAAAGGUAAAACUGUUAUUGGAGCUAAAUGGAUGUUCAGAAACAAGAUGAACGAGAAAGGAAAAGUCGUACGAAAUAAAGCAAGACUUGUGGCCAAGGGAUAUACGCAAGAAGAAGGAAUAGACUAUGAUGAGACUUACGCUCCAGUGGCAAGGUUAGAAGCUAUUCGACUAUUACUUGCGUUUGCUUGUUAUAAGAAUUUCAGGUUAUUUCAAAUGGAUGUCAAAAGCGCCUUCCUAAAUGGAUUUAUCCAUGAGGAAGUUUAUGUGGAACAACCACCAGGGUUUGAAGACCCAAAGAAGCCAGACUCAGUCUUCAGACUGAAAAAGGCUUUGUAUGGUUUAAAGCAAGCACCUCGGGCUUGGUACGACAGAUUAAGUAAGUUCCUAAUACAAAAUGGUUUUGUAAAAGGUAAAGUUGAUACGACUCUAUUUAUCAAGAAGGAAAACAAAAGUUUCUUACUUGUUCAAAUAUAUGUGGAUGAUAUUAUUUUUGGAUCUUCUAAUGAAAGUCUGUGCAAGAAAUUUUCAAAGUCUAUGCAGGAUGAGUUUGAAAUGAGUAUGAUGGGAGAAUUAACAUUCUUUCUUGGUCUUCAAGUAAAACAAUUGAAGGAAGGAACUUUUAUUUAUCAAGAAAAAUAUGUUAAUGAUCUUGUCAAAAGGUUUGGACUGGAAAAGUGCAAAAAGACCGACAUACCAAUGUCAAGUUCUUUAAAGAUAGACAAAGAUGAAGAAGGGAAGAAAGUUGAUCAAAAGCUGUACAGGAGCAUUAUUGGAUCACUUCUUUAUCUUACUGCCUCUAGACCUGAUAUUUUGUUGAGUGUUUGCAUCUGUGCUAGGUUUCAAUCAGAUCCUAGAGAAUCUCAUCUCAGUGCUGCGAAACGCAUCAUCAAAUACGUCUCUUCAUCAUCAAGCAUCGGUCUUUGGUAUCCUAAGAAGGGAGACUUUAAUCUUCUGGGAUAUUCAGACGCAGAUCUGGCCGGUUGCAGAGUUGAUAGAAAGAGCACUUCAGGAACUUGCCAGUUGCUUGGAAGCAGAACAGUAUCUUUGUUUUCAAGGAAACAAAGCACUGUGUCUCUUUCAACAACAGAAGCAGAGUAUAUAGCUCUUGGAAGCUGCUGUUCGCAAAUUCUAUGGAUAAAACAACAGCUGAGAGAUUUUGAAAUUGAAGACUCAUGCACGGAGAUUAAUUGCGACAACACCAGCGCUAUCAACCUCACCAAAAAUCCAAUUCUCCACUCAAGAGCAAAGCAUAUAGAGAUUCGACAUCACUUUAUUAGAGAUCAUGUUCAAAAUGGAGAUAUUUCAAUUCAAUUUGUUGACUCAAAGAAUCAGCUGGCUGAUAUACUCACAAAGCUUUUGGAGAAAAAUUAAUUUGAGUCUAUACGGUCCAGACUCAACAUUUUGAGGUAUAAGGAUAUCAAAGUCUAAAGACUUUCAGACUCAGGCUUACAAGACUUUAUCUAUAGUCUUGGCUUGACCUUCAGACUGUAAGUUUUUCUCUCUCCAAUCUUAUAUUGAAAAGGUACGAUCAUCAGACUGUGUUUAAAUUGUUGCUAUAUUUAAUUAACGUAAAUAUUGCAUCGAUUCAUUUUCAAAAGGGAAGUUAUUUUUGAAAUAGUUAUUUUUGCGGAUAAAGACAGUUAUUUUGAAAAGGCAUAUUUUUAUUUCCUUUGUGACGGUUCGUUUACUCUUCUUUUUAAACGAUUGAACACUGUCGAUUCCUCUUCACGUUUCUAUUCACUUUUCUCUCAAAAACCCUAAAAAGCAUCGAUCCUCCAUUCCCGUUUGUCUUCUUCGCUAAAUCUUCCAAAAGUUGUCAUCUUUUCUGGGAAAGUCAAGCAAUGAAUCUUUCAUACACUGAGAAAGAUGUCUUCUUCACGAAAGUCGUCAAGAAUCGCAAGCAAGGGACCACAGAGAAUGAGUGAGGGGCCUACGCACUUCGAUCUUACUGAAGAUGAAGUUACUCCAGAUCAGCAACCGAGCCCACAACAUUCUCAGCAGCGUCAUUCUCCACCAUCUAGUCCUCAAGGCGUUGUUAAUUAGCAUCAGGAAGAAAUCGUCGAGGAUGCAAACCCCGUAAGAGUUCAAAAGCCCGCUUUUAUUUACAAGAUAUAUCGUGCUUUAAAAGGAAUUCGUACUCCUUUGAACUAUGUUGAUGAUUUUGUUAAAGAAAAAGGAUAUAGGAACGAGUAUAUCUUUCUGCGAAAAAUGGAAAGUUUGGGAAUCGCUCGUAAAGGGGUGGCUGAGGAAACUCUUGUGAAUAUCCCAAGUGAUCCUCGUGACUGGGGGCCGAAUCCUGUAGAUGGGAAUGACGAUGACAAUCUGUUCAGUCUAUUUCAACCGAAAAUGGGUAUUGCGGCUGAAAUUCAAGGAAAAAGGGGAGAUUUGUUCAGAUCAAAGGAACAAAAGGAUCUGUACUCGAAAUUGCUGAAGCGUGGGGUAAUAAACCCUAGGAGUGUGGACUUUGAUUUUCUGGAUGCUAUGAAAGUGAACUUAAGGGAAAAAUUCAGUUAUCUACAACUUGAAAAGUUCUGCUUUGACUCAACUGAGGCCUAUGCUGAAUUGACUGCUUAUUUCUAUUCAAAUCUUAGCUUUUUAGAUGCGAAUAGAUUCUCCUUCAGCGUUAAAGAACAAGACUAUGUUGUGGAUAUGAAUAUGCUGGCAGAUGUGUUAGAAGUUGAGAGAGGCAGAUAUCAACCAAUCAAAGUUUUCAUUGCUCGGGCCACACUUGAACUGGUGAAGGACAGGAGAAUGGAUGAGAAGAUCACCUACUCAAGGAUGAAUGCAUUCAACAUCUUGCUUCACAAGAUUGUUAUUAAUUGCCUUCGGCCAAAAUCAACUUCCAAAACUGAUGUUUCAAGCUCUGAGGCAAAGUUGAUGUAUGCCAUCCUUUGUGGAAAGAAGUUUUCUCUUCCUCAUACUGUUAUGUUUCACAUGUAUAGAGCAGUGAUGAAGGACAGAGGUCAACUCCCUUACCCAAGCCUUGUUACGAAGUUAUUCAGACAUCUGAAUAUUCAGCCUCCGCAAAUCUUUUGUGUUCGAUCAUGCGAUCAUAUGGUGGUAGGACUGAAAAUGGUGACCAAAAUGCGUCUGAAGGAACUGAGCAAGGAAUUGGAGAAAUUCAAGGAGAAGACUCCUGCCAAAUGUCAUCAACUCUCUUCUACUGCUAAGAGAAAAGGGAAGGAGCCCAUGACUGCUCCAUCUAAGAGAAGAAGAUCUCUCCUCAUUGAGGAUGAAGAUGAUGACGAUGACAUCACCAUCUCUGCAAUGGCUUUGAAGAAUCUAAGUCGUCCUGUUCCACAGAAAGAAUCGGAACAAAAGACGAAAGAAGCAGAGGAGAAGGAAGAAGAAGAAAGAGAAACAGAGCAAGAAGCAGAGGAAGAAAGACCUGAAGAAGAAAGAAGAGAAGAAGGAGAACCUGAGGAAAUCUCUUCUCCACCUGUAGGCAUGGAAACAGGGGGAGAUCAGGAGAAAUGAGUGACAUCUUCAUUUCCUGAUGCAAGUGAAGGAGUCAGUCGUUCACCUGCAGACCCAGAAGAUGUGUAUGCAUCUCAAUUUCCAGAGGAAGGUCAUGAAGCUUCAUCGCCAAACCUGCAAGAUUAUGCUGAUCCACCAUCGUCUGCUUUUACUCCAGAUCGAGCCGAAGCAAGUACUCAGACUGAUAAUGGAGCAGAUUUUCGCAGAAUCAUGGAUAUUCUCAUGGAAAUGCGAGGUCAAAUUUAUGCAUUGGGAUGCGAAGUUCAAAAUUUGAAGAAUGAAAGUCAAGCUUCUUCCUGUUCAUUGAAUGAUAAGAUGCAAGCCCUCUCUAUACAGAAUCAGGCCAAUGCCAAAAGUGAGGAGGUUGUACAGCUGAAGGAAGACUUCAAAAGGCUGGAAGGCAUCGUUCAGUCUAUGGAAGAUUUCCAGCUUGUCCGCGUUCCCAAGAAAUCUUGACUUCAUCUCAUCCUUUUUAAUGAUGACAAAAAGGGAGAGAGAUGCAUGAUUUGAUCAAAAACUUUCAAUCAUUUUUUAACUAUUUGUUGGAUUGUGUUUAACUGUCCUGUUUUUAACAGACUUUGACUUUGUUUUGUGUCUGGAUGAGAACUGAACCAGACUUGGACUUGACUGCUUCUAUUAACAAGUAUUGAUAUCUUAUGGAUGGUUUUAUUAUAUAGACUAACCUAUUUUCUGUGGUUGCAGAUUCUAGUGUUAAUCUUUUAGCCAUUCAUCUCUAUAAGAUAUGCAUAUGUGUUUGAGAAAUGUUUUGCAGGUCAAAAUUAUCCAAAUCUGCAGGAAGGUUUUGUCACCAUAAAAAAGGGGGAGAUUGUUGGAGAAAUCCUCGUGAAGUGUUUUGAAGUUGACAAAACGUUUCCAUCAGUCUAGUCUGAAGGUCUGCAGACUAUGUUAGUUAAAGUCUGAAGACUUCCGGACAGCCAGACUCAAGACUCAAAGUCUAUCCUCAUUGACAGUCUCUAAUCCGUUGAAGAAAGGUUAUCCAGAACUGGAUGGUUUGUUUUAUCAUCUGGAGAAGAUCUUGUGGCUAGAGAAGACGUAUCAGAAUCCUUUGAUUGAUCAAGUUUGAUUCAAUGACUGAAGAUUCGAUGAUUGUCUAAAUAUUAUUGGAAGGUUCUACUUAUGGAAACCGAGAUCCUGAUUGUAUGGGCGAACAUGAUUGAUGGGCUAUCAACACGUUCCUUUAAUAGCUCGAACAAUCUUCCUAAUUGAUUCCGUCCAACGGGUAGAUUGGAGGAAUUCCUUUGGUAAGUGCCAACGGGUAUGAUGGCAUAAAGGAGUAUAUAAGGAAGACGUUCUUAGUUGUUCGAGGUGUGCUCGAUAGAAGAAUUCCAAAGUCUGAAGCUCCUAUUUGUUUAGAUAAUUCCUUUGAGCGAAUACUUGUAUACAAAAGAGAGUCUAUAUUUGUGAGAGACCUUGAGAAGGUGUGGUAGAGUAUCUACACUGUGGAAUCAAGGCAAAGAUGUGCUGUAACUUCUCCUUUUGAUCAUAGUGAAAUCCAGCCGGUGGGCUGUCAGUGCGGAAGAGUGGACGUAGGCUUGGAAUAAGCCGAACCACUAUAAAUCCUGUGUUCAAAUUUCUCUCUCUCUACCUCGAUCGUAUUUCAUUUUGUUAAGAAUUGCUUCCGUAUUAGGGAUAAAUUGUUUGUGCGCCUAUUCACCCCCCCUCUAGGUGUUUAUACUAGCAAUAUCACGGUUCUCGCGUGGGGUGUCCUUUGUUGGAGAUUUUGAUAAUCUUCUCUCCCGUUUAAGAUGGCUUUUUUGUUCCAUGUUUGAGACAAAAAACUUUCAUCCAACUAAUUUGGUCGUUCUUGACUUUUCAUGGAGCAAAAUUUCGGCAAAAAGUAUUGAUUGGAUCAAAGUACGAUGCAGACCCCACUCCUUUGUAUUCGUAAAUCCUUUCUUUUCAUUUUUUUUUUUGUAGGUGGUUUCUCAAUAAAUAUUUUAUCAAAUUGUUUUGUAGGCGGCAAAGAAACUAAAAGUCCUACAUCUCAGCUACUGUAAAAACUUAAGGAGAACACCCGAUUUAUCUACGUUGGUGUCUUUGGAGAUUUUGAGAUUAUAUAGUUGUGUCAAGAUAAAGAAACUUCCAAACUCGAUUGGGAAAUUACAAUCUUUAAUCGAGUUGGAUUUAGUAAAAACAAGAAUUGAUCACCUACCAGAUGCAUUCAGCAAUCUAAAGCAACUGACAACACUUAAGAUGAUGGACAUUGAGGGAGGGUUGACAAAAUUACCUAAUGCGAUCUGGUUUGUUCAGUUAGUAGAGACUCCUGAUUUUUGGUGCAGGGGAAGUAAGCUAUAUUGUUUGAAAAUGCCAGACUUGUCAUGGACCCAAAUAUCCGGAUUACCCACCGUGGCGAGUCUCGUCUCUAAUAUCCUUCUUGAACUUGAGAUGGCCGCACGGGAUAGCAGAUGGUUUUCGCAUUGGACGAGGUACCCCCUUGACCCCCUUGGCGAGCUGGAGAGUGUCGUUUUUUCUGGCAUGUUUCCCAGGUGUACCCAAUCUCAGAUGGAAAAAUGAAUAAUGGCCACCCCAAACAUGCGGUUCCUCCUCCAGCUCCCGUCUAGUUUAAGAGAGUCAGUAUUUCGAGUACUGGCGCCCUCACCUUCGUCAUAUGAUGCCCCUUCUUGGUGGAUGCCGAUAUUCGUUGGUAUAUGUGAUUCGGAGUUGGAGAAACUCCUUCUGAAGGAUUACACGCUUUCAAGACGGCUCGAGCAGUUUUCGCUGAAUAUGAGGAGACUCCAGCUUAACUACCGUGAUAAGAAACUCCUUCUGAAGGAUUACACGCUUUCAAGACGGCUCGAGCAGUUUUCGCUGAAUAUGAGGAGACUCCAGCUUAACUACCGUGAUAAGAUUUUUCGACGGCCGCAUCACCCCACAAAAGCACUCAAGCCGUUGAAAAAUUGGGGUCCCUUUCAUCCCUUGCGGUCGCAUAUUGUAGGUCGAUCGAAAGGAUGCUAGACCUAUCGAAAUCGAGGAAGCUAAGGGAGCUUCGAGUAGGAAAAUGUCCGAAGUUAAGAAGCAUGGAAGGUUUGGACCGCUUGGCAUCUCUAAAGCGUUUGUGGAUUCACGAUUGCAGGUCGUUGGAGAGUUUGGUGGACAUCUCGAAUUUGGAUUUAGAAUGUUGCUUGAUUGUCCGUUGGAAGCGAUUGCCCCACCGUCGCAAUUAUUGUAAACGUGGCCGGGUUGCUAUUGUGAGAUGCUUUUUGAGGGGUUAUGGAAAUCUAACCUGAUGGAAGUCCAGGAAGUAUUACAGGGACACCCGGAUGUUGUGCCGGUAAGGAGUUUAGAACAUGGCUUGCUUGUUGUGCUUGGUGUAGCCAUUUUGUUUGUUUUGUUCUUGUUUUGUUUUUUAGUUCUAUGAAAAAGGCUUUCUCCUAGACAAAUAUUGGUGAUGAAGCUAAGGAAGUGAACGAGGCACGCUCAUAUGAUGCUAAAACAUUGUCCAAUUUUGAUCAGCUUUUGAACAUGGUACUCAGUUCAUUGAUUGCUGUCCAUGAUUUCCAUUUUAUUCCUCCUUUUGUCUUUGUUAUAUAUGAGUUUCAACUCAAAUGACUGUGGUCAAACCCUAAUUUUCUCUCGCUUGUUUUGAUCGAAACGGAGAAACUGAACACGGAACGGGAAAGUCUCACAGUGAGAGAUGGGAAAGGGCUAGAGAGAUAGAGAGAGAAAGAGUGGAUGGUCGGAGUUUCUCUUGGCUUCUUACAUUAGAGAGAGAGAGAGAGAGAGAGAGAGAGAGAGGGAGAGAGAAGGGGGGGGGGGGUUUGUCUGCGUCGCGUGGUGACCGUCUGAUAAGGGUGGGCUUCGAGUUGUUCGAGGUCAGCGAGGCUGUGGCGAUCGAGUCACAGACGGUCAAGCACAUAUACUAACCCUCUUUAUUCACAAUUGACUGAUGUUUUAUCCCAUAUGCUCACCAAUUCUGUGUAGGAGGGUUGGCUUUAGGGAAUUAAGCUUAAAAAUGAGUGCCCCAAAGGAGUGCCCUGAGCCCACAUUCUCUUUACAUAUGACUCCCUAUUCUUUCUUGUUACUAACCCUGAUUGAACUGCAGAUGUUCGAAAAAGAUUCUUGACUGAAUUGCACUGCUCGGUCCCUAGGAUUAUCUUGCAAAAAUCGAGUAUAUGAUUCAGUCCUAACACGGGUGCAGAGUUCAGAACAAAGGUACGCAUAGUCUAGGGAAUGAAUGGUAUUCAGAACCCUAGUAAUUAUAUGGGUCUACCUAUUCUAUGGGGGUAGAUCCAAACAUGAAGCUCUUGGCUUUUUUAAGGAUAGAGUCUUGACAAGGAUGCCUAGCUGAAAAUCUAAUUUGUUGUCACAAGCUGGUAGGGAGAUUAGGUUAAAACAGUGGCUUAUGUUGUACAAACUUACUCCAUGUCUUGUUUCAAGUUUCCAAAGAAGUGAUAUGAAGAAGUGGAUGCAGCUAUAGCCAAUUUUUGGUUGGAAAAAAGAUUAACUGAAGCAAAGUUAGAAUGAGGCUUAAGUUUAUCACAGUUUGACAGAACCCUCCUUGCUAAGCUUGUUUGGAAAAUCCAAGCAACCCCUCAGAAUUCUGGGUGCAAGUAUUUCAAGCGCUCUACCCUUUGUAGCUUCAUGGAAGUUAGAAGAGGUGGCAAAAUGUCUUGGGGAUGGAGUAGAGUUUUGGAAGGAGAGAUCCAAUUAAGGAAGGCAGGUUAUAAUAAAUUGCUAAUGGGAAAUCAGUCAAAGUUGGGGAGGAUAGGUUGGUGAAGGAGUGUUGAGACUUGAUGCUACAUCCUUCAAUCUGACUCAGGUGAUAAAGGAAUUAAGAAUGGAGUCUCUAAUUGAUGCGGAUACUAAGACUUGGAACUUAAACCCCAUCAAAGACAGCAUGUGGUAGGAGGAGCAGUGACUGGUGUUGAGCAAUCACAUAAGGUCGAGAUCGAGAAGUUCUGAUGACCAAAUGAUUUGGCCCUAGAACAAGAUUGGUUGUUCUUCAGUAAAGUCUCUACCACUUUACCAUGCAAAAAAGAAAGAAACAUCUACUAAAGCCUAGAUUCUCAAGCUCUCAUACUAUUGAUGGUAUAAUUUGGAAGUUAGCACAGGGAGUCGACUCUCCUCAAGAUAAGACACUUCCUCUAGCAACUUUGCUUGAAUGUUGUGCCUGUUGUUGCUACAUGUGCAAAAGGAAAAAAUAUAGUUUCUCCUGGUGAUGGUGCCCUUAAGAGUUUGUGGCAACAAACUUUCAUUGAACUAAUUUAGUCGUUCUUGACCUUUCACAUAGCGAUGUUUCAGAGAAAUGGAUUGGCUGAAAUCAAAUCAUAAUAUAGUACGAAUCUCACUCCUUGCAUACAUGUAUCAUUCCUUGUCGUUUUUUUUUUCCUACAAAUAAUUUCUUAGUAUAUAUUUUGUUUUGCAGGUGGCAAGUAAACUAGAAGUACUAGAUCUCAACAAUUGCGAAUACUUAAUGAGAACACCUGAUUUAUCUAUGUCGGUGUCCUUGGGGAGAUUUGACUCUUGAAGGUUGCCACAACUUAAUUGAACUUGACCCAUCCAUUGGUAAAUUAAAGCUCCUAACUGCUUUGAACCUGAAGGGAUGUGACUCUUUUCAAGAGUUACGUGAAGAGAUAGGAUAUCUAUAAGCUUUGACAGAGAUUGUCAUGCCUAAUAUGCUACAUGAACUUUGGAAGAGAUUUGGUAAUUUGCAGUCAUUGUUGACCUUUGAUGUAUCACAUUGGUAGAUUAGCAAACUGCCGUACUCGAAAGACUGACUGACAAGUUUUCUCUGUUAUGUACGGUGAACAAGAAGCACUAUCCACAAUCAUUGAGCGACGAAGUAUGGCGUUUGCAGAAAAUAGCAAAGACAGCGCUCUGCACAAGUGCAUGACUUCGAGAGGAAUCAAUACCGUUCAAGAUUUCCUCGAGCUGUACGAAGCAGAUGUGCCUUUCUAAGAAACAAAGUGACUCUUACUCUUCGAGCACUGCUAAUUUCCCUUUUUUCCAGUUCACGUUAUUCUAAGAGUUGUUCAAUAUCAAAUCGUGCUACUUCUUUUGUGUACGAUGUUAUUUCAGGUACUUGGAAAUGGCAUCACCAAGCGGACAUGGGAGACGAUCAUCAGACAUGCCAGCCCGUGUGAUCAAUGAUGACAAGAUGUAUUUCUACCAAGCUUUGAACAAGGCCAGUAUAGUGUUCAAUUAGGUCAUGAAAGUUGCUCAAGCAGCACUCGAUGGCCAAAUUUACCAGUGAGUAGACAUAUUGGCCCACUCUCAGAAGGUACAAAAAUCAUAACCCGAAACAUCUCUAUCUAGUAGCUGAGUGUGAAUCUAUCUGGACCUAUAGAAAGGGCCUGUAUUAUCGGAUUAGUCUGCUUCCAUGGCAGAAUGUAUACCACAAGCACUUUUCUUAAAAAAGUACCUGUUUGAUUUUGAGCUUGAUUGAACCCACUGCUCGGUUGACAGAUUUUGUUGCAGAACUUGAAAUGGCUAGCUUACAAUAACAAGAAUCAAUGGUGGCGCUAGAUGCCCUGCCCAGCGUCUCUCUUCUGAGAGGCCCAACCAAUUUGCCUACAGAGCUGUCAAUCGGCCUGAGCCUGCCUCUUCAUCAUCUAUUUUACAUAGAGCUAAACCAAAGGUAUUGUGGUAUUUCAUCACUUCCAUCUAUCUUUUCCUUUUUGGCCUUCUUAAUAUUUCACAGUUUAGUGUUCCCAUUUCUUUAUUGGCACAUCCACCUUUUUGCACAUAUAUGGUAGCUGAAACUGAAAUGCAUUAUUAUUCAGAUAGACCAAAAGUGACUCCUGAAUUUACUUACUAAUUGGUUUCAGCAUCGUGCUGCUGCAAUGUCACAGAGAUCGGACAAUUAGGUUGUCUGGGGCCACAGUCAUAUCACUGCAAAAAUCUUUGAUCUGACUGUAUUCAACAGUUUGGCAAGGGAGGACUUUUUGUCCAGUUUGAGUGCUGGCGAAAGCAGUCAUCUUCCUGGUUACACACAAGAUCUGUUUGCACCGAACAUCCAUUUGUCUCCUGAAGUGCCAUCUCCAAUCUCUGGCAAUUUAAUGUGGACACCGGAGCAUACUUUCAUCAUUGAGUCGAGCAGCGGGGCAGAUUUUGGGAUCUGCCCAUCUCGCACGGGUUAUGGAGUCCAUAAUUCUAGGAUUGCAAGGCCCAAGGUGGCAUGGUGCAAGAUCCGUGAUGUGGUGAAGUGGGGAUUGGUUCAGCGCGUUGUGCCUGCAAAGAGAAGAGCAAGGUUCAAUUGUGCAAGUUAUCCAGCUGUAUAAAUGGAGAGUCCCAUCCCCCAAAAGGAUUUUGGGUGCUUCAGGAGUGCGAAGCUCUCGCCCACACAAGCCAGUCAUCACAUGCAAAGUACAAAAAAGAAGGAAAUUCAUGAUACUUGAUACAGGAUGCAUCAUCGACUUAGUAUUAUGCAUGAUCACUGCGAUUAUCUCUAUUGUCUUUUGUUGAUUGUCCUUUCAUAUUUGAAUGAAGUUGUGCACCAUCAAGAUGGGGCUACCAAUUGGACGUGUCUUCUCUCUAUAGAUCACGCAAGGUGAUCUUAGGAAGUACCUUAAUACAGGGGUUCUUCCUCAAGAUUUGUAAGGCUUUUGCUCUCUUCUUCAAGAAUUGUUUGGCAUUCUGUUUGUCCCAAAUACAUCAUUCCUUGAUUUGUCAGUUUACUGCUAUGAUAUGCUUAGUAGACUUUUCUUUGCUUUACAAAAUUUGUGAGUAUAUUACUUUGUUUGCGAGAUCCAAAGUUUCUCCUGUCAGCUUUGCUCUUAUUGAUCUGAAAUAUUAAGUGGCAGCUAGUGGAUGAUAUACAUCUCUUGGUGGCUUGGCCAAAUGCCAGUUAGAUACCUUGGCCUUCCCCUGAUUUUGGGAAGGUUAAGAGAAUAGAGUGUAAGCCUUUGGUGGACAAGAUUACUUUUCGAGUGAGUCCUUGGACAAUUAGGCAACUCUGUUGCGCUGAAAGAUUGCAACUCAUUGAGGAAGUAACAGCUUGGUGAAUUUUUGGAGUCGAAUUUUUUUGUUGCCAAAAAAGUCAUCGAUAUUAUGGAAAGCGAGUGUAUUGCCUACCUUUGGAAGGAAAAAUCUGAAAACGCUCGAGGUUCAAAAGUUGCUUGGAUGAUGCAUGUCUCCCCAACUUUAAGGGUGGUUUAGGAUUUGAGGAAAGUGGGGCCUUGAAAUCUUGCUUGUCUAUUGAAGAACUUACGGAUUUUGUUGCAGGCUGGAUCCAUUUGGGUGGCCUGGCUUAGCUGUUUCUUGCUUAAAGGGCAGUCUAUUUGGGCAGUGAAUCCAACUGGCGAGGCAGCUAUGCUUGGAGAAAGUCUACUUGAAGCAAUGUAAAUUAGUAUAUAACAGAUAGUUUCAUUUAAAAUUAAUAUUUGAAAAUUUGAUGGAGCAACGCGAACUUAAUUGUAAUUUGCACUGCAAAGCAUGGCUUGAGUUGUCACUUUUCUUCUUGUCCCAUAUAAAACUCGACCUCACUCACAAUGUGGUUUUGAGAAGACUUUUUGAGAUUUACUACUUGUCAUGUCUUACACAUAAUGGAUGAUGAGACUGGAAAAAUGCAAAGUCAAGAUUUUCAAAUUAUGAUAUGGGAAAUUUAUUCUUACUUUUCAUCACCAAUAUAAGAAGAUGCCCACUGGACUAGAUCUUUGCUAGAAAUGCAUCCCCUCGUAGGACGCGAAUGAUAACAGUUUUGUUCCUCUAUUUUUCUAUUUUUCUAUUCCUAAGAACAGGUUUGGAACAUAAAUCCGUUUAGUGAUGUAAUUUCAUUUUUUUUUAUCUUCAGGACAAAUUUUGCACCUAGAAAUUAGGUUUGGAACAAAAAUGAGAAGUAGAAAAUUUCUACUUUUCUCUUUCUAGAAUGGAAACAAAAAUAAAAACUUUUUUCAUCACUCAUCAUUGUCGCUACCCUCUGCCGGCCGUCGCCGCCCUCCACUGGCCACCUGCCCUCCACCAGCAAUUGGUUGUUGCCCUCCACUCACUACCCACCCGCCAGCUACCAAUCGCAACCUUUCAUCAGCCGUCACCAAGAAAUUUUAAGGCCUAUCAAAUGAAUUUCUAUUUCGAGAACAUAAAUUCUGUGUCGUUAUCAAAUGCAUGUCUUUGUUCAUAAACUCAUCCAAUAAAUAAAAACGGAAAAAUCUAUUUUUGAUAAGAAAAUAUUCUCGGAAACAAAAUGAUUAUCGUUUGCGCCCGAACUUGAAUUUAACCAGAGCAAAUCAUAAUGCAGCGGAAUCCGAAUGGGUUCCAUAGGUAAGUUGAAAGACAAAAGAAAAAGAAAAAAAAAAUAGAAAGUUGAAAGGUCAAUGUCCCCAAGACAUGUCGGUGGGAGCUUAGGCAAAAUUUUGAAAAACAAAAGCGAGGCAAUUUUUGCCGAGCAAACCUGAAAUGCAGUUGAUCACUUCGUCUCAAUUGCUCUCAGCUCACCUGUGACAUGGCCGUUGGACGAUGACCACAUACGUCUCACGUUCCACGUUCCACGUUCCUUUUUUACGAAUCCUUCAUAGAGGAUCAACGUCCAAUAGAUCGUCAGCGUAAUCUGGAGUAGAGUUUCCCAUAUCUAAAGGUUGAAACCGCAUUUUCUUGAAAACGUCGUCCGCCCCUCUUCUCCAUUCCCAUCACGAUCUACAUCGUACACCACCAAAAAUUAGUCCACAAAAUGCAUAAGUGAGAUAGCUAGUAUAAGCACCUAGAGGGGGGGUGAAAGGUGCACAAACAAAUUUUCGAGAUACGGAAGCGAUUCUAGGCAAACGAUAGAAAGGAAAAUACGAUCAAAGUAAAGUAAAGGUUAGGGAAGAGAGAAAUGAACACAAGAUUUAUAGUGGUUCGGCUUAUUCCAAGCCUACGUCCACUCUUCCGCACUAACAGCCCACCAACUGGAUUUCACUAUGAACAAAAGAGAAGUUAUAGCACAGCUUUUCCUUGAUUCCACAGUGUAGAUGUUCUACCACACUUCCUCAAAGUUUCUCACGAAUAUAGACUCUCUUUUGUUUACACGAUUUUGCUCAACAAAUUAAUUGACUAGGAACAAAGAGCUUCAGACUUUGGAAUUCUUCUCUCGUGCACGCUCUCGAACAACUGGAACGUCUUCCUUAUAUACUCCUUCAUGCCAUCAUACCCGUUGGCACUUACCAAAGGAAUUCCUCCAAUUUACCCGUUGGACGGAAUCAAUUAGGAAGAUCAUUCGAGCUAUUAAAGGAACAUGUCGAUAGCCCAUCAAUCAUGUUCGCCCAUACAAUCAGGAUCUCAGUUUCCAUAAGUAGAACCUUCCAAGUAUACUUUGCCAAUCAUCGGAUCCUUAAUCUUCGAAUCAACUAUGAUCAAAUAAAGGAUUCCGUUAUGUCAUAUCCAGCCAAGAGAUCUUCUCCAGACGAUAAGGCCACAUCCUUAAUGAAACAUCCAGUUCUGGAUAACCUUUGUUCAACGGAUUAGAAACUGUCAAUGAGGAUAGACUUUAAGUCUUGAGUCUGGCUGUCCGGAGGUCUUCAGACUUUAAAUAGCAGAGUUUGCAAGCCUUCAGACUAGACUGAUGGAAAUGUUUUGUCAACUUCAAAACACUUCAAGAGGAUUUCUCCAACAAUCUCCUCCUUUUUUAUGGUGACAAAACUUUCCUGCAGAUUUGGAAAAGUUUGACCUGCAAAACAUUUCUCAAACACAUAUGCAUAUCUUAUAGAGAUAAAUGGCUAAAUGAAUAACACUAGAAUCUGCAGCCACAGAAAAUAGGUUAGUCCAGUAUGCAAUAAAGCCAUCCAUAAGAUAUCAAUAGUAGUUAAUAAUAAGCAGUCAAAUCCAAAUCCCAAAUUUAGUCCACAUCCAGACACACAAGUUAAGUCAAAACAAACCAAAAGUUCGACAAAUUUAAGUUCAAAGUUUUUUAAGUCUCGCAACUCUCCCCCUUUUUGUCAGCAUAAAAAGAUUGAGAUGAAAAUGGAGUCAAGAAUGCUUGGGAACACGAACAAGCUGGAAAUCUCCCAUCGAUUGAACGAUGCCUUCCAGCCUUUUAAAGUCUUUCUUCAGCUGAGCAACAUCCUCACCCUUAGCAUUAGCCUGAAUCUGAAGAGAAAGGGCUUGGAUUUGAUCAUUUAAUGAACCCGAAGAAACUUGUCCUGCAUUCUGCAAGUUUUGAAUUUCGCAUCCCAAUGCAUAUAUCUGACCUUGCAUCUCCAAGAGAAUAUCUAUCACUCUACGAAAGUCUGCUGAAUUUUCGGUUUGCGUACUGGCAUUAGCACGAUCUGAUGGAGUAAAUGCAGACGAUGGUAGAUCAACAUAAUCACGCAGAUUUGGCGAAGAAACCUCAUGUCCUUCCUCAGGAAAUUGAGAGGCAAAAACCUCCUCUGGAUCUGUUGGGGAUCGACUGACUCCCUCACUGGUUGCAGGAUUUGAGGACAUUCCUCUUUUCUCUUGGUCUCCCCCUGUGUUCAUGCCUUCAGGUGGAGAGUGCUCCUCAUGUUCUCCUUCUUCUUGAUCUCUUUUCUCUUCUUCUUCUUUUUCAACUCUCUCUUUCUCAGCAUCUCUUUCUUCUUCUUCUUCUCUUUCCUCAGUUUCUUUUUCCUCUGCUUCUUUCUCUGCUCUUUCUUCUGUCUGUUGUUCUAACUCUUUCUCUGGAACAGAUCAACUGAGAUUCUUCAAAGCCAUUGCAGAAAUAGUGAUGUUAUCCUCAUCAUCUUCAUCCUCAACGAGAAGAGCUCUUCUUCUCUUGGAUGGAGCAUCCAUGGGCUCCUUCCCUUUCCUUUUUCCUGCAGAAGAGAAUUGAUGAGAUUUGACUGGAGUCUUUUCCUUAAAUUUCUCCAAUGCCUUGCUUAGUUCCUUCAGACGCAUCUUGGUCACCAUUUUCAGUCCUACCACCAUAUGAUCGCACGAUCGAGCACAAAGAAUUUGCGGAGGCUGAAUGUUCAGAUGUCUGAAUAACUUCGUCACAAGACCUGGAUAAGGAAGUUGUCCUAUGUCCUUCAUCACAGCUCUACACAUGUGGAACAUAACAGUGUGAGGAAGUGAAAACCUUUUCCUAGUGAUGAUGGCAUACAUUAGCUUUGCCUCUGAACUUGAGACAUCAGUCUUGGAAGUUGAUUUCGGUNNNNNNNNNNNNNNNNNNNNNNNNNNNNNNNNNNNNNNNNNNNNNNNNNNNNNNNNNNNNNNNNNNNNNNNNNNNNNNNNNNNNNNNNNNNNNNNNNNNNNNNNNNNNNNNNNNNNNNNNNNNNNNNNNNNNNNNNNNNNNNNNNNNNNNNNNNNNNNNNCAUCUGCCAGCAUAUCCAUAUCCACUACAAAGUCUUGAUCUUUGACAUUGAAGGAGAAUCUAUUCGCAUCCAAGAAACUAAGAUUUGAAUAGAAAUAUGUAGUUAGUUGAGGAUAGGCCUCUGUGGUGUCAGAGCAGAAUUUUUCAAGUUGAAGAUGACCGAACUUUUCCCUCAAGUUCACAUUUACAGCAUCUAGAAAGUCAAAAUCCACACUCCUAGGGUUUAUCACCCCACGCUUCAGCAAUUUUGAGUAUAGAUCCUUAUGUUCCUUCGAUCUAAACAACUCUCCCCUUUUUCCUCGAUUUUCCGCUGCAACUCCCAUUCUUGGUUGAAAUUGGCUGUAUAAUUUGUCAUCAUCAUUUCCAUCUACCGAAUUAAAUCCCUAAUCACGAGGGUCACUUGGGAUAUUCGCAAGGGUUUCUUCUGCCACCCCUUUACGAGCAAUUCCCAAACUUUCCAUUUUUCGCAAAAAGAUAUAUUCAUUUCCUUAAGAAAAUCAUCGACAUAGUUCAAUGGAGUACCGGUCCCUUUUAAAGCACGAUACAGCUUAUAAAUAAAAGAGGGCCUUUGAACUCUUACAGGGUCUGCAUCUUCAAUGAUUUCUUCAUUUUGAUGAUGAUCAACAUCUUGAGGACUAGAUGGAGGAAAAUGACGCUGCUGAGAAUGUUGUGGGCUAUGCUGCUGAUUUGGAGACACUUCUUCUUCAGUGAGAUCGAAGUGCGUAGGCCCCUCACUCAUUCGCCGUGGUCCCCUGCUUGCGAUCCUCAAAGACUUUCUUGAAGACGACAUCUUUCUUAGUCUUUGAAAGAUUCCUUGCUUGACUUUCCCAAGAAAGAUGACAACUUUUUCGAAGAUUAAACAAGAGAAGAAAAUAGGAAUGGAAGAUUGGUGCUUUUUAGGGUUUUGGAGUUAAGCGAGGAGAAACUGAUUGUAUAUAAGACAGUCGAAAUGAGAGGAUACCAAACGUCGUAAUGGAAAGUGAAAAGAUGCCUUUUAAAAAAAUAUCUGCCUUUUUCGAAAAAAAAGUCACAUCAAAAUAACUCAUUUUUCUAAAGGAAACGUUGCAAUAAUCUCGUCAAUUAAAGAUAGCGGUUGAGAUAACAAUAAUCAACACGGUUGAUGAACGUACCUUUUCAAGAUGAGAUUAGAGAGAGAGAAUAACUUACAGUCAAAGUCUUAUUUGUCUGAGUCUGAGAGUCUCUAGACUUUAACUUCUUCAAACCUCAAAAUGUUGAGUCUUGAACGGAUAAUUUCAAAUUGAUUUUUCUCCAAAGGCUUUGUAAAUAUAUCCGCCAGUUGGUUCUUUGAGUCAACAAACCGAAUCGUAAUUUCUCCAUUUUGAACAUGAUCUCUAAUGAAGUGAUGUCGAAUCUCUAUAUGCUUUGCUCUUGAGUGAAGAAUUGGAUUUUUGGUGAGAUUGAUUGCGCUGGUGUUGUCACAUUUAAUCUCCAUGCAUGAAUCUUCAAUUCCAAAGUCUCUUAGCUAUUGUUUUAUCCACAAAAUUUGUGAACAACAACUUCCAAGAGCUACAUAUUCUGCUUCUGCUGUAGAGAGAGCUACUAUACUUUGCUUCCUUGAAAACCAAGACACUGUCCUGCCUCCAAAUAGUUGACAAGUACCUGAGGUGCUCUUUCUAUCAACUCUACAUCUGGCUAAGUCUGCGUCUGAGUACCCAAGAAGAGUAAAGUCUCCCCUUUUAGGAUACUAGAGACCGAAGCUUGAAGUUAAUGCAAUAUAUUUGAUAAUACGCUUUGCAGCAUUUAAAUGUGAUUCUUUAGGGUCUGCUUGAAAUCUGGCACAAAAGCAAACACUAAACAAAAUGUCAGGUCUAGAAGCAGUAAGAUAAAGAAGUGAACCGAUGAUACUCUUGUAUAACUUUUGGUCGACUUUCUUUCCUCCUUCAUCUUUAUCUAUCUUCAAGGAAUUUGACAUUGGUAUAUUGGCCUUUUUGCAAUUGUCCAGUCCAAACUUCUUCACAAUAUCAUUAGCAUAUUUUCUUGAUGAAUAAAAGUUCAUUCCUUCAGUUGUUUCACUUGAAGUCCAAGGAAGAAGGUUAACUCACCCAUCAUGCUCAUUUCAAAUUCAUCCUGCAUAGUCUUAGAGAAUUUCUUGCACAGACUUUCAUUAGAGGAUCCAAAAAUAAUAUCAUCGACAUAUAUUUGAACAAGUAGAAAACUCUUGCUUUCUCUUUUAAUGAAAAGAGUAGUGUCUACUUUACCUUUAACAAAUCCAUUUUCAAUUAAAAACUUACUCAGUCUGUCGUACCAAGCUCGAGGUGCUUGUUUCAAGCCAUAUAAAUCAUUUUUGAGUCUGAAUACUGAGUCUGGUUUCCUUGGGUCUUCAAACCCAGGUGGUUGUUCCACAUAGACUUCCUCUUGGAUGAAUCCAUUUAGGAAGGCACUUUUGACAUCCAUGUGGAAUAACCUGAAAUUCUUAUAACAAGCAAAAGCAAGUAAUAAUCGAAUUGCUUCUAACCUUGCUACUGGUGCGUAAGUCUCGUCAUAGUCUAUCCCUUCUUCUUGUGUGUAUCCCUUGGCCACGAGUCUUGCCUUGUUUCUUAUGACUUUUCCUUUCUCGUUCAUCUUGUUCCUAAAAACCCAUUUAGCUCCAAUAACAGACUUACCUUUUGGUUUAGGAGUUAAUUCCUAGACAUCAUUAAUACUGAAUUGCCUGAGCUCUUCUUGCAUAGCUUCAAUCCAGCUUUCAUCAAAUAAAGCUUCUUCUAUGCUUUUGGGUUCUAUUUCAGAAACAAGAGCCACAACACUAGACUCUUCGCGCCUUUUAGAUCUUGUGCGAAUUCCUUCAUUGAUGUCACCAAUAAUAAGAUCUUUGGGAUGACUGGACUUAUGUUUCCAGUUGCUGGUUAAUUUGUCAGAUUGAUGGUCACUUCCUUCACUUGAAUCUUCAACAGUCACUUGUUGCUGGUCCUUCAAAGUCUGAGCUAUUUUAGACUUUGUAGAAUCUGGAGUAGGUUCAGAUUCUUCAAGAUGAGUUUGAAUGGAUUCAUUUUGCAUAGAAUCUUGGAAUUUAACAUUCAUUGAUUCUUCCACUAUUUGAGUCUUCUUGUUGUAGACUUUGUACGCUUUGCUUGUGGUUGAAUAUCCAAGGAAGAUGCCUUCAUCUGACUUUUCUUCAAACUUACCAACUCGAUCAUUUGCAUUUUUCAGUAUAAAACAUUUGCAUCCAAAUACAUGAAAAUAUGAAACAAUAGGCUUCUUUUCUUUGAAUAGUUCAUAAGGGGGUUUUUUCCAUAAUAGGCCUUAGAAAAACUCUAUUUAUAAUGUAACAUGCUGUAGAAAAACUGCUUCAGCCCAAAAACGUGAAGAGAUGUUACUUUCAAUUAAAAGAGUUCUAGCCAUUUGUUGAAGUGAUCUAUUCUUUCUUUCCACAACUCCAUUUUGCUCUGGAGUAUAUGGAGAGGAGAAUACAUGCUGAAGACUAGAUUCAUCAUAGAAUUUUGUAAAAUCAUGAUUUUCAAACUCACCUCCAUGAUCUAUUCUUAUACUCGAGAUAACAUACCCUUUUUCAUUUUGAACUUUUUUAGCAAACUUUUCAAAGUAAGAGAAAGUUUCAGACUUACUUGCCAAGAAAUAUACCCAAGUAAAUCGUGAGUAAUCAUCCACAAUUACUAGGCAGUAUUUCUUACCUCCAAUGCUUUGUGUUCUGGUUGGUCCAAAAAGAUCCAUAUGCAGAAGCUGCAGUACACGGUUAGUGGAAACUUGAUUUAUUGGUUUAAAGGAAUUUCUUACCUGUUUUCCCAAUAUACAUGGUGUACAUAGAUCAGACUUUUGGUAUGAUAAUUUGGGUAGACCACGAACAAGCUUCUUUGCUGCGAUUUUGGCUAUUUGCUUCAUAUUGACGUGCCCAAGCUUUCUGUGCCAUAAAUUUGCUUCGUCUUGGAUUGAGAUUAGACAUUGUGAUUCAUCUGGUUUCACAUCCAAGAGGUAGAUAUUUCCAUGUCUUCGUCCCAUGAAUGACUGAGUAGAAUCUUUACUAAUUCCUGAACAUAUUCCCUCUUGAAAGUUGAUUUUGAAACCAGUAUCACAUAGCUGACUAAUACUGAGCAAAUUGUAGUUAAGCCCUUCCACUAAGGAAACAUUGCUAAUUGUGAGAUUUCUAAUCUUUACAGUUCCAAAUCCCACAAUUUUUCCUUUGCUGUUUCCUCCAAAAGAGACUUUUCCACCAUUCACUCGAACAAGCUUUAUGAAGUAAUUUGAGUCUCCUGUCAUAUGUCUUGAGCAUCCACUAUCCAGAUACCAUUUUACCUUUUUCUUGAUAGUGACCUGCAUUUAAAAAAGAAACUCAAACUUCUUUGGUACCCAUAUUUUCUUGGGUCCAUUGGUGUUAGUAUGAUAUGCGGUUUUUGCCCAUACCUUUUUAACAGGUUUCCAAAUCAUAGGACAUUCUUUUUCAAAAUGAUCUGCACUAUUGCACUUUGAGCAUCUGAGAGUAUUGCGACCUACUGGUUUUACAAAGAUCCUUUUAAAAUGAUUUUUGUAAGUAUCUCUUGUGGGUCUUUGUUUGAUUCUUUCCUUCACUUUAGGAAAAUCAAUUAAAGGAAUGGUUUCAGCAGUCAUUCCCAAACCAGAUUUAUUAAAAUAAGGUCUUUGAACAGAGAGAAUUUUUUCUAGUUUCUCAGAUCCUAUAGAAAAUCUUUUGAAAAUAUUUGAGAUAUCACUUUUCAAGAAUGCAUUUUCUUUUAAAAGAUUAUCUUCACUUUCUUUAAGAGAAGAAACAUUCUUGUCUAAACUUUUCACUUUUUCUUUCAAAAUAUUUUCCUGUUGUUUUAGAGCAGAAUUUUCCUUCUUGAGUUCGGAAAUUCUUUUAAGAGAAGUCUUAAGACUGAAACAUAAUUUAUCAAUGUACUUUGAAACCUUAAUAGGGAUUUUGAAGUUACUUACCUCAAAUUCGCUUUCUGAAUCUGAAUCUGUCUCGGAAUUUGAAUCUGAAUCCGAUUGUGCCAUCAGACAUAUAUUGGCAUAAUCAUCAUCACUUUCUUCACACUCUGUAUCACUCUAGGUUUCAGCUUUAAGAGCUUUUCGGUACUUUUCAGUUUUUCCUUUCUCCUUCCUCAGAAGAGGACAGUUGGGUCUGAUGCGUCCCUUUUUCUUACAUUCAAAGCAGACUACAUCUUUGUUUGAUUCAUCAUCCUCAACAGACUUAGUCUGUUGUUUUUGAAAACUUUGUUUCAUUGGAUUGAAUUUUCUUCCUUUUCUGUUCAGUUUUCUGAAUCUUCUUAUCAUGAGAGCAAGUUCCUCAUCAUCCAUAUCGUCUUCAGAAUCUAUAACAUCAGAAUCAUCAUUAGAUUUUAAUGCAAUGGAUUUCUUACCUUUAGGGUCUUCGUCUUCAUUGAUUCGUUCCACUUCAUAAGACUGAAGAGUCCCAACCAACUCAUCAACAAAUAUUGGCAUGAUUCUUUGGGUCUCUCUGAUUGAGGUCUUUAUGUGAUUCCAAUCCUUGGAAAGUCCACGCAGUAGCUUGUUUACUUUCAUGGGUCAGAAAUUGGUUGACCUUGAUUUUCAAGACCAUUCACGAUUUCUGUAAAGCGACUAAAUAUAUCAAUUAUAGAUUCUCCUGGUUUCAUUUUGAAGGCUUCAUAUUGACCGAGGAGAAUGUUGAUUCUAGUCUCUUUCACUCGAUCGAUUCCUUCAUAGGUAAUAUGUAAUCUAUCCCAAACUUCUUUAGCUGUAACACAAGAAGAUAUUAUGUUAUAUUCAGUAGGGGAUAAAGCACAAUAUAAAGAAUAAAUUGCUUUUGCAUCAAGAGCUUGUCUCUUGAUUUUCUCUUCCUGAGUCAUUUCGCUAGACUCAACAGCAUCUUUUCCUCUUUCUGAGACAGAUGCAGCUUUAGGAAUGAUUCCUUUUUCUACAACGUCCCAUUCCAGAGGAUCCUUUGAUCUUAGGAACACUUUCAUCUUGUUUUUCCAUAUGUUGUAAUCAUUUCCAUCAAAGUAAGGUGGUCUGGUAUUGCUUUGCCCUUCUACCAGUCUUGGAGCCAACAUACUAGCCAUGGAUCUUUAACUCUGAAGUAAAACACUUCAACCAAAGUGAGUACAUAGGCUCUGAUACCAAUUGAGAUAACUAGUAUAAGCACCUAGAGGGGAGUGAAUAGGUGCACAAACAAAUUCUCGAGAUACGGAAGCGAUUCUAGGCAAACGAUAGAAAAGAAAAUACGAUCAAAGUAAAGUAAAGGUUAUGGAAGAGAGAAAUGAACACAAGAUUUAUAGUGGUUCGGCUUAUUCCAAGCCUACGUCCACUCUUUCGCACUGACAGCCCAUCGGCUGGAUUUCACUAUGAACAAAAGAGAAGUUACAGCACAGCUUUUCCUUGAUUCCACAGUGUAGAUGUUCUACCACACUUCCUCAAGGUUUUUCACGAAUAUAGACUCUUUUUUGUUUACACGAUUUUGCUCAACAAAUGAAUUGACUAGGAACAAGGAGCUUCAGACUUUGGAAUUCUUCUCUCGUGCACGCUCUCGAACAACUGGAACGUCUUCCUUAUAUACUCCUUCAUGCCAUCAUACCCGUUGGCACUUACCAAAGGAAUUCCUCCAAUCUACCCGUUGGACGGAAUCAAUUAGGAAGAUCAUUCGAGCUAUUAAAGGAACAUGUCGAUAGCCCAUCAAUCAUGUUCGCCCAUACAAUCAGGAUCUCAGUUUCCAUAAGUAGAACCUUCCAAGUAUACUUUGCCAAUCAUCGGAUCCUUAAUCUUCGAAUCAACUAUGAUCAAAUAAAGGAUUCCGUUAUGUCAUAUCCAGCCAAGAGAUCUUCUCCAGACGAUAAGGCCACAUCCUUAAUGAAACAUCCAGUUCUGGAUAACCUUUCUUCAACGGAUUAGAAACUGUCAAUGAGGAUAGACUUUAAGUCUUGAGUCUGGCUGUCCGGAGGUCUUCAGACUUUAAAUAGCAGAGUCUGCAAGCCUUCAAACUAGACUGAUGGAAACGUUUUAUCAACUUCAAAACACUUCAAGAGGAUUUCUCCAACAAUAAGAAAUUGCAUGGCGAAGAUGUCGCAAAGAUAAAUUCGACAUUAAAACUGGAAAAAGGAGCCAAAUGCCAAUGUUCCCACAAAUAUGAGAGCUCACCAUUAGGGAUGGGCAUGGGGGCAAGUCCAAUUCCCAGCCGGCGAACUAGGAACCUGCGCCAUCCCUGUCCCAUUCCCCAUGUGGGGCAGGGCGGUUCACCGGCGGUUCCGUUGAAAGGGCGGCAGAGAGUAAGAUAGAGAGAGACUGUAUUAACACAGUGCCAAAAAUUUUGCUUUAAUUCCCACUUGUAUCCGUGUAUUAAAAUAGAGCGGGAGGUACACUCAAGUCAACGCUUAGCGAGCCAUACCAACAUUGUCCCUAACAUUGUCCGUAGCGAGCCAAACCAACAAGUACCGACGCCCAGAGCUUAAUGGAUAAUUAGCGAAGACACUCAAGUCAACGCUCUAAAGUCAAACCUGAAACUGAAUACACCGCGAAAAACUAAAGGGCCGUUUGAGGAACUAAAGAAUUGACUACUCAGGAUGAGUUCAAAGAGAGUAGCCUGGUCAACUUCGACAAACUCAGCGACCCAGGCCUUUGAGGACGUCCUCGAUGGUGCCAUCUUCGGACUUGGCAAACUCGGCGUGCUUCUUGCAGUACUCGAUUGACAUUGAAGUACAAUCGCAAUCUGAGGAACCAUGGUCACCACUGCGAAUUCACACCAAUGGGAGAGGCAAGGACACAAAUGCAGUCGAUGAGGAAGAUCACCCUUGGGAGCUCUGACGGUGAUCCGUUCGAGGUCAACGAGGCUGUGGCCGACGAGUCAUAGAUGAUCAAGCACAUAUACUCACCCUCUUUAUGCACAAUUGUGGCUGAUGUUUUAUCCCAUGUACUCAACAAUGCUCUGUAGGAGUGUUAGCGUCAGGGAAUUAAGCUUAAAAAGGAGAGCCCUGAGCCCACCUUCUCUUUACAUAUGGCUUCCUAUUCUUUGUUGUUGCUAACCCUGUUUGAACUGCGGAUGUUCCAAAAAGAUUGUUGACUGUAUUGCACUCUAUCCGUAGGAUUAUCUUGCAAAAAUCCUGUAUAUGCUUCAGUGCUAACACGGGUGCAGAGUUGAGAACAGAGGUAAGCACAGUCCAGGGAAUCAAUGUUAUUCAGAACCCUGGUAACUAUUUGGGUCUACCUAUUCUAUGAGGUAGAUCUAAACGUGAAGCUCUUGGCUUUGUGAAGGAAAAAGUCUUGAAAAGAAUGCCGAGCUGGAAAACUAAAUUGGUCUCACAAGCUAGUAGGGAGAUUAUGGUAAAAAUAGUGGCUUAUGCAGUACCAACUUAUUCCGUUGUCUUAUUUCAAGUUUCCAAAGAAGUGGCUUGAGGUCGUUGAUGCAGCUAUAGCCAAUUUUUGGUGGGGGUAAGCAGAAUAAUGAAGGGAAAGUGCAUUGGAAGAAUAGGGAAAGCUUAACUGAAGCAAAGUUAGAAUGAGGCUUGGGUUUUAGAAAUUUUCAUAGUUUAACAUAACCCUCCUUGCUAAGCUUGCUCGGAGAAUCCAAAGCAACCCCUCAGAAUUCUGGGUGCAAAUAUUUCAAGCGCUCUACUUUCCCCUUUGUAGCUUCAUGGAAGUUAGAAGAGGUGGCAGAAUGUCUUGGGGAUGGAGUAUAGUUUUGGAGGGAGAGAUCUAAUUAAGGAAGGUGGGUUAUGGUAAAUUACUGAUGGGAAGUCAGUCAAAGUUGGGGAGGAUAGGUUGGUGAAGGAGAGUUGAGACUUGAUGCUCAUCCUCUAAUCCGACUCAGGUGAAAAAGUAAUUAAGAAUGGAGUCUCUAAUUGGUGCAGAUACUAGGACUUGGAACUUGACCCCCAUUAAAGACAUCAUACGGCAGGAGGAGCAGUGAUCGGUGUUGAGAAAUCUCAUAAGGUGGAGAAGCUCCGAUGACCAACGAUUUGGCCCCGGAACAGGAGUGGUGGUUCUCCAAUAAAGUCUACCACUUUACUAUGCAGAAAAGAAAGAAACAUCCAAGCCUAGAUCCUCAAACUCUCAUACUAUUGAUGGUAUAGUUUGGAAAUUAGCACGGGUGUUGACUCUCCUCUCACGAUAAGACACUUCCAUUGGCAACUUUGCUCGAAUGUUAUGUCUGCUACUGCUAAUCCAUGCAAAAGAAAAGAAUAAAGUUUCUCUUGCUUGUGUUCUGCUUUGAGAUUAUAUCUGUUGAGCAUUUAUACUCAAUUGCUUAAAGUUGAAAAUCCAAAAAACGAAAUGAUUCAGAUAGCCAAAGGACUCAUCAUUUGUUUAAAUUUGGAAAAAAGAAAAGAAAAGAAAAGACAGAAAAUCAAACUUUUACAUGAAAAGUCAGUGCAACUCAGCAGCAAAAUUUUGUUGCUGUGCAAAGUUGUCUCCAAGUAAAAUUUAGAGGAAGAUAAAUAUUUCUCACGGAAGAGUGGAUGGUAAGCAAGAUGGAAACUUUCCAGAGUUUCACCUCGAAGAGUGAUAAUCCGAUCAGUGACACCUCUCCUUCAUGGAUGGGCUUGUUUUCUAAUUUGAAGUGCUCGUUUUGCGUGCCAAUAGAUUUCAUUGAGCCAUAAAACAGCUCAAAGCUCAUUACCAAUUUCAUACAUAUCUUUGUUUGGUCAUAUCUAAUGUUAGUAACUCUCAAUGUUCAUCGUAAUUUCCCUAGACUUUGCUAUACCCAUCAAUUUACGUUCAUUAACUUGGUGGUGAGAAUAUGUAAGAUUUUGUGUCAUGGACAUAUUACAUCCGUUGUGAGUGUUAGAUAGGCUAUGGUACUAUUGAAUUAGUUUGUGCUAGUUGACACAAGUUUUCGCUCGAGUCUUCUCGUUCAAUUAAGAAAAUUUGAGAUCAAAUUUGAUGGAGUUUGACCCCCGAAGCAAAAAUAUUGAUAUUGCAUAGUCUUACUUUUGCAAUUCCCAACUCCAUUUCUUCGCAUUUAAAUAUUAAGGACAUUUAAAUUUUGGGUAUAAAGUGUUCUCGUCGAACAAAGCAUGGAUCAAAGAGUUUCAUCGGGAUUGGCUCGAUGGAUGGUUUAAUAUGCAAAAAAUGAGCCCUGAAAUCCCUUGAGGUUCCAAAAUCAGGCCUGCGCGAGGACGGCCCUAAGCAAAUCAAACUAGGCCCAAUGAAUGGAAAGGAAGCGCGGCCAUCUAAGGACAAUAAGGGAAAUUCAAAUUGGCCAACACCCAUUUUCGAAGCCCACGCAUAGUUUUUUUUUUUUUUGAACGAAAGGUCGACUUUCAUUACUACUAAAAACCCUUACAACCCGCGGCAAGAGCGUCCGCGCAUAAAAGAUUGAAAAGAGGAGAGGGCAGACGAAUGGCCCAAUUAUCAGACAAAGAUGUGCCCGUAUGGGCCUUGCAAGCCCAGUCAGCAACCGAAUUCGCCUCUCUACAGCAAAACCCUAACUUGAGAUUGGGAAAUAGGGUUAGAAGGAAAGCAGCUUCGGCGAAGAGAGAUCGAUCGCGCCAUGGCGGCUGGGAGCGACGAUUCAGCGUUUCCACAACAGUGAGGUUAUCUGAUUCAACGAUUAGUGCUGCAGUUUGAAGGCCUUGCUGCAAUAGGUGACGAAGCGAGUAAGAGAGGGCUUGAAUCUCGACCUGGAGAGCAGAGACAGCCACGACACGUACGGAGAAGCCAUCGGUAAGUCUACCUUGAUGAUCCCUGCAAAUACAAGCAAUCGUACCAUAAUUUCUCCCUUGAUGGAAAGAACCAUCGAGAUUGACCUUCAAAACUCCGAGAUCUGGAGGACGCCAUAGAUGGGAUCUAUUUCUAAUGGAACUCCUUUGAUGCAGAGAGGGAGAUGAAGAUAAGCGAUCAACUUGGGCGUGAGUCAGUGCCGCCUCUACGACCUGCUUUGGAUUAGGAUAAGAACCGCGGAAGACAAAGGCAUUCCGAGCACGCCAGAUCUGCCACAGAAUGUUAGUAAUGAAGGCCAGCCGGGUUAAGCGAUGGCCGUCGCCAAUCGUUGUCACAAUCCAUGAGUCCAGACGCUGAAUGCGAGUUGGAAGGACUGAAAUCCCAAUCUGUGAGUGAUUCCACACUCUUUGAGUCCAUGAACAGAGUAAGAACAAAUGCUCUAAUGUUUCUGGAUUCUUACUUUUGCAUAAAGUGCAACAAGGAUUGUCUAAUAUAUGUCUGCGAUGCAGGUUUUCUCGCGUCGCCAAAGCAUUACUACAAAGUGACCAGAGAAAGACUCGGAGCUUAGGUGCAGCAGGCAUCUUCCAGAGAUUACGCCAUAACCAGGUAGGAAGUUGAUACGAAGUAGACGCAGUUGCAGUGACUGUACUUAAUUGUGUCUGAUGGAUUGCGUGAUAUGCUGAUUUGACUGUGUAAACUCCCUGUUUAGUUGCUGUCCAUAUAAGUGCAUCUGAAGUGAAGUUAGGUCGAAUUGGAAUGUCUGUGAUCUGUUGAAUGAUUGGCUUGUCGAAAAUGCUGUGUAAUAAAUCAACCUUCCAUGAACUGGUGGUCUGGUCAAUAAGAUCAGCUACUAGUGUAGGUUCAGCAGGGGCUCUAGGUCCACCGAGAAUUCCCAUAGGAAGCCAGCGAUCUUCUCUAAUAUUAAUACAUGUUCCAUCUCCCACAGACCAAGUGAUGUGUGGUAAAAUUGCAUUCCUCCCACAUAAUAAGCUCUGCCAACCCCAUGAGGGCCGAAUACCUUUGUUUGCUUUUAAAAAAGUGGAAGAAUGAUAAUAUAAACCCUUAAAAAACUUACUCCAUAAUGAUAAUGGUUGAUGCAAUAGACGCCAAGCUUGCUUACCAAGCAUAGCAUGAUUAAAACUCACCAGAUCACGAAAACCCAAUCCACCUAGCUCUUUUCUUUGCUGAAGAUUUUUCCAACUCUGCCAAGGAAUUCCAGAUCUACUUGUAUCAUUACUCCACCAGAAUUUUGCCAUUCUUUUCUCAAUAACUUUACAUAAUGAUAUGGGAAUCUUAAACACAGACAUUGCGUAUUGAGGGAUAGAUUGAAUAACUGUCUUUAAUAAAACCUCUUUUCCACCCUUUGACACUAGUUUCUCCUUCCAUCCUUCUAAUUUCAAAUGAACUCUAGUCAACAGCCAGGAAAACAUAUCCUUUUUAGAUCUUCCCCAGUCAGUAGGAAUGCCUAGGUACUUCCCACAGCGCUGUAAAAUUGGUACCCGUAAUGCACCUGCAAGAUUUUCCUGGAGAGAUGUAGGGCAACAAGGACUAAAGAAAACACCAGACUUGUUUCGAUUGAUCAUUUGUCCUGAAGCCAAGCAAUAUUGAUUCAAUAUAUUGGAAAGAUUCUGACACUCCAGCAAGGUACCAUUAAGAAAAAACACUGCAUCGUCAGCGAAAAAGAGGUGCGAUAGAGUAGGACACCAUUGAUUCAGUUGGAUUCCUGUGAGCGAGCCCAUAUUCAUAGCAUUCCUAAUUAGGAAAGAUAAAAGAUUUGCGACAAUGAUGAACAAGUAAGGGGAAAGAGGAUCUCCCUGCCUCAGACCACGGGUUGGGUGGAAAGUCGGUAAAAAUUCCCCAUUCAUUUUAAUUGAGAAAGAUGGCGUGGAAAUGCACUGCAUAAUAAGAUUAACCCAAUGAGAAUGGAAGCCCAAGUGAAGUAAAUAAUCGCGAAGAAAGUCCCAUUCAACACGGUCAUAAGCUUUCUGCAUAUCUAACUUGAGUAUUGCUUUAAAAUGACGCCUACUUUUCCGUGUCUUGAGCUGAUGAAUAACUUCCUGUACAAUUAGAACAUUGUCUUGAAUUUGUCUGCCAGCAACGAACGCACUCUGUUCUUCAGUAAUCAGCAGAGGCAGCAAUGGUUUCAAGCGAUUAGCCAGCACCUUAGAAAAGAUUUUAUAGGCAUAGUUACAGAGACUAAUAGGGCGAUACUGAUCCAAGCUUUCCGGGUUUGGGGUUUUAGGAAUUAGAGUGAUAGCAGUUUUGUUUAAAGAUGGAGGUAGUAUACCAGAAGAAAAGAACUGAAGAACUGCUCUGUGUAUAUCAACUUUGAGAAUUUCCCAAUGUGAUUGAUAAAAUAAGCCACUUAAACCAUCCGGGCCCGGUGCCUUGGAAGCACCUAAUUGAAAGGUAGCAACUUGAACUUCUUCAAGGGUGGGUGGAGCUAGGAGAGUUGCAUUCAUUGUUGCAUCAAUCAUGUGUGGACAUUGGUCUAAAAUCUGUGCAUAAGGUCUAGGCCCAGAGGUAGUAUAAAGCUGAGAGAAGUAGUUAGUGGUCAUUUCUUUAAUGUGUUCAAUAUCCCUAACCCAUUCCUGAGAUUCAUUCCUCAACAUACUAAUUUGAUUGCGAUGCCGUCGUUGAAUAGUGGUAGCAUGAAAGAACUUAGUGUUACGAUCUCCCCAUUGUAACCAGUUGAUCCUAGAUCGCAUCGCCCAAUAUUGCUCUUCCUUCUGCCAUGUUUGCUGAAGUUCAAGUUUAAUCUUUUGUUGCUGGGAUUGAUUCAGUAUAGUAGGAUGCUGGUUUGAUAAAAUCUGUAACUGAUGUUCUAAUUCAAUGGCCUGGUGCCUGUUAUGAGAGAAAACCUGGCGACUCCAAGUAGACAAAGCUGUGGUGACUGCACGUAGCUUUACUGGAAGAGAAGAAUCCCUUGUCGCAGCUGAGUGCCAGGAGGUGUGAACAACCGAUUGACAUCCAGGGUCUUGGUUCCAGAAAGCUUCAAAGGUAAAGUGUUUCUUUCGUCGACUCAAACUGGGUGUGGUGUUAAUAACUAGAGGGCUAUGAUCGGAACCUAUUGCAGGCAUAGCAAACACUUGAGCUUUCGGGUAUGCGACACGCCAUUCAGCAGUGCAAACUGCUCGAUCCAAUCUCUCCUUCACCAAAGCAUCACCAGCUCUAUUAUUGGACCACGUAUAAGCACAGCCAUGAGAAGGUAAAUCCAACAACCGGCAAUCAUUAAGAAGCUCACGGAAAGAAUCAAUGCGGUAAGAGUCUGGUGGACGGGUUCCUAUUUUCUCCCAUCUAUGUAAUAUUUCAUUAAAGUCACCACAGCAUAACCAAGGUAAGACAGAGAAGCUGCUGAACUGACGUAAAGUCUGCCAAAGAUGCUGACGGUGUUGAAAAACUGCAGGAGCAUGAAGACAAGUAAUCCUCAUAGACCGAGCAUCGGAGAUAUCCAGACAAGUGAAGUCCAAAAAAUACUGAGAGGAGGAGAAAUCCGACAGAGAAAGCCCUGCAUUCCAAAAAAUAGCUAACCCCCCCGCCGAACCAACAGGGCUAACCAACCUGUGAUGCAAAAAACCAGAGGAUUUUUUCAAGCGAAGGAUAACAUCAUCAACAUUUUUUGUCUCCAUCAAAAAAAGCAGGUCAGGCUUUUCCUUAGCCAAAAGGGCUUUUAGAGAUAGGACUGUCAGGGGAUUGCCCAAACCCUGACAGUUCCAACUUAUGAUUUUCAUCGUUGAUUGGGUGACUGUUUAGGGCCAGCCACCGUCGCCCGCAGAAGUUCUUCAGAAGCCUCCAUGAUGGGUGUGUCUAACAAGGAAGAGUCGUCAUACAGUCCAGUAGGUUCUUCCGGUAAGGUAUAAGGAGAGUAACGCCUGGGUUUCUUCGCAGGACUGAUCUUACUAAUCGGUCGAAUACUUUUCCCUUUUGUGGCCUGAUGAGUUGAUGGUGGCCAUUGCACUCCUUUCAGUUUCUCUGUAGCUGGAAUGAGAGCAGUGGUUACAGUGUGUUUCUCAGGUGGAGGCAUGUUAGAGGAAUAAUUUCUGGGCAGUGGAUCAAGUGGAGUAGAUUCCUGUGGAGAAGAUGUUAUAACAGGAACAGGCGUUAGAAGAAGUGGAAGGGUGUGAACCGCUGUGGGAGGAGUUUCUGGUAUGAAUUCUUCAUUCUCCUCCUCCAUACAUGAUGAACCAUAGUAACAUUGCUAGUAAGGGCUACAUUUCUGAACUUCUGCUUUUAACCAUGGCCCAUAGGGAGUUUUAUCAGCCUCGGUUAUCAUGUUUUCCUCAAAAGGAAUGAAGGGACAAGAAUCCGUGUAAUGGCCCAGACGUCCGCAGGAAUAGCAGUAGUGAGGUAACCUUUCAUACCUAAAAUCCAACCACAGAGUUUGAUUGUUAAGUUUAAUUAGCCGCCCUACCUUCAGUGGUGUAGAUAAAUCCAAUUCAACACGAGCACGACAAGCUUUCAAGGCAGAACCAGAGGCGAACUCAGAUUUAACUUGCAAAACAGGGCCAACCGUACUAACAGCAGUGCGAAUCAUUUCAGCAGUACUACACUCCAAAGGUAACCCAAUUAUCUGAACCCAAAAUGCGCAUGUUGAAAAGUCAUAGCUGUGUAGAGGGGUGUUAGCAAUCCAGGGUUUAAAAUUGAUAAGAUGUCCUGAGAAUUGCCAAGGUCCAGUGUCAAGAAUUCUCUGUUUUUCAGCUUGAGACUUGAAUUUUGCUAAAUACAGUCCUGCUUCUUUCUGUAUGAUUUCUGCAUGGUCCAACCUCCAGGCCCUCUUCAAGACUGACUGAAAAGCCGGAAAAUUAAAGGAAGGGUUGGAGGGGACUUUACCGAUUAACAGAAGCUUACAUUCCUCAACCGCACCAGGUGUGGGUUCAACUCGCAACUCUGCAAUCUCUUUUUCCGUACUUAAUCGACCAAGUUUAUGACAAAGUGCAGCAAUUCUGGAUGCAUCCGGGUCAUCGUCAAGGGCCAUCGAUGAAAUAGUGGAACUAAUCAACAGAGGGAAGUUGGUAGCUUCGAUAAUAUCGACAUGCAAGAGUAGAUAAGUGAAGAGAAAGAGGAAAAAGUAAGAAAUGGGUAGCGAUUUAGGUGGAUGUAAGACUGAGAGGAAGAGAAGGAUGAUAGAGAACCAUCGACAUGGCAGGAAGAUCAACAGGAGGCUAUAGAAGAGGAGGAACGAUGAAGAGCUCUACCCAGGUGAUAGAGAGGAUCUCGACAAGACGAGACAAAACUUUUUCCUAUCAUCGGUUGCACGGGUGAUCUUUUUACAGCCCACGCAUAGUUGGAAGGUCUUAUUCAGCUGCACACGUCGAAAUUGGAAGAAAAGGCAAAGGAGAAUCAAUGAAGGAAAGGAGCGUGCAAUUUCCACCUUGACAAAGGGAGCAAUCUCGGCAUUCAGGGACCCGAAUUCACCGCCAAAAGAAAACAAGAAAAUCUGAGCACAAGAAAGCAGGGGAUUCUCCGCCAAGAGGGGCGGGGAAUUUUUCAGCAUUUAAUCAUUGCCAAAUAGAGCCCGAAAAAGAAAAAGGAAAAGGAAAGGAUGAAGCUUUUUCUUCACGGCCGAGAAAGAGAAACGCAGAGAGGGUUUCGGUCAACGAAAGAGAGAAGACUAAAAGAAAAAAAAUAACAGAGAAGUGGUCGGCAAAAGAAGAGAAAAAGAGAAACAGAGGAGUCACAUUCUCGUGGAGGAGGUGAAAAGAAAAAAGAGGACAGAAAGAGAGAGCUGUUGGGGCACGCGUGAGGAAGCAACAGAGAGCGAAAGAUGCAAUUUCCCAUUUAAUUUCCUCGAAGUUCACUUUUCCUCUAUACUUUAAUUUCCGAGAAUUUUACUCCUCGCAGUCAAAUUUCUCCAUCAUUUCAUUUAAAGUCUGGCGCACCUUGCACUUGGGAAAAGCCAAAAAUGAAAUCAUUUUAUUACUAUUUUGAAGUUGACCGAUUUUUGUUCAAGUUAGAAUUGAAGUGUGAAAACCCAUUUUAUCUAGAGAAGGGGUGUGUAAAAGUGACCAGUUUGGGAACUUUGUAAGAGCCACCCUCUUCAAAGGAAACUCAUUUUAUGAAGAGUACUCUCACAUUUGAUGGACAAAGAUCACUUGGCAUCUAACUGUCAUUUCUAGAAUACCGGACAAGCAUUUCCUAAACAAUUUUGUAACCACGUGAAACUGUUUAUCCAACUCUUCUUCGUGACAUUCAACCAUCAAAUCCAAGUACCUAGCAAUACUGCAGAAGAGGAAGACCGUGUUUUCUCUUUUCCACGCCUACAACAACCAAAGAUAUUUACAAUCAAUUUUUCUUGCCAUGAACCAGAUUAAAAUGCCAGCUUCGAAUUCCCCUCUCCUCGUUUUAGAUUGCCAAUCUUGGCUAUGCUAAUUAUAUUCCAAGCGCAAAUACUUUUACAUAUCAAUUUCAACUCUUUUAAAACCUUUGGUGAGAGACUAGCGUGAGAAUUACAUGUAUCGCAUAUUCAGGUGUUCACAUUCAUGGAUAGUGACCUAUCUACUCACUCCUUCAAUUUAAAAGAAAAAAAAAUACUAUAACUAUAAAACAAUAACAUAACAGCAUAUUUACCAGAUCAAUAUGAAUUAUAUACAUUCGAUAGACAAAUCGAAGAGUUUGAUGUAUAUCGAAUUUACAUGACGUUGUUGAACAUCUAGAUUUCUUUAAAUACCUAAAAGAAGCUAUGCAAACCCAUACCGACUCUCAUUGUAAAACGCAACUUUUAUUACAAUUAUUAUAUUGAGAUUGGUUCUCUCUGUCGCAUAAAUAGAUUUUAUACAAUAUCAAUCCAAAAAUUCGCCAAGCAGCUAAGCAAAGCAAAGAUGAUGGAAGACUUUGACCUGUUUUCUUUUCCUUUUGACUUUUUCAUUCAAGUAGCUUUUGUCGGUCUUUGCCUUACCUCUUUCUUUGGUUGGGAGAAAAGAAUAGUAAAAUGCAAGGAAGCAAGCAAAGAUGGUAGAAGACUUUGAUUUGUUUUCCCUCACCUCACGCUGGGAAGUAGAUUAUCUAACAACCAUGAUUUGAGAGGUGCGUGCGUCCCAGGCAAUUAACCGUCAAGAUUAAUUUAAAUAUGAGUACUCAUCGCCUCCUCUCCCUACCUAUGCGAUAAGUAACUUUGAAUUAGAAAAGGUAAUUUUCUGCCUGUCUAUUUUUUAGUAAAUCUCAAUGUUGAUAGUCAUUGUUCAAUCAACAAAAUAAGCUUAACUAUUUACGUAAGUAGUACUUUAUAUGCCAACUUUUAACAUAGAAAAAGGUAACACAAUUUCAUAUGGUUAGUAAAUGGUUAGUAACUCAUUAAUCUGACUUGUAAUAUAUAUACAUGAUUAGUUUUUCUUAUAUACGUUGAAGUAACUUUCCCUACAUCUGUGUGUCAGUAACUUUUCACAAGAUUGCAGUGAAAUUUUUGGAGAUGCAAGUGACAUCCGGGCUAGAGUUGAUGACUUAGCACUAAAUUUUAACAAUCACUUAGUAUUGACUCUUACUUAUAACUCAUUAAAUUUAUAUUUUUACUUACAUUCAAAUUCAUUAGGAGUACCAAAAUUUCGUUUUAAUCCAUUCAUGAUAAAAACAUCAAUAAUACUUAGAUCAUUAAUUUACUACUCUCCAUCCAAUCAUUUUAGUAUAUAUAAAUUCAAGCAAACGGAAAUUUAUUUUCCACCUUUUAAAUGGAAACAAGUAAAGUUAUUGUCGAGAUUUAUAUUUCAUGAAACUACUGGUCCUUGAAAUUAUAUUUGAAUGUGUCCAUGUCAUAUCUAAUUGAACAAUCGAUUCAAUUACAUCCUUAAAUAUUUGCCUAAUGUGCGCUGUAAUCUUAUCUCUUAAUUGGUUCUUUUCUUGACCUUUUUAGAAAUGUUCAAUACUGUCUCGUUCUAGUAAUUAGAAGGACAAAUCUGUAUAAUGUCACUUUCUAGGCCUUUCCUCGUCAAGAACAGAUGGUUGUUCUUUACUUUCUACCAGCUUUAGCUACUAAUGUUGAUCCAGCUCUUAACACUUCCAACAUGUGAGAAAUGGUAGUUGGACAUUAUUUAGUAGGAUACAUUUUCAGUUCCGAGGAUGAAGCUUCGGAAAGCUACCUAGAGGAACAGUAUAUUGGCCCAUACACUUCUAUGCUUUCAUCCAACUUAUUUUUCUGUAUAAAAAAGCAAUAAAGUGAUUAUACAAAAUUAAUAUGAUUAGUAACUCAAUUUAUAUAUAACAAAAAUUUCCAUCUACCUAUUAGUAACUAGUAAUUUUUCUAUGCAAUAAAUAAUUAUGGAAUAAAAAAAGGUAAUUUUCUGCCGAGUGUUAGUAAGUCAUACUAUUCAUAGUAAUUUUUCUAGACUUUGCUAUACACAUCAACUCAUGUUUGUUAUCUUAUUGGACUACAUAAGAUUUUAAAUAGUGGAUAUAUUACAUUUGGUGUGAGUGUUAUGCCACUGUUAAACUAGAUUGUACCAAUUGACACCUAAAUUUUCAUUAGAAGACUUCCAUUCAUUUGAUAAGAAAAUUGGAGAUUGAAUUCAACAAAGUUUGACCCCUAAACAAAAAUGUCAAUCUUGCAUGGUCAUGCAUUCGUAAUUCUCACUUCGUUUCUUCGCAUUUAGAUAUCGGGGACAUUUUAAUUUUGGGCAUGAAGUAUUCACAUCAAGCAAAGCAUGGUUCCAUCUGUGAGUUUUCUUGGAAGUGGCCCAAUAGAUGGCUCCAUAUGCAAAAAUGAGUCCUAAACUCACUUGAGGUGCCAAAACCGAGUCCGCGUGAGUCCAGUGACUCCAGCCCCCAAGCUGUAAUCGAACUCAGCCGAAUGGAGGGAUUGGAAGCGUGGCCAUUCAAGGGCAACAAGGGAAAUUUUAAUCGGCCAAUACCCAUUUUCGUGGCCAAUUCCAGUCUGAACUUAUAAGAUGGAAGGUCUUGUUCAGUUGCUGUACGCGUCCAAAUGGAAGAAAAGGCAAAGGAGAAUCAAAAGGAGGAAAAGGGGCGUGUAAUUUCCAUCUUGACAAAGGGAGCAAUCUCGGCAUUCACGGACUGGAAUUCACGGCCAAAAAAACAAAAAAUCUGGGCAUAGAAAAGCAGAGGAUUCUCGGCCAAGUGGGGCAGCGAUUUUUCAGCGUUUAAUCAUUUCCAAAGAUAUCUUGAAAAGGAAAAGGAAAAGGGUGGAGCUUUUUCUGCACGGCCAAGAAAGAGAAACACAAAGAGAGGAGAAAAUAUUCAGUGGUAUGUUUCUCCAAAGGGAGGGUUUCGGUCAAGUAAAGAGAGAAGACUAGAAGGAAAAAAAGAACAGAGAAGUGGUCAGCAAAAGAAAAGAAAAAUAAGAACAGAGAGCAAAAGACGCAGUUUCCGUUUAAUUUCCUCGAAGUUCACUUAUCCUCUGCACUUUAAUUUCCGAGAAUUUUACUCCUCGCAGUUAAAUUUCUCCAUCAUUUCAUUUUAAAGCCCAUCGCACCUUGCACCUGGAAAAAGCCAAAAACAAAAUCAUGUUUAGCACUGUUUUGGAGUUGACAGACUUUUGUUCAAGUUGAAAGUGAAGUGUGAAAACCCAUUUUAUUUAAAGAAGAGGCGUGUAAAGGUGACCGCGUUGGGAACUUUGCAAGAGUCACCGUUGUCAAGAGCCACCCUCUUUAAAGGAAACUUAUUUUGUGAAGAAUACUCGCACAUUUGAUGGACAAGGAUCACUCUGCAUCAAACUGUCAUUUCCAAAAUACUUGACAAGAAUUUCCUGAACAAUUAAGUGACCGCAUGAUAUUAUUCAUCUUCACUCUUCUUCAUAAUAUUCAAUCAUCAAAUCCAAGUACCUAGUAUUACUGUGGAAGAGGAAGAUCACGUUUUCUCAUUUUCACACCUACAACAACCAGAUAUAUUUACAGCUCCGAAUUUCCCCCUCCUAAUUCUAAAAACAAGAUAUGUUUGACAUCAAAUCAAACUCUUAAAAGUUGAAAAAGAGGAAAAGCCUGAAGUCAAUGUAAAGAAACAUCCAUUUAUCUGAUAGGAUUAUGAGCCGAAAACCUCCUUUCAAAUUGAUGCCUAAUAACUGUUUUAUGUCCUUUGGACCAUGAAUAUCUAACAGUAAUAGUGGAUUAAAAACAUUAAUUCAUAAAACAAUGUUGCAACUUGUUAGAUAUAUUUGUAAUGGACUCUUCUGCAAAUUACCUAAUCAUUCACACAUGCAUUGGAUUACAUGUAUGUUGUAUAUGGUCCAAUUUUGUCUAGAAUCAUGAAAUUGUGUAUCUAUUCUACUCUAUAUUAGUUUAGGUUCUAUAUAAAUGAUUGCAACUACUUGUGUAGUGCAUUCUGAUGAUGUACAAAGACCUUCGGUUUAUCAGUCUCUCACCAACAUAACCAUUCAAUCGAAACUCGCCACCAUCCACUUAGACAGUCUCCGCCAUGACCCAUUUUCAAAGACUUUGAAUCCUAAAAUCACGUUGUUGAAUCAACCUCAACUACAACUCAACUCCAAUAUGGACGAAAAGCUCACAUGUCGGGACGACACAACUCAAUCCAAAUCUUUGCCUUCGUAGCUUGCCACCCUUUGGUGCUUAUUUCUCAAUGAACCACCCAUCAGACAAGUGACCCUCCUCCAAGUUGAACACUAGAAACCAGUUUUGCUGGAAUUGAUCCCACAGCCAAAUGUCUUGUACCAAAGUCGUUCUUCGGUUUUAUUAAAAGGGGCUAGUAUUUUGCAUCAACUCCACACAGAUGAUAUCUCAUGCAAAGAGGAAUCGAACUCCUUUGAUUUAAACAACACUAUACAAUUCCGGGCUAAGUUGGAUUUUAAUCAAUAACAAAGCCCAAAAGUUACGAGAUCAGUCUCAAACUAUGUCGGAAUUCAAUCGAGAACAUAAAUUGAGGAUACUGAGAUACAAUGUCAGAAUUCAAUCGAUGAUGAAGCAAGAUAAAGAUACACAUUGGAAUCUAAUCGACAACGCGAAUUCGAGAGUUAUAUAGCUAAGGAAAUUUAAAAUACAAUGUAGGAAAGUAAAGAUACUAAGAGAUAACAUUUUAUUUUACUUGUAUAAGGAGUCUUCUUGUUGGAAAGCUAGUGGUAUUUAUAUUGAAAGUGUAGUAACUGCUCCUCGACUAUGCUUAGUGGCUGUAUUUCUAAUGUAAAUCUCUAAAAACUUGUGAUCGGCAUAAGUAGAGCAACUAGGGGAGUAGAUGGAUUUUAUGAAUAAGGACAAAGAUGAAAAUUUGGUAAACUUUAUUACAUGGCUAAUCUUGGCUAUGUCGAUAUAUAUUUAAAGCAACAGAUAGCUUUCACAUAUCAACUUCGACUUUCUUCAAACCCUUGAUGAGAGACUAUUGUUAACAUUACAUGUAUUGCAUAUUCGCACACACACAUUCAUGAAAAGUAUAAUUACAAAACAAUAACAUUACCACGUAUGCUAUUUGAUAAAUAUGAGUUAUUUAGAAUUAAUAAACAAGUUGAAGAGUAUGAUGUAUACUGAAUUUAUGUAACAUUAUCGGAUAUCUAGAUUUUCUUAAAAUAUUUAAGAAAACCGUGCAGACCCCAUAUUAAAUCCCAUAGUUAAACACAAAUUCCAGUAUAAUUAUUAAAUUAUUAUCGAUUUUCUCCGUAGCAUCGGUUACAAACCGUGCAAGGCGGUGGAAGACUUUUGGUUUGCUUUCACUCGUCGGAGCCUUUCUUUUCCACUUCUCUUUCGAGAGGAUUUUGUCGGCUUUUCCUUUUUCCAGCUAAAAAGCAAGAUGAUGAAAGACUUUUUGACUUACUUUCUCUCGUCGUUGAGUGGUCCUCGAUGAUGGGGACACCCUCAUUUCAUGUGCCCUUCCUUCACGUUCUCCUUUUCUGGGCCCCGCUGGUUGUGUGACAAUGUUUGACUUGGAAGCGGGCAUUCGGAUCGAACGGCUGAGGAUGAUUCCAUCUGGAGCAGGAGGGAAUUAAGGCCGGGAUCGAGGCAUGCUUAGAUGCAACUCUCACAUUUCGCGAUUUAUUACCACUAAUCCAUGACAAUGGCACUUUCGUAAUAGUAUUGUUAAACGUGACUUUCUUCUCUUCUGCACUGCUUUUUCUCUCUCUCUCUCUUUCUCACUCUGCGCGGAGCUCUCAUUCUUGAAUUCUCGCACAUUCACGCACUCCCUUAGCCUUUUCGACUCUCUCGCUCUUCAGUCUGCUGGAAAACAUGGCGUUUUCCGGCGAACACCGACCUCUCGACUGCUCUCUCCCUCACGACCUCACCUGCGAGACUCCCUGCCCCAGCCUCAAGCUCUACUUCCUCAUCGGAAUCCUCAGCCUCUCCGCACUCUGCAUCGCUCUCCUCGUAUACCUCUGCGUCCUUCGCAGUCGGAUCUCGAAGAAGCGCGAAGUGCCAGCAAAAGGGACGAAUUCUCGGGAAUCAGUUGGACCUUCCUACGAGGUUUUUCUAAGUUUUCAUGGACGAGACACUCGUCAUGGAUUUACCGAUUUUCUUUACCGUGGCAUGGUUGAGACCGGGAUCCUCGUCUUUAGGGAUAAUGAAUCCCUGCAUGUCGGUCAAAGAAUUGGCGAUGAACUUCUACAAGCCAUCCGAAACUCCAAGAUCUACAUUCCCAUAUUUUCCAAGAAUUAUGCGUCAAGUCACUGGUGCCUUCGAGAGCUUGCACACAUGGUUGAGUGCGCCUCCAAAUCGAAUGGGAAUAAAGAGAUUUUGCCCAUUUUCUUGGAUGUGGAGCCUGAUGAUGUCAAGCUGAAAACAAACUUAUACAGCAAAGCCCUUUCAAAGCAUCAGAAAAAGUUUUGCACUGAAGUUGAAUCAUGGAAAAAGGCUCUUGUUAAUUUGGACAAGAUAAAGGGAUGGAACUUGAAAACAGAUGAAAGGUAAAUGUCUUGAACUUUUCAACUUGUCAUCCAUAGGUUUCCUUUUCCUCCCUAGUUAGUUUAAUUGUGGUAUCAUUGGUGAAAAUAUAGUUUAUUCAUCUCACCAAUCCUAUCCAGUGUAACUUGUGGUCGUGGCCGUUGUCGCUGCUGCUAUCGACCACAGUGACCGGUAUCAACUCUAUCGUAGGCUUCGAUGGUUCUAUUGCGGUGGUAGUGCACCCUAUUCAUCCUAGUUUUGUCUCUCCUCACACACAGUCUCCAAUACAAUAGCCACCGAGCCACUGACCAGCCACUGCAGCAGGUCGACGGUCAUUCGCCACCACUUCUUCGUCGCCGGUCGGCACCAAGCUGCCAGAAGCCGCCGUUGAGCCUUCCGGCCCCCACCAUUUCUCCCUUUGACUCACUGUGAUGAGUCGGAUUUGUGCUCAGGAGGCCAUUUCCGACAUCACAAAGCCCAUAUCCGGAGUCGCCGACCUUCGGUAACCCCAAAUCUGGUGUUGCCCAAGGCUGGUGACGCCAUCCUUGGCGGUCGCAAGGCCACGACCCACGUGAAGGGGAGGAAUUGAGGCAAGGCCCAGAGGGGCAGGUCAAUAGGGCUCAAUGGGCAACGGCGCUGGAACGUGACAGCGACGGCCCAGGGAGGUGAGUGAUGUCAACGGCAGCGAGGCAGUGGCAGGGCCAACGGUGUGGUGACUGAAACUGGCGGAGCGGAGAUAGAAUGGGAAAAAUCCAAAAUGUUUUGGCGUCUAUAUUAUUUUUUCUUUUUUCUUUUUGCAAAUCUAAAUAUAAAAUUUACCCAUAACCCGGUUGUUACAUUUUUGCAGCCAAGUAGAUCUGAUACGAUCUAUAAUUCAAACUGUGUUGACAAAGCUGAAUGUUGGAUUUAAAAAAAAUGUGACUGAAGAUCUAGUUGGAGUCGAUGAUCGUGUAGAAGCUAUAAUCAAAAUGUUGCAUGUGGGAUCCAAUAGCGUACAAUUCCUCGGACUCUAUGGAAUGGGUGGGAUUGGCAAAACAACACUUGCCAAGGUCAUCUUCAACCAACUAUCUUCUCAAUUUCAAGGCUGCAAGUUCCUUUCGGACGUCGGAGAAUCAUCACGACGCCAUGGUCUGGUACAUUUGCAAAAACAGUUGCUAUCCAAGUUCCCCGAGUCUCGUUCUAUCCUCGACCAAAUUCAUGACGUGGAUGAUGGGAUCAACAUGAUCAAGAGAGUACUUUGCAAUAAAAAAGUUCUCGUUGUUCUUGACGACGUGGAUGAGAGAGAGCAACUCAGAACUCUAGCAGAUAAAGGUGAUUGGUUCGGUUUUGGUAGUAGGAUUAUCAUAACUACUAGGGACCAAAGAGUUCUAACCAUUCAGGCAAAAGCAGUAGGUGAAAGCCCUACAAAUAUUUCGGCUUACGAAGUAUAUAAAAUGGAAUAUGAUCAUGCUCUUAAGCUUUUCAGUAGGCAUGCCUUUAGAAUAGACUCUCCACUAGAUCAUUAUAUUUCCAUUUCCAAAAAAAUUGUCCGUGCUUUAGGAAAUCUUCCUUUAGCUAUUGAGAUUAUAGGUUCAUCCCUUAAUGGUAAAUCCGAAGCUUUAUGGGAAGACACGUUGAAGAAGCUAAAAGAAGCUCCUCCCAUGGAAGUCCAAAGAAAAUUGAUGAUAACUUACGAAAGGUUAGAUGAUGCACAAAAGCAAGUAUUUUUGGAUAUAGCUUGUUUUUUUCUUAAUGAGGAUAAAACAAACCCUUCCUACAUGUGGGAUGCUUGUGGAUACUACCCACACAAUGCCCUUGAAGUCCUCUCUCUCAUGUCCUUGAUAAAAAUCAAGGAUGACAAUACUUUAUGGAUGCAUGACCAAGUGCGGGAUCUCGGAAGGGAAAUCGUUCGUAAAGAGAAUGUUGAUGAUCCGUGCGAGCGUAGCAGAGUGCAUGAUCCUAAGGAAGUGCUAAGCAUUUUGAAGCAGAAAGAGGUAUGAAAAGGGAACAUCAAUUUAUUUUAUUGUGAACUGUUGUAAAUUAUUCUUGUAAAAAAAAAAUUAAUCGCUAUUAACAAUUGGAAUUGUUUGCCUUUGAGCUUCACCAUGUGGACUCCUUUGUGUUUCCAUUGUCAGGGGAGUAGGAAAAUUAAAGCACUGUCACUUGGAUUUCUCGAAGACACUUUGGAAGACAUAAUUUUAAAGCAUGACGAAUUUGCUUAUUUAGAGAAGCUGAGGUUCUUUCGAGGAUAUCGCGUGUCCUUUGUUGGAGACUUCAAUAAUCUUCUUUCCGAUUUAAAAUGGCUUUCUUGCAAUUCCUCAUUUGUAUUUGAGGCAAAAAACUUUCAUCCAACUAAUUUAGUCGUUCUUGACCUUUCAAGGAGCAACAUUUCGGAAAAAGAUAUUGAUUGGAUCAAAGUACGAUACGAGUCUCACUCCUCACUCCUUGUAUCCAUACAUCAUUUCUUUUUAUUUUUUUUAUAGGUCAUUUCUCAAUAAAUAUUAUUGUUUUGCAGGCGGCAAGGAAACUAAAAGUCUUAGAUCUUAGACAUUGCUAUUACUUAAGGAGAGUGCCCGAUUUAUCUAUGUUGGUGUCUUUGGAGAUUUUGAGAUUACGUUAUUGUUCAAAGAUAAAGAAACUUCCAGACUCGAUUGGGAAAUUACAAUCAUUAAUUGAGUUGGAUUUGUUAGGAACGAAUAUUGAUCACCUACCGGAUUCAUUCAGCAAUCUAAAGCAACUAACAACACUUAGGAUGAGGGACAUUAAGGGAGGGUUGACAAAAUUACCUAGUGCGAUCUGGUUUGUUCAGUUAGUGGCUUAUUCUUUUUCGUCCCACGAUAAUGAGCUGUACUGUUUGAAAAUGCCAGACUUGUCAUGGACCCAAAUAUUUGGAUUACCCACCGUGGCGAGUCUCGUCUCUAAUAUCCGUGAACUUCGGAUGGACGCGUGGUAUAGCAGACGGCCCAACUUUUACCCCGAUGAUAAGCCGGAGAAUUUCACUUUUAAUUGCGAGUCCCUCGAGUGUAGCAAAUCUCAGAGGGAAAAACAAAUAUUGGCCUCCCCAAACAUGUGGUUCCUCCACCAGCUCCCGUCUAGUUUAAGAGACUCAGUAUUUCGAGGAGUGUGGAGUCUGGGUUUCUGUCGUUAUUGGAUGCCGAUAUUCGUUGGUAUAUGUGAUUCGGAGUCGGAGAAACUCCAUCUGCAGGAUUCCACGCUUUCAAGACGGAUUGAACAGUGUUGGCUGAGAAACAGGAAAUUCCCGUCCAGAUACCGUCGGAGGAUUCGUCGACAGCGGCAUCAGCCCACAAAAGCACUUGAGCCGUCGCAUAUGAAGAAUCUGCGAGAGGUAGAUCUGUUCGAAUGCGAGCUACUAGUCGAGAUUCGCGGCCUCGAAGAAUUGGGAUCCCUUUCAUCCCUUGCGGUCGCAUAUUGUAGGUCGAUCGAAAGGAUGCCAGACCUAUCGAAAUCGAGGAAGCUAAGGGAGCUUCGAGUGGGAAAAUGUCCGAAGCUAAGAAGCAUGGAAGGUUUGGACCGCUUGGAAUCUCUAAAGUGUUUGCGGAUUCACGAUUGCAGGUCUUUGGAGAGUCUGGUGGACACCUCGAAUUUGGAUUUAGAAUGUUGCCUGAUUGUCCGUUGCAAGCGGUUGCCCCACCGUGACAAUUAUUGUAAACGUGGCCAAGGUUGCUAUUGUGAGAUGCUUUUCGAGGGGUUGAGGAAAUCUGACCCGAUGGAAGUCCAGCAAGUAUUACAGGGACAUCCGGAUGUUGCGCCAGUAAGGAAUUUAUAACGUGGCUUGGUUGUUGUGCUUGGUGUAGCCAUUUUGUUUGUUUUGUUGUUGUUCUGUUGUUUUGUUCUGAGAAAAAGGCUUUCUCCCGGACAAAUAUUGGUGAUGAAGCUAAGGAAGUGAACGAGGCACGCUCAUAUGAUGCCAAAACGUUGUCCAAUUUUGAUCAGCUUUUGAACAUAGUACUCAGUUCAUCGAUUGCUGUCCAAACAUGAAGCUCUUGGCUUUUUUAAGGAUAGAGUCUUGACAAGGAUGCCUAGCUGAAAAUCUAAAUUGUUGUCACAAGCUGGUAGGGAGAUCAGGUAAAAACAGUGGCUUAUGCUGUGCAAACUUACUCCAUGUCUUAUUUCAAGUUUUGAAAGAAGUGGCAUGAAGAAGUGGAUGCAGUUAUAGCCAAUUUUUGGUUGGGAAAGCUUAACUGAAGCAAAGUUAGAAUGAGGUUUAGGUUUAUCACAGUUUGACAGAACCCUCCUUGCUAAGCUUGCUUGGAGAAUCCAAGCAACCCCUCGGAAUUUUGGGUGCAAAUAUUUGAAGCGCUCUACCCUUUGUAGCUUCAUGGAAGUUAGAAGAGGUGGCAGAGUGUCUUGGGGAUGGAGUAGACUUUUGGAAUGAGAGAUCUAAUUAAGGAAGGCAUGUUAUAACAAAUUGCUAGUGGGAAAUCAGUCAAAGUUGGGGAGGAUAGGUUGGUGAAGGAGAGUUGAGACUUGAUGCUGCAUCCUUCAAUCUGACUCAGGUGAUAAAGGAAUUAAGAAUGGAGUCUCUAAUUGAUGCAGAUACUAAGACUUGGAACUUAAACCCCAUCAAGGACAGCAUGCGGCAGGAGGAGCAGUGACUGGUGUUGAGAAAUCACAUAAGGUCGAGAAGUUCCGAUGACCAAAUGAUUUGGCCCUGGAACAGGAUUGGUUGUUCUUCAGUAAAGUCUCUACCACUUUACCAUGUAGAAAAGAAAGAAACAUCUACUAAAGCCUAGAUCCUCAAGCUCUCAUACUAUUGAUGGUAUAAUUUGGAAGUUAGCACAGGGAGUCGACUCUCCUCAAGAUAAGACACUUCCUCUAGCAACUUUGCUUGAAUGUUGUGCCUGAUGCUGCUACAUGUGCAAAAGAAAAAAAUAUAGUUUCUCCUGGCAAUGGUGCCCUUAAAAGUUUGUGGCAACAAACUUU